CUUGGUUGAGAGACAAGCACUAAAUGAGGCCAUGGAGGGAGAAAAGAAUGUAAGGGCUAAUGCAUUGAAGUGAUCAUUUUUCAUAGCAACAGGUACUUUCUUGUCUUUUAUUUUAAGCUUCCAUCAAGUUUGAAUGUUCUCUUUAUUUUAUGGGCAGGGACAUCAUCACUUGCCUGAGACUAGAGGACUCUGCCUGUCCGAAGAACAGACUGUUAGCACUGUAAGGAUUUCGUUCUCAGAAAUCUAACGUCAAAUUUUGUUGUGUGAUAUACUUAGAGGAACGAAUUUGUUAGUGGAUUACAAAUGUAUGCUUAUGUCACUGUAAUGACCAGAUUUCGGGGAGGCCUAGGAUUGGCACAGGCUAUCGGAUUAUAGACAUGAUGACAGAACCUUAUAGGCUAAUCCGUCGAUGUGAAGUGACAGCAAUUCUCAUUUUGUAUGGGCUCCCAAGGUACAUCUCUUAUACCCUCUAUAGCAAAUUGUUUACUUGCUUUAGUAGUUUUGAUGCAUGUGGCAAAAACAACCUUCCUUGAAUACAGGUUGCUGACUGGGUCGAUCCUGGCUCACGAGAUGAUGCAUGCAUGGCUCCGACUGAAAGGUACUUUAUCUGUUCAGUGACAAAUGUUGCAUUGACAAUAGUUUCUAUUUAAGUUCUCUGAAAUAUGAUUAAUCCAUGUUCUUCAAAUAUUGCACUUCCUGUGUUUCCAUUCAUAAUGAGAAGCUAGAAAUUAAUAACCAAGUGUUUGGCAGGAUAUCCAAAUCUGAGUCAGGAUGUUGAAGAAGGCAUCUGCCAGGUGUUGGCUUAUAUGUGGUUGGAUUCAGAGAUAUAUUCAAGUGCUGGUAGUGAUGUUGCUUCGGCUUCUUCUUCUUCUUCAUCAUCAUCAUCAUCAUCAUCCUCAUCCACAACAUCAAAGAAGGGUGCACGGUCUCAGUUUGAGAAGAAACUUGGUGAGUUUUUCAAACACCAGAUAGAGACGGAUAGUUCACCAGCUUAUGGGGACGGAUUUAGAGCAGGUAACCAAGCAGUGCAGAAGUACGGCCUCAAGAGUACCCUUGACCAUAUUCGGCUGACAGGAAGCUUUCCUUACUGAGAGCUGACCAAUAACUCAGCCCUAUCAUCUUUUAGUUUUACAGGACCUAGACCCAACAUGAAUUAUGAACAUCACAAGAAUAAGUAAGCAGCUAAAUGCCGCUUCUCAUGCGCAAUUGCUGUAAUUCCCCAAUAGUGGGCGCCACAUAUUUUACUAUUUUGCCUAAUAAUUAAUAACAUAUAGGGAAAAAAAAGAAGUUAGAAUUGCUUAUGACAUUUCCUCUGUUCAACUAUUAGAAGCUUUGAUCCAUUGUGCAGAAGUACAUCUCACUGCUUGGGUAAGCCUCUAGAGAGGAAACAGCCCAGCCAUAAGUGAUGUAAUUAAGCAGCAAGUUUUCUACUGGUUUCAAUGUUUCAUCAUUUUAUACAGCAUACAACUCCAGUUAUUUCCAGCAACCAUUGGAAGCAUAAUGGAGAUAAUUUCAUUUAGUAGUAGAGGAACAUAUUUAUUUUCCCAGUUAUGAAGCCAACUCCGGUGCUCCUCUCUCUCUCUCUCUCUCUCUCUCUCUCCAGCUGAUCAUCCUCUUUGAGAAUAUUGAUGAGCUCUCUCCUCUUGAGAAAUUUCACCAAGUUGGGAGGAUUCUAAUAUUUCAUAUUUAUUAAUAGCACUUCAGUUUUCUGAAAUUAUUAUGACAUUGUCGGCUAAUGGGGUUAUGAUAUUGGUGAAAUGAAUUUAUUGCCCUUCAUUAAUUAAAUAUGUUCAUCAAAAUAUCAUAUUUUAGUGCAUUGGAAUAACUAGAAAAUACAGUGCUACAUAAUUGAAAAUUGAAAGGCCUCAAUCCUAAUCGCCUAGACAUGCCCACUAGUUAGCCUACCCCUUUAGGGAAAUACUCUCAGACCCGAUCUUUAGGAAUGAAUUUGGGAUUUUGAGAAUCUACCUUUGUGACCGACUAUGCCGCGUGUGGGCCUAAUCCCCUAUCCCUCUCAUCCACAUGGUGUUGCCAUUUGAAUAAUCCAAGAAAAAGGGGUUCGAUUUACGAGACACUUUCCCCCGUAGACAAUGAUAAUGAAAUUCAUACAAGUGUGAUUUGUGACGUGCGCAUGCGAAAUCCACGCAAUUUAAUUGCAAAAAGAAGGCAACUUUUCCGUGAGGGAGCAAUGCCACAACUUUUCUAAUUGUCUUUUGAGUGGGCUUGGCUGAGCCCCUGAACACGAUCAAAAUUGAAACAGUGCGCACAAGACCGUCCAUAUCUAUCACAAGGAAAGAUGGGGGCUCCAGGGAAAAGACAAAAUGGGUGGGCAAAACAGCCAUAUCAUGGGGAGGCGGCUUUCUAUGGUACAAAUUAUUUUGUAAGAGACUAGCAGUCAAAUUUAGAUGAUGGUAAAAGACACAAGCCUUGGGUGCUUGUUUCAGCGGAAGGGAGGUUCAGGCUAGAAUGGGGUGGGUGCGGUGGGCCAUAUGAAAAUGCUUUGUUAUAAGGAACUGCUUUCACCGUACUGGCUUCACCAAUGUUCAAAACAAGGAAAGAAUAAUAAAUAAAUACAAGUAUCGCCUGAACUGGAACAUCAAGGAGUCCAGCAAACAACGUCUGAACGUCAGACUCAUCAUGGGGUACUUAAUAGAAAAAACCCCAUUGAUCAAUGAAAAGGCGAGAGCAUGAUGAAUUAAGACACGGGGCAGGGAUCAUUGCAGUGCAUGGAAGUUCCUAUUUUCUUCUUCAAAAUAAGUUGAUUGAAAGAUAUGCAGUUAACUAGCCAAUUCAUUUUAAUUUUCAGAAAAUAAACAAGAGAUCAGUAGUUUGUCAAUUGUCACUAAGAGGUACGGACGCGAGGAAGAGGGAGAGAGUGGCAAAGCAGUGAAGACUUUUUGUCUCCACGAAGACGAAGACUUUGGGUUUUUUGACGCCUGGUGAAUUGGUAGUGGAGAAAUGGAAAGAAAAUGGACCCACAUGCAAAAAACGAAAAAGAAAAGAGAGAAAGUGUUACAGUUGUUGAUGCCCCUUUCCUCGGUCCUUCUGGUGGUUUUUAGGAAGGUAAGAUGAAGAAGCCACAAAUAAAACUUCAACUCUUGCAUUUUUCUUUCCUGCCCUUUUAGCGUGGAUGUGCGAAGGAUCCAAGUACUCUUCAUUUCAUUUCCUGCUUUUCCUUCUUUUUUUCCCUCUUCUUUUACUGGGAUAUUCAUCUGACUUCAUUUGUAAAACUUCUUCUCUGGAUUCAUGGCAGUUAAGGGUAUCAGGGAGACUAUCUACUCAGCUCUUUAAUCUUUCCUUGCUUACUUUGCCUUCAAGCCAUUUCUGGGAUCGACCGGAUUCCAUUUUGUCUGCAGAUUCUUACAGGUGACUUACUGACACAUGAUUUUGUGUGUGUGUCUUUCUUUCUCUCUCCAUUUUAGUGACUACUUUUGCAUACCAUGUCAAGAAUCUAGCAGGCAUAUCAAGCUGGUGAAAUCAAUUUCUUUCCUUUUUUCAAUCAUUUGAUUAUUAUUUGAUGGUGGUGGAGGGUGUUCUUAUAUGAAUAUGAAUAUCAGUGUUUGUGUUCUUGCCUCCUGUGCAUUGAUUUUCGCCUUGAUCAUGAAUAUUGCUUUUGUUUGGAUUAGAUUUAGGCACCCUUUUGUUGGAAUUCAGGUUUGGAAUGUAGGAAUUUGAAAUUCACAAGGUUUUAUUAAUCAUUCCACUAUCUUCUGACUCACUUAGGAGGCUUGAGUUCAGUUUCUUUGCUAGACUCUGCUAGAAUGGAUAAUUUUCAUUUGGAAUUUUCCCUCUUUCUUUUCCCUUUCCCCUUCUUUCUUUCCUCUCAAAAUAUAAUGAUUGAGGUUUGAGACUUGAUAUUGAUAUUUGUUUUCCAAUUUAAGUGCUUGUCAGGAUGCUUCUUUUGUGAUUGCAAUAUAAUCUUAAAUGUUCUUGCAAUCUUAUGUCUUUUUCACCUUCUUCAAAUCGGCGGGAAAGCCGUUGUUUCCCUAUGUUUGUAAUACCAGUCAUUCAUGUUCUUGAUGAACUUAUAAAAGAAUUAGAUCUAAAUAGAGGGUCAAAGUAAUCACUUUCAGUAUUCACGCAUAUAGCUAGCCAUGACAUUUUUUAUGGUGUUUCUUUUACCUAUGUAAAUGACUUGGGUGCAGGCAAGAUUUUGCUAGCCCACAAGGGAAUAACAUUUGUCCUUAUGGAUUGGAUCAAGAUCCUAGAAGGUUCUGGCCAUAAAAUCUCAGAAGUGCAAUAUCACGGGACAGAUGGGGAUGGCAUAAUUUGGGGAGAGCCUUCAAUUUCAGAGGUAAUUAAGGUUCCUGCUGUUUAAUGAUUACUUUUUUUAUAUCUUGUUCAUCAUUCAUAAGGUUGAUCUAGUUUGUUCUGUGAGAGUAGCAGCAUGGUAGGAUGAAAUUCACACUUCAGGUUAGUUAUGAAGCAGAGGAGCCUCUCUAAAAUUCCCUUUGUUACUUUACUACCUAGAUUUAUCCUAUGGAGUCCCUCCUGUGUUAACUUUAUGUUGUUGGGAAACUUGAAUGCAGGGUGCACCCACAGAUUUUGAUGAUCAAGAUAUCGCAGUUGCUAUUGUUCGUUCCAUUGAAGAUUAUGAAGCAGAGGAAGAUAAAAAACUGAAAAAGUUGGUUGGUAAGUCACACGGCUAUAGGGGGUGACAAUAAACAUUCAUGCCAGUAAUGCUGUUGGAAACUGCUAAUUACUCUUAUCCAACACGAUACAAUAUUACAGGUGCUUAGAAUUGUAGAAUAAAACAAAGUGUAACUAGGUACCUUUAGUAUUACUUUCUAUAUGUGCACUGGUGGUGCUUUUUCACCUUUCUGGGGAUCUUAAUUGAUACCUCAGGAUACUGUUCACUUCAUUCUCACUAAAUGAUCCUGUGUUUUGCAGAUAGAGUACAAAUAUUUCAGCUGUGUUUCUGUUUGUUUUGAUAAUUUUCAUUUUUAAUGCCAAUUAUAGUUAGAAUCUAUGCUUUGCUAGACAUCAUUCAACUGUUUUGGUAUAUAUUUCUCAUCUUGUACUCUUCAACCUGCAUUGAUGGGAUCUAGCAAACUAUUUCUGGCAGGCAGUAAUUGUACCCUGAUUCUUGUUGUGUUAGAUUAAUUUAAGGCACAUGUUCAAGACUCAUGUUGGUUGGUGCUUGACUUAUGAUCAUGUUCAAAUUGUUUUGCAUCAUGAAUAUGCUUCUAAAGGUCUGUCCUGGAUUGAAGUUUUAAUUGGCAAAAGAGAUGGUUUAACAUCGGUGUUUUUUUUUUUCUCUAUGCACUUUUCUGAGACUUGUAAGUUAAAAAUGAAGGUAUUUGCCUUAGGAACUUCGUGCAAACUUUUCUAACACUGUUAAAUGGAUAAGGUCCUUUACAAGGGAAUAUUCAAUAAUUAUUUCAUCACUGAAUGCAUCGUAUUUGUUUUUUUAUUUAUUUUAUUUUUUGGUCUAAUAGAGUAAAUAUUUCUAGUCUCUUAGUUUUUUUUUUUCUAUUUAUCUGUAAGAUAAUGAAUCUCAAUUAAAGGAAGAUGAACAACUUGCCAAAGCUCUUCAAGAGAGUUUGAAUAUGGAGUCUCCUCCUCGACGGGAUGCUCGAAAUAUAUUUCAACCUUUGACAUUCUCCUCACUUGGUUUUAGGUAUGUGCUGUUGCUUGUGAACCCUAUUCUAAAAGUUUAAUUUCUCACUUGCUGAUUGUUCUAAUUUUAAGUGCUGAAGAAAUUUCAAGAGGAAAAACAAAACUUCAUUUCAUUUUGAUUCAUUUUUGAGCCUUUCAAAAUAAGUAGUGAUUGUAUCUCUGGUAGGGGAGUUAGGUCAUGGGUGGGCACUCCUGUUUGAAUGUGCAUUUCUGAUUUGGAAACAUUGCUUAACUUGAUUGCUGAGGCAACUUACAAAAACAAAUGAAUGCCCCCCAACCUAUCAGAGGAUUGAGCAAAACUUGAGAAAUGUUGUAGCUGAAACAACUUUUGACUUCUAAAAAUGUCUUAGGUGGUGUUUGUUUUUUUGGCUUUUUGCUGAAAACCAUUUAGUUUUAGAAUUUAGGUUGUUUGUUUUUUUACUUUUUCAUGACUUAUUAUAAACUUUUUACUAAAUAGAAAAAGCCAAAAUAUGUGGCUUUUUCUAAAUAGAAAAAAUAACACAAUGAUUUUUUUUACUUUUUAAUACUUAAUAGAAAUAAAAUACUACAAAAACAAACAACCUAAUAAUUAAUACUAUUAAGUAUUAAGGUUCUAUUUAGAAUUAAGUAAAAAAACAAACACCACCUUAGUCUUCUUCAUGCUAACAUAUCUGCAUACAUUUGUGAAACAAGGCAAAUUUUGAUGGUGGUGCAAUUAUGGCUUCUAUGUUUAUGGUAAUUCCUUGAGUUUGAAAACAGGAUUGGCCUUCGACUUACAUGGUUAAAAUUCAAACAGUUGUACACACACACACACACACACACACACACACUUAUAUAUAUGUAUAUAUACAAUGGGAGGUAUUUGAGAGUUGAGAAACAGGGUUAACUAGUCAAGCCAUUGCAUCCUAAGACUUUACCAAGUUCCAGAUCAGAAUAGGAUGCUUAAAGGGAUGCAAUAUGUAAGGGUUAGGAAUCUACUAUUGUUCAAAAAUUGGGGCCAUAGGGGUUUCCUUGGGUGUCUUUCAUAGACUAAACAAACACUAGAGAUGUUAAAACAAUGAAGCAUCCAAUAGGUAGAAUAAUAAAAAAGUGUAAUGUAAAAUGUGAUAGCAAGUUAUAAAGGUGGGAAAUAUGUUUAUCUGUCACUAUCUGAGCCUGCUGCACUAUGAUAACAACAGAUGAAAUGCAAAACAUGUUGAGGCUGUUUCACUUUGAUGUCAGCAAAAUUGGACGACAAAACAACCUUUUCCAACAUGGUGGAAUUUUGUAUGGGACUUGUACAUUUAACAUUACCAGUUUCAUAAAUGGUGCUUCUCAUAUUUUUUGUCAUUUUCCUGCAUCAGUUUCAUAGACAUCAUAUGAAACCUCACAUGGAUGAUUACACAAUACCAUUUGUAGGAUCUGUGCUCGGUGCAACCUUGAAAUUGGUCAUGAAAGACAUUUGAGGCGCAUGGGUGCUGUUUGGCAUCCAGAAUGUUUUCGUUGUCAUGCUUGUGGUCUUCGCAUUUUUGAUCUUGAGGUCCAAAUCCAGUUCAGAUUUAUUCUAGUUUUGGUCUGACAUUGGCUAAUGAAAUGCUUGGAUACUAAGCUGAUUUUCAACUAAUUUUGGUGGUUCUAUGGAAUGCACUUGCUUAUUUUCAUUUUUUUCCCCCUUUGUUUGGUAGUUUUCUGUGUCUGGAAAUCGCCCAUAUCAUGAAUCAUGCUACAAGGAUCAAAAUCAUCCAAGAUGUAACGUUUGCAAGAACUUUGUAAGUGUCAAUCCAAAGGCGGGACAAUAUAACUUUAUAUUCUGCAAAAGCUAGUUCUAUUUAUUUGAUCUAUAUCCAGUAUGAAUAUGUGAAGUAUUCUUUGGUUACCAGCUUUCAACAUCAUAUCAUCCCUCCAAAAAUAAACUGUUCAGUAUCAAUUUCAGUGGUUGGUCUUUUCUCCAUUCUUUUCCCUUAACUAAUAAUCUGAUUAUCAUAUUCUUGCAUAGUGAUCAGAAACUUCAUUAGCAGACACUCUAGACUGAGGAAAUGUGAAAUCUAAUACUCUCACCAUAUUGUUACCUGCAUUAAUAAGUACCAAAGAGCUAUUUGAAACACCAUAAAAUUGCCAGCCAAUUUUUACAUAGCUGAUAUCUAUUGGUCAUUUCUUUGCUGAUGGCACUGUAAGUGGACUGGCCUAAAAGAAAGUUUGACGAUUCUUUCUCUUGAAGUGAAAAGUGUAAAUCAAGUAGGAUCAUUUUCUUGCUAUUCUGUUUCCUUUAGUUUAAAUAAGAUGGACCAUUCUUGGAAUUUCUAAAACUGGAUAUAAGGUAGGUUGUGAAAGCAAUUACAUAGGAGAAUGAAUGAAUCCUAAUGGUCCAAGGAAUGAUUUCAAUUACCUAUUUAUAGCAGACAACCUCCAAAGUUAUGAUUUUGUUUAGAAUUGUUUCCCCUGUUAAAAUAUCACUUCCUCUCCUUGUUUAGGUUUGUUUCUAAUAGAAAUGCCAGAGUAGGGAUCUCUGGAUGGAGGAGGAUGGGCAUGGUUUGUGGAAUCCUUGCUUUCUUAAGGGGUUUCAUGAUUGGGAGUUGGAAGCAGUGGGCAGAUUUUGUUAUUUCCGUCAAGUACUGAUACAGUGACAUUACAUUUUCUUUUCCUAUCAAAUACAAGUUGUUUGUAAAAAUAUAUUUGGGGCCCUAACUUCCUGUUGCAUUUCUCUUUUUAGUUUGGUACCAAGUGCAUCCAAAGGGUGACCUAAACUCAAAACUGAACUCAAGUAAACAGAAUAAAUAUCCCCUACUAUACUAGUCUUGUUGUACUUGUUUUUGGGGGUCAUUGAUCUUGGAUGGCUAUAGGAUUUCAUAAGUUGUAUGCUUAGAGCUUCACAUGCAAACCAGAUAGGAAGAUUUGGAUUUAGGUAAAAGAUACGCUUAUCCAGGCAUUUACUGCCUUCUUGGAUGAUCCUGUCAACGGCUCAUUCUUCACCACCAUAGCUAUCUUUUGACCGGAUUGGCUACUUAGUUCUGGUGCUUAUAGAAUAUAUUUUGCUUUCAUAUAUUUACAUAAUUCAGGGGUUCUGAGUUAUGAAUGUUAUCUUCAAGUUUACCAUGAUGUUCUACAUUAUGAAACCAUUUUGAAGAAACUAGAUGUGCAAUGUAUAUUUGUUUCUUUUGUAUGUUUUUCACAAAUGAUACUGUAGCAUUAAUGUAAUUCUUUCCCUUUUGUACAGAUUCCAUCAAAUGCAGCUGGAGAAACAGAGUAUAGAGCACAUCCUUUCUGGAUGCAAGAGUACUGUCCCUCACAUGAGCAUGAUGGAACUCCUCGGUGUUGUAGUUGUGAACGAACAGAGGUUAGUUGGAAGAAAAUACAACCUCCCAUCCCACAUACUCACUGAAGAAAUCUUCUCGUAGCUUGACAGAUUAACAACUACAGAUUUCUAUUUUUCGUUUUGUAUUUCUUUAUAGAAAAUCUGCCAACCCAUGCAGGUAAGGGACAUUAGGUAUCUAUCACUUGAUGAUGGUAGGAAACUAUGUCUGGAGUGCCUGGACUCUGCUAUCAUGGAUACACUAGAGUGCCAGCCUCUUUACCUUCAAAUACAAGAAUUUUAUGAGGGUUUGAAUAUGAAAGUGGAGCAGCAAAUCCCUCUUCUCUUGGUUGAGAGACAAGCACUAAAUGAGGCCAUGGAGGGAGAAAAGAGUGUAAGGACUAAUGCAUUGAAGUGAUCAUAUUUCAUACCAACAGGAAUUUUCUCGUCUUGUAUUUUAAGUUUCCAUGAAGUUUGAAUGUUCUCUUUAUUGUAUGGGCAGGGACAUCACCUCUUGCCCGAGACUAGAGGACUCUGCCUCUCCGAAGAACAGACUGUUAGCACUGUAGGAUUUUCUUUCUCAGAAAUCUUACUUCAAAUUUGUGGUGUGAUAUACUUUUAGUAACGUAUCUAUUAGUGGAUUAUGAAUCUAUGCUUAUUUGGCUGUAAUGACCAGAUUUCGAGGAGGCCUAGGAUUAGUACAGGCUAUCGGAUUAUCAACAUGAUGACAGAACCUUGUAGGCUAGUCCGUCGAUGUGAAGUGACAGCAAUUCUUAUUUUGUAUGGGCUCCCGAGGUAUUAUAUCUCUUAUGCUCUCUAUCCCAAAAUGUUUACUUGCUUGAUUAGUUUUGAUGUAUGUGUCGCAACCAAAAAAUCCCUCCUAAAAUACAGAUUGCUGACCGGGACGAUCCUGGCUCACGAGAUGAUGCAUGCAUGGCUCAAACUGAAAGGUACUUAUCCGUUCAGUGACAAAUAUUGCGUUGACAAUUGUUUCUAUUCAAGCCCUCUGAAAUGUGAUUAAUCUAUGUUCUUCAAAUGUUGCACUUCCUGUUUUCCAUUCAUAAUGAGAAGCUAGAAAUUAAUAACCAAGUGUUUGGCAGGCUAUCGAAAUCUGAGACAGGAUGUUGAAGAAGGCAUCUGCCAGGUGUUGGCUUAUAUGUGGUUGGAAUCAGAGAUACAUUCAAGCUCUGGUAACAAUGUUUCUUCAGCUUCAACGCCAUCAUCAUCAUCCACAUCAGAGAAGGGUGCACGGUCUCAGUUUGAAAAGAAACUCGGUGAGUUUUUUAAAGAUCAGAUAGAGACAGAUAGUUCACCAGCUUAUGGGGACGGAUUUAGGGCUGGUAACCAAGCAGUGCAGCAGUACGGCCUCAAGAGUACCCUCGACCAUAUUCGGCUGACAGGAAGCUUUCCUUACUGAAAGUCGAUCAAUAACUCCCGCCCCAUUAUCUUCUAGUUUUACAGGACCUAGACCCACAUGAAUUAUAAACAUCACAUGAAGAAAUAAGCAGCUAAAUGUUGCUUCUCGUGACCAAUUGCUGAAUUUUCCGUACUGUGGGCACCACUAUUUUACUAUUUUGCCUAAUAAUUAUUAACAUGUAGUAAAAAAAAUUGGAAUCUAUGAUCAUAUGUGUUUUCCCUUUUUUGUUUGUGACAUGUCCUGUGUUCAAUUGUAAGAAGCUGAGGUGCUUGUAGCCUAGGAUUGCAUGCCAACUAGCUUUCUAAAUCUCUUUUCAAGAAACAGAGCUAGCUUUUUUGUUCUUCUUUUUUCAAUUAAAAUCAACGGUAUUGGAAGCAUAAUGGCGAUAAUUUCAUUCAGUAGUAAGAGGAACAUAUUUAUUUUUCCGGCUAUGAAGCCAACACCAGUGCUUGUCUCUCUCUCCAGCUAUUCUGAAUCAUCUUACCUUUAAUUUGCACCAGCAAGAGUGUCUCCUCUUUGAGAAUAUUGAUGAGCUCUCCUCUUGAGAAAUUUCACUUGGGAGGGUUCUAAUAUUUCAUAUUUUAAUAGCAAAAUGUCUUACAAUUAGAGGAAAAUGAGAUGGACACCCUACAAUGUUUUUGACAAUUACAUUGAUACCACUCCAAUUUUUUUAAAUUAUGAUGGCUAGUGGACAAUUCAUCAUCUAAUUAUGUUUUUUUAGGACCAGCACUCCUAUUGAGGUGGUCACAAUACAAUCUUAGCAAGUUGAAUUAUCACAUAUCAUAGAAUUUAGGCCUAAUCCUUGUAGAUUUGAAGUUGAGCCUAUGUGAGGGCAAACAAUAAUGGGUUGUGACUUCAGUGAGGCCCACUAGACAUGACAAAAACCCUUUUUACUCAUGUAGGCCUAUGUGCCAUGGGACGGAGGCUUGGCGUAGAAGAUGGUGAUGACAUAGGGUUUUAGUGAGGUGGAAAGAAGGGCAACCAUUGAGUUGUAGAAGAUAUAAGGUUUAAGGGUGAGAGUGAAGAUGUGAAUGGAGAGGAUGAGGAUGACAAUGAAGAUGAUGGUGAGAAAGCAUAAUGUGACAUUAGUGAUGAUGUUGAUGACAUUGAGUAAUGGCCACCAAGUCAUGUAUGUGAAACCAAGGUUUGGUUAAUGUCGGUUUUGAUGAUAAUAAAACAAGGUUUAAAAUUAAUGAUUAUAUUUCAAGUGUAAUUAGGUAAGGCGAUUUCCAAAGUGACAAUUACAAAGACAAAUUAAGCCAAGGAGAAAUCAUGAGGAAGAAGACCACCUCAAUGAAAAGUGUUUUUCAAGACUCAAGCUUCAUAAGAUCUCUUUGUAAGGUUGUUGGUGCACUAGAAUUUUCAUGCAUUAGAUUCUUUACUUAUGCACCAAAAUCAUCUAAGAGUUAUUUUGUUUUAAAUAUUUUAAAAAUUGGAUGAUUUCAUGUUUUUAACUAAAACCUCGUGUCAAAUGUUUUUCAAACUUGUUUUAAAAUGUUUUAAGUUGAAAAAGUUGGUUGUUGAGCAAAAAACAGCUCAAUCGGUCGACCCCCAACUCAACCGGUCGAGGUCCGAGUCAACCCCUAGCUCAACCGGUUGAGGGUGUAAAAAACUUUCUCUUUCUUCCAGAACGGUUGUUCAACUGGUCAAGGUUGAACCUCAAUCGAUUGAGGUUUGGUCAAGGUCCAACAGUCACCUACCAAACAUUAAUUGCUAAUGGCUAGUCAACUGGUCGACCCCUAGCUCAACCGGUCAAAUUUCUAACGGCUAGUUUGGUUUUUUUCCUCUAUAAAAAAAGCUCCAAAUCUUCAUUGUUUAUCAGCUCAACCUUCCCAAACCUUUCUUAAAUAUAUUUGAGCCUUGGAAUAGUGUUUUGAGUGCAUCAUUGUUUUAAAACUUGCAUAUCUUUAGUGCACCAUUCAAUCCUAGUUUUCUUGUAUCAUUUGAGCUUAAAGUUUUUGUACUAGGAUUUUAUGAGAUCAAUUAUUUAUACAUCUUUAAGAUGAAGAUUCUCCAGUGUGGGGUAUCACUUGAGAGGUUGUUCAAGAGUGGGGUUUCUCUUAAGGAUUGUAAAGGUUGCUUGGAGCUAAAAGUCCAAGAGGGUGGAUUAGAAUCAUAAUCCAAUUGUAUUGCUUGAAGGCUUGGUUUGGAAACCUUGAAUUAGUGGAACCUCAAGCUUGGGAUUGAAGCUAGAGGAGAGUGGAUGUAGGUUGGGUUGUGCCGAACCACUAUAAAAUCUUGUGUUUGUAUUCUCUCUUCCCUACUCUUUUACUUUAUAUGCAAUUGUCUUUAUAUUGUUUUAUUAUAUACUUGCAUAUAUUUGUCUCUUACAUUCACAUGAUAUAAAUUUGCAAAAAGAGACCAUCACCCUAUUCACCCCCCUCUAGGGUGAUUAUUAUAGGUUGUAUUAGCCUAAUUUUUUUAACAAUUCUUGUAGGAUCUCAAGCGCUACCAACUAACCUAAAAGCAAUUGCUUAUAGGAAAGAUGCAUACCCUAGUCUUAUAGUGCAUUCACCCAAGUGCCCAUGGCGAACACAAGGAGAGUUGAUGGACAUGACCAACCCUCCGAUUUGCCAACAAUUUCCCCCCCAACGACACCCUUGGGGUUCGAACUCGUGACCUCGGCUCUGAUACAACUUGUAGGACUUUAGACGCUACCAACUCUCCUAAAAGCAAUUGCUUAUAGGAAAUGCGCAUACCCUAACUUUAUAGUGCAUUCACCCAAGUGCCCACAACGAACACAAGAAGAGUUAAUGGACGCGGCCAACCCUCCGAUCUGCAAACAAUGUAGAUGAGAGUGGUGACUUGACAGAAAUAGUGCAUCAAAUAGGUUUCAUAUUAAUGAUGAGCUUCAAGGUACAAAUCCAAUGAUGGUGAUGGGAGGGGGGUUCAAUGCAGUUUUGUCUUAGGAAGUGAAGAGGCUUGUCAUUACAUAAACAUCGAUAUUAAAGGGGAGACAUACAAUGUUGAUUAAGGGAAUGACAUAAGAUUGAGGAAAGGUUUGUUGUUUGGUAAUGUGCAUUUCUUUAAAGCCAUAUCGAGGGCUUUUAUGAUCCCAAAGGGCUUUGAAAUAAAAAAGAUAAAGAAUCAGGGAACUAGGGUGAUUGCUAGGUGUGUAACCAAGGAAUAUCCUUGCAGAAUUGAUGGCUCUCUAACAAUGAUGGGGUGACUUACAUGAUCAAGAUAAUGUCAAAUGCAAAUAAUUGUCGUAAAAUUUCAAUAAUCAAAUGUGAGAAGAAGAGGCCUCUAUAACCCUCGGUUGUUUCUUAUAUGGGAAGCUUGGUCAUAAUAAAAAAGAUAUGUCUAAUGCCUCCUAAAACAAUAAGGAAUGGUAAAAAAAUCAUUUCAAGUGAUAAGGGAGAAUCAAAUUCUCCAUGAUACGUGUUUCCUUCCUUUUCUGUUAACAUAAUAUCCGCUUGUAUAGCUGUAGGGAUAUGCUCAAUAUUUGUAUUUGAUUCUUUCCUAUUAUGUAAGAGUUUACAACUGUAAUUAUCGUGUAUAUAUAAUGAAGAGUUAUCUCCUCAUCUGGUAAGGAGGAUUUCAGUCAUUUACCGUGUUUAUCAAACACCUUUAUGUUAUCAGUUUCAAGUUUUCUUUUUUUCGAUUCUGACCAUGGCUGUUUUGUCUUCUUCACCUCCUACUCUUCCACUCAAUAUAAUGGUGCAUAUGCUCACCAUUAAACUGACCUCCUCUAAUUAUCUAUUGUGGAGAAAUCAGUUCGUUCCUCUGUUAGCUAGUCAAGAGCUUUUUGGUUAUUUGGACGGUAGCAUCACGACUCCUUCUCCCAUGAUUACUGCCUCUGAUGGCACCCCAAAAUCCAAUCCUGCAUAUACCUCUUGGCUGCAUACUGAUCAUACACUGCUCAGUUUACUCUAUUCUUCUCUCACAGAGGAAUCUAUGAGUGAGGUACUAGGUUUCCGUCACUCCCACGAGGCCUGGCAUGCGCUUGAAGUCUCAUUUUCGCACCGAUCAAAGACUCGUGAACUGCAACUCAAGGAUGAACUCCAGCUGACGCACCGUGGCUCUCAGUCCAUUGCUGAGUUUUCUUGCACCUUCAAAGGCCUUUACGAUCAACUGGCUGCUAUUGGACGUCCCAUUGAUGACACGGAUAAAGUCCACUGGUACCUACGCGCAUUGGGACCCGACUACAAGAUCUUUUCUACCACCAUGAUGUCACAACUUCCUCUACCAUCCUUUGCUGAAAUUGUUCCGAAAGCUUUGAGCCAUGAAAUCUUUGAACGGUCAGUUUCCCAUUCAUCUUCCAACUCUGCUUAUUUUGUGCAGCAAACUUCCAAAGUGGCUGGUCAUAAGCAAGUGAAGCAUUGGUCUUCAGCUUCUCCUACACCGUUUGCCAACUCAAAGUCAUCAUCCAACUCCUCCGUCCACUGUCAGUUGUGUGACAAAGAGGGCCACUCGGCUAAACGUUGCUGGAGUUUCCUGAAACUCAAGAAGAAGCAAUCGGCUAACCUUGCUAAGGCUUUUUCUGCUUGCUCGAUUCAGGAUUUUAAUGACUCUGAAUGGUUCCCUGACUCUGGUGCAACGUCCCACAUGACUAGUGACACUGAAGGUGUGGAUCAACCAGUUGUCUAUUCUGGUAAUGAACGUGUCAUGGUUGGCAAUGGUCAGUUCUUAGCAAUCUCUCACACUGGUUCCAUUUCAUCUCUUGUUCCGUCUAGUCCUCUUCUUUUAUCUAAUGUCUUAGUUGUUCCUGGAAUUAAGAAAAAUCUUAUUUCUAUUAGUCAACUUACUAAAGACAAUAAUUGUUGUGUUACAUUUUCUUCCUCUGGUUUUACCAUACAGGAUCGGGUCACAAGAGUGGUACUAGGAGUCGGAAGAUGUGAAAAUGGUCUCUACGUGCUGGAUUGUCGUCAUCAUGCCUUAGUGUCCACUACUUCUUCACCGCGAGCAUCUGUUCGUUUAUGGCAUACUCGCCUUGGUCAUCCACAUUAUCGUACUGUUGCUUCUCUUUCUAAAUUAGGAUCUAUUUCUUGUAGUAAUAAAUUGGUGAACAAUGAUUUUGAAAUUUGUGUUGGUUGUAGACUCGGCAAAAGCCACCGUUUACCUUUUUCUCUAAAUAAUGAACGUUGUGCUAUGCCUUUUGAUCGUUUACACUGUGACCUAUGGGGUCCAUCACCAGUUUCUUCCUUUAAUGGAUAUCGAUACUAUGCGGUUUUCAUUGAUGAUUGUACUAGAUUUAGUUGGAUAUUUCCUUUAAAACACAAAUCUGAUUUCUUUGAUAAUUUCAUCAAUUUACAACGUUUUAUUGAGACACAGUUUUCCGCCAAAAUCAAAUCAUUUCAGUGUGAUGGUGGAACUGAGUUUACUAAUAAUAAGUUUCGCUCUCAUUUGCAUUUGUGUGGCAUUGAUCUUCGUCUGGCAUGUCCUUACACUCCUAGUCAAAAUGGAAUUGCUGAACGUAAGCAUCGUCAUGUCACAGAAACAGGUCUUACUCUUAUGUUUCAUGCUUGUGUGUCGUUCUCCUUAUGGGUUGAGGCCUUCUCUACUGCCGUCUUUCUCAUUAACCGACUCCCGUCACCAUCUCUUGCUGGCAAAACACCUUAUGAGCUCCUGUUUGGUAAGCAACCUGAUUAUUCUAUGCUUCGUACUUUUGGGUGUCUUUGCUUCCCUUAUUUGAGAGAUUACUCACCUAAUAAAUUGUCUCCAAAAUCUACUCCUUGUGUCUUUUUAGGUUACAAUACCCUUCAUAAAGGAUUUCGGUGCUUAGAUCGUAAGACACAUCGUGCCUAUGUUUCUCGACAUGUGCAGUUUUAUGAACAUACAUUUCCCUAUAAUGGUGAUUCUGUGCAAAAUCUGCCAUCUAACAUUGACUAUAUUCAUUUUUCUGAGUCUCAGGAAUGUGUUUCUAGUUCUUCUAACGUUAGUACUUUAAAUUCUUUGCCUUCACCAUCUUUCUCGAAUUCUCUGUGUCUGCUUUGCAAUGAUAUUCCACACUUGUCUUCGACUUCUUCUCCUGGUCCGCAAGUUCCUCUUGAUGAGGACUCUCUCUUGGAUUCUGUUGUUACAGAUUCGACCACUCCUUCACCAGUUUCGUCCUCUCCUCGUGUGACCACUUCCAGCCAUCCGAUGAUUACUAGAGGGAAAGCUGGUAUAUUCAAACCAUAGUUGUAUCAUGCUAUGAAUAUCUCAUCUUCUUCUCAGUUGUUUCAGGCUCUUUUUGCUCUCAAAGAGCCACGAGGCUUCAAGUCUACUGCAAAACACCCUGAAUGGCUCUCGGCUAUGGAUGAUGAAAUUCACGCACUGAAGAAAAAUGAUACGUGGGUUUUUGUACCUCGUCCUCAGCAUCAUAAUGUGGUUGGCUGUCGCUGGAUUUUCAAAACAAAGAUUCACUCUGAUGGGUCUAUUGAGCAUCACAAGGCACGUCUUGUGGCUCAAGGAUUUUCUCAAGUUCAUGGUCUUGAUUUUGGUGACACCUUUAGCCCUGUGGUGCGUCCUGCUACAGUUAGAAUCAUUCUAUCCUUGGUUGUUACUUCUGGAUGGCGUUUACAUCAGCUAGAUGUUAAAAAUGCCUUUCUUCAUGGCUUUCUCAACGAAGAGGUGUACAUGGAACAACCGCCUGGCUACACUGAUCCACAAUUUCCUCAGCAUGUUUGUCAUCUAAAACGUGCUCUUUAUGGCUUGAAACAAGCUCCUCGAGCUUGGUUUCAUCGAUUUAGCUCAUUUUUGCUCAAACUUGGUUUUCACUCUAGUCAGGCUGAUUCUUCGUUGUUUGUCUAUCACUCCUCGCUUGGUACUGUUUACUUGCUUCUUUAUGUUGAUGACAUGAUCAUCACUGGAAGUACUCCUUCUCUGGUUCACACCUUUAUUACUCGGCUUUCCAACGAAUUCUCCAUGAAGGAUUUGGGUGAUCUUCUAUAUUUUCUUGGAGUUGAAGUCCAAGCUAAUGAGAAGGGUCUAUUUCUCAGUCAAACGAAGUAUGCUCUUGAUCUCUUGCAACGUGCUUCAAUGAUUGAUGCCAAGCCUAUUUCUACACCUUUUGUUAUUGGACAGCAUCUAUUCGCCGAAGGGACUCUAUUCUCCGACCCUACUCUGUUUCGUUCUCUUGCCGGUGCUCUUCAAUACCUCACGAUCACCAGGCCUGAUUUGUCCUUCAGUGUCAACUCCAUUUGCCAGUUCAUGCAUGCUCCCACCGAGGAUCAUUUUCGUGCUUUCAAGCGUAUCUUGCGCUAUGUUAAAGGCACUGCUCAUCAUGGUCUUCAACUUCACAAACAGUCCACUCGUGAUCUUCUUGGCUACUCUGAUGCGGACUGGGCUGGAUGUCCUGAUACACGUCGUUCUACUAGCGGCUAUGCUAUCUUUUUUGGAGCUAAUUUAAUCUCUUGGUCUUCUAAGAAACAAAGCACUGUCUCUCGUUCAAGUGCAGAAGCCGAAUAUCGCUCCUUAGCUGUUGCUACUGCUGAUAUUGCAUGGAUUAUUCAGUUGCUUCGGGACCUUCAUGUUACACUCUCAGUACCACCUAAAAUUCUUUGUGACAAUCAAAGUGCAAUUUUUAUGGCAGUCAAUUCGGUUACUCGUCCUCGAUCCAAACAUAUUACAAUCGACUACCAUUUUGUUCGUGAACUUGUUGAUAAAGGCACUUUGAAAAUUGAUUUUGUUCCUUCACAUCUACAGCUUGCUGAUUCACUGACCAAAGGAGUUACCAAGCCACAGUUCUAUCUCUUUCGAAGCAAGCUCAGCGUUCUCCCUUCUACCACGCUCACCUUGCAGGGGGGUGAUAAGGGAGAAUUUGAUUCUCCAUGAUACGUGCUUCCUUCCUUUUCUGUUAACAUAAUAUCCGCUUGUAUAGCUGUAGGGAUAUGCUCAAUAUUUGUAUUUGAUUCUUUCCUAUUAUGUAAGAGUUUACAACUGUAAUUAUCGUGUAUAUAUAAUGAAGAGUUAUCUCCUCAUCUGGUAAGGAGGAUUUCAGUCAUUUACCGUGUUUAUCAAACACCUUUAUCAAGCAAACAAGAAAGAGAAUAUAGCUAAGAAGGAGGAUGCAAACAAGACAAACAAGAUAAAGAACAUGAUAUAGGAGUUAGAGCACCCAAUAAAGGCAAAAUACCAUUUCAAAGAAGUGGAGCCACUAGUGGGAGAGGGAGAUUUGCAUUGUCAGAAUUGGUCAUCAAUAUUAGAUUAAUCAUCAAUAACAACAAGGACAUUAUUAGUAGUAGGGCAUCAACAAUAGGAAGAAUAAUAGAAAAGGUAGUUGAAUAAGUAUUAGCAUCAGAACAGGGAGGACUAAAGACAUCCAUAAACCUUUAUAGUGACCUUUUUUCUUAUCAAUCGCAAAGGUAAAUCCAAUCAACAUAUGAGUUUGAUUAAUCAGGAAUAUCUAAAACUAGAGCUUGUCAUGAGGAGAAGAAAAAAAAAAGAUUUUAGGCUAGGAUGAUACGUCUCACAUAGAGCCACUAGUAUAAAGAAAAUAAAAAAUUAAAAGAAAUUCAUCCAUCAAUCACACAUUAAUGGAAGCAAUCAAGUAGGAACUAAUUAAUAUACAUGAAACAUCCAUACAAUCAUUUAUAUGAAUUCAUUCAUUAUCCUUAUUCAAUCAUACAUAACAAUUAUUAGUAACAACAUCAUAUUGGCAAACAUAAAAAAUAAUACAAAUAUUUCUAGGCCUGUGGGAUUAGUCGAGGUGCGCGUAAACUGGUCCGGACAUCCACGGUUAUAAAAAUAUAGGGAGAAUUGUGUUUUGGGCCCAGCUGAGCCCAAAAAUUAACAUUUGGUCCAUAUAACUUCCAUAAUUGAUGGAAAGGAUAUGAGAUGUUAAAAGACCAAUAUAUCCUUCAAAUUUCUAUACAUUACCUUUUAAAGACAUAAAAUAGUGAUGGACUAAAAUACCCAAUGACCUUUCACAUAAACUUUUUUUUUGUCUUUAUUGCACCAUUAUUCAUGCAAUCAUAAUAAUUUUAUUUUAACAAUUUGGAUUUUUCAUUAUUUUAAUUUUUUUUUAUAAAUAAUUGAAAAUCAACAUUAUUUUCUAUUUUAAAUUAUAAAUAAAGAAAAAUUAUGUUCCAAAGCUAUUUUAAAAAAUACUUUCUAAAAAAUAGUAAUAUGAUUUAUAUUUUUUAUAUUUUCUUUUUGAAAAAACAUUUAAUUAAAAAAUGAAAACUAUUUUAAAAAAUAAAAAUUGAAAACCUUGUUUAGUACUAUUUUUUAUAUGAAAAUAAUAAAAAGAACUAAAUUUCAUUCAUUGAUUAUCCAUUUUUAUUUUUUUUCAUUAGUUAUUUUAAUAAUAAAAAAAAAAAAUAGUAUGUUUACGAUUAAACAAAGAAAUUGAUCAAUUAUGUGUUUUUUGUGGGACUAUCUUUUACAUGAAAAAUAAUUAAAUAACUAAAUUAUAUAUAUUUAUUACUCUUUUUAAUUUUAUUUUCUUUAUUUAUUUUUUAUCGAAAAUUUUAAUAUAUCCAUAAUUAACAAAGUAAUAAAUCAAUUGUGCACAUUUUAAUCUAUUAAAAUAAAUUAAUUUCUAAUUUAAUAAAUAAAAUGAAAUAAGUAAAUAAAUUUGGGGUUAUUUCUAUUUUUUAAUAUAUCUUAUAUCAAUAUUUUUUAUGAUUAAAUAAAUUUUUUAUUUUUUAUUUCUUUAAUUCCAAAAAUAAAAUGAAAUAAAUAAAUAAAUUUAGAAUUUUCCAACUGAUCUUAUAUUCAUAUUUCUUAUGGUUAAAUAAAUUUUUUAUUUUUUUUCUUUAUUUCCAAAAAUAAAAGGAAAUAAAUAAAUAAAUUUGGCUUAAAUAAUAGUUUUUAAGUAAUUUCUUUGUCUUGUUUUUAAUUACAUUUUGCAUUGAAAAUAAAAUAAAAUAACGUUUUUUUUAGUCACUGUACAAGGCAUUUACACUAAGUGUACAUGACAAAUAUACUAACUAUACAAUGGUGUACAAAACUAUUAUUUGUGAAGGAUUUUAAGUGAUUCUAAAAAAUUUGUUUGUUUAUUUCCCUUAACCGAUGAUAAAUGACAUUCCUUACACACAUUGGUUAAACAUACAUUUAUCUCAUGUAUUUUAUCUAACUUGUAUAUGGUCAUUUUAAUAGGUACCUCACUUAUGAUGAUUGUAAAACAAAAUUAUACAACAAUUUUUUUUCCUUUUUAAAACCAAACUGAUGCAAACAUGGUUAACCGACCUAUUGUUAGAUAUUCAUAAAAUGAUGUAUGAAAUUUGAGUUAUUGUAAAGGGUAUUACACUAACUGUAUAAGACAAAUUUACUAAUUGUACAAGGGUGUACAAGACUACUUUUUGUUAAGGAUUUAAAGUGAUUUCGAAAAACUUUCCCAUUUUUUUCCACUCAAAUAUUUUUUCCCCACUCAAAUUCUCUCACUCAAGAAUUGUUUCGAAUUUUAUUUUUAAAUUUCAUCAUCAAAUUUUUGUAAUUGCAUAUUUUGUUUUUGUAGUUUUAGCAAUGUUCUUUCUUUCCACUAUUUUUUUUUUUUUGUGAAAUUUUAUCCAAAUGAAUCUAUAUUUAAAAUUAUAAUUAUAUUUAUCAAAUUUUUUACUAAGAUUAUCUUUAAUUUUUUUAAUAUAUUUAUACUCAUUUAUUUAAAAAAUGAAAAACUAAUUCUUUUUGUAAACAUGUUCUAUUACCUUUCAAGUAAAAAAUUAGAUAAGUUUCAAAGUCAAUAAAUAAAAAAAUUAAAUACCACUUUCAAUAAUUUUUAGAUAAAAUUUUGUAUAAUAUAUUUUAUUUGAAACUUAAUUUUUAAAGUUUAACUAAAAAAUUGUAUUGACAAUUUUCUUGUUGUGGGUCAAAAUACUUUGCAUUAGUUUAUUUAGAUAAGAAAAAUUAUUAAUAUAAUAUUAGAACUUCAUAUCUUAGUUAUUUUUUUUCAACAAAUUUAUCUUUUUAAAAAUUUUAAAAUAAAAACAUUAAAAAUUAAAAAGCUAAAAAGAUAUAUAUAUAUAUAUAAUAAAGUGAAGUGAUAGUUAAUUUUAAAAUUUUUUAAAAUAUGGUUAAUGUAGAAAGUAUAAAAAAUAAGAGAAAAAUAUAGAUGAAAGGGUAAUAUAAAUUUAAAAUAAAAAAUGAAAAUUAAACUAAAAGAUAAAUAUAAAAAGAUAAAAAAUAUUUGGAUGAAAAAUCCCAAAAUUUUUAUCAUUGCUUUUAAUAAGAGCAAAAAGAUUCAAUAUCUUUAAAAUAGAAAUAUAUAUUGGAAUAAAAAGGAAAAAAAAAGUUAGAAAUGAGUAAUAUUUAAUAGGGAAUAGAAAAGGAAAAAAAACACAAAAAAAAAUUAAAAUUCACACUCACUUGUAGGCAUAUAAGGGAUAAGGGUAUUUUAGGAAUUAAUGAAAGACAAUAUCCUUCAUCUUAAUUUUCAUACUUUGUUUGGGUCUUGGGCUUAAAUAUGAGUGGUUGGAGGACCAAAUGUUAAUUUUUGGGCCCAGCUGGGCCCAAAACACAAUUCUCCCAAAUAAAAAUAAUAAUAAUAAUAAUGCAAAUGUGAUAUAAGAUGAUUUCAAUGUUUUCUAGAUCCCCCUUGUCUCCUUUAGGUUGAUCUUCUCUUUCAACUUAAGAGAAGAAUUGUCAUCCUCCAUUAUCUGGUACAAUUUUAAUUUUUUCACGAUUUUAUUUUAUUAUUUAUUUAUUUUUUCAUUUUUGACCUUAUUCUAGUUCUACUUCUACCCCAUCAUAGUCUUAUUUUACACAUUUCCAUGUCAGAUUAAACUUAAUAAGCGGUAGGCUUUUUCUCUUUCCCGCGGUGUUGCAGAAAUAUAGAGGGAAAGGGGUGAGAAGGGAAGUUAAGCGGUGAGCGAGAUGCAGAAGGAAGCCACCGAAGCGCUGAAGAAAGGCCAACCCCAUCGACAAACCCUUCUCUCUUAGUCUUUGUAGUUGGAGAAAACUCAGAACACUCAUCUGACAAAACUACGUUCCGUGGUAUUAACUCUCUUUCGGUGCACACCAGGUGCUUGAUGUUUUAAUUUUUGUGGGAAGGCUAAAAAUUGAUGAGAUCCAACAUAUUCUAUACGUCCCAGAUGAGAAUAACCACAUUUUGGACGUCCAUACUCCCAUAGGAUUGUGGAAUUGGUUCUAACCAGUUCUGCACAACCCAGUGCAGCCUGGAUUCUUCCAUUAAGAGAUCUCAAUUACAGUUUUCUCUGUUUAUUUAAUCCCUUUUGUAAAACUAGUCACGGUUUGGCUACGUACUUUACUCACCAAUAACUCUAAGUCAGUGGGGUUUUUCUACAAUUUGCACAUUAUGCAUUAACAUUCAUCAUAAUCUCCAAUUAUGUCUUCUUCAUAGUUUCCAUUGAAAAGUUAGCGUGUUAUGCAUCAUUCUCUAUUACAUAGUGGUGGUUAACUUGAGAAGCAUCAAACUUUUGCUCAACUGAUUUGUUAUGUUUCUGAACUAACUUACAAUAUAAUUUAUAGAGUGAUCACUAUUAUGGUCUUCAAGAAGUCUCAAUGUACGUCAAGCAGCUCUUCCGAAAAUUAUGUCUAUUUAACAAUCCAAUGCAGCAAACUCGAUACUUUACCCAUAACCCUUUCUCUGGUAAAAUCUCUCUUUACCUCCAUCGAGCCAGACUCAUUGAUUCAAUUCGACUCAUUCUCCGCUCCAACGCUCCAAGAUCGCUCAUCCCUCUCUUAAAUGAUCCCACUGUUGACUCUUUUGUGGUUGCUAAUGCCCUUCAGUCUGCUCCCUCACCAGACUCUGCCCUUUCCCUGCUUGAAAUCCUAAAAACAAUUCCACAUUUCUGUCACACCCAAGCCACCAUACGUGCACUGGCCAAAAUCCUUGCCAAGUCCCAACGAAGUGCUGAACUCAAAAGCUUGGUUGAUGACAUCAACGCAGGCAAAUUUUGGAAUGUUCGUAUCAGCUUUAUGGAGCUCAUGAAGUGGCAUGCUGCAGCUGGAGACCUGGAGUCAGUUCUCCAUGCAUGGAACAGAUAUAGAGUUUCAGGCAAGCAGGUGUCUAUAGAGGCUUACAACAUUGUCAUGCGCCUUUAUGUACAGAUGGGUAAGGACUCUGAGGCUAUGCAGAUUUUCCAUAAGAUUAUUUCUGAAGGGGCAAUUCCUAAUUCUAGGACAUACACAGUUGUGCUUGAGCACCUUGCCAACUCGGGAAAAUUAGAUUCAGCAAUUAAAGUUUUUAAUAUAUUGCCAUUGAUGAGGAUCAGACGCACUUUAAGGCAGUAUUCAAUUUUGGUAGAAGAAUUCACCAGUAUCAAUCGGUUUGAUGUGGUUAAGGCCUUACUUGAUGAGAUGCAGAUUGAUGGAAUAUUGCCCGGUAGAGCAAUGCAACUGUCAUUGCAACGUAUGCAGGAGGCAGGUUUCGUCCACGAGACAGAUGAAUUUCUUAGGGGAAUGUUACCAGAUGAGAGAAUCAAGAAUGUAGGCUUUUGUGUGGAUAGUAGUGAUGACGAUGACGAUGAGAAUAAUCAUUCUAGUGAUGAUGCUGGUGUGGAUGGGGUUCAGUUGAAACCAUGGUUGGAUCCUAGAGCUUUGGCCAAUGCCUUAAAUAAUUGGGACCCUAAUGAGGUAUUAGCCCUGGAGGAAGCAAAAUUCAUCUGGACAACUCGGUUGGUUUGCAAGAUCCUUAGGAAUUUCAAUUCCCCUGAGACAGCUUGGAAAUUCUUCUGUUGGGUUGCUUAUCAGCCAGGAGGAUUCAAUCAUAACAUUUAUACUGUGCAAAGAAUGAUGACCCUUUUAGCACGCCAUGGACAUGUUGAAUUGGUUGAAAAGCUCCUGCUCAAAAUAAGAAGGGAGGAAAUUAGAUUGCCAGUCAGCACCAUCAGAUUGAUCAUAGACUUUUAUGGAAUUUCAAGGAAUGCCGAUGCUGCUCUAAAGGUCUUCCAUGAUGCUGAAUCACUGUGCGGUCCCAUGUCAAAAUUAUAUUUGAUGCUGUUGUAUUCAUCUCUUUUACGAACAUUGACCAAAUGUGGGAGGAGUGCUGAUGCCUUGGAUGUACUUGAGCAGAUGUUUUUGGGUGGGAUUUGCCCGGAUGUCCCAACAUUUUCUGGGUUGAUGUACCAUUUUGCCCUUGAAGGCGAUUUUAAAACAGUGCAAAAACUCUUUAUGAUGGUUAGGCAGAGUGGUGUAGAGCCAGAUGCCUACAUGUUUAAGGUUCUGAUCCAUGGAUAUUGUAAGUGUGAGAGAUCUGCUCUUGCAUUGAGGGUUUUUGAAGACAUGAGGAGCUUGAAUUUGAUGCCCGAUGCUGCCACCAAAAAUUUGCUUGUGAAGUGUCUUUGGAAGGAAGGCAGGCGGAGGGAGGCUGCUUCUGUGGAGGAGAGAUGUGAAGAGAUAAAUUACGGCCUUCCAUUUGCAUUACGUGGUCAUAUGUGGACAAUGAGCUCAGCAGACCUCAAAAGAGUGUAUGAUAUUUAUUCCAAUAGCUUUGCUGCAGCCAAAGGGCCAAAUUUACAAAUGGAGUUGGGAAGUAAGCACUGAUCUACCUUAACGUUGAACAUACUGCAACUUCAUGAGUCCCAAAAAUUUUUACCCUCUUUGAAAGUUUAAUUUUUGAUUGCUCUGUUGUCUUGGCAUUUUUCAUAGUGUUGGCUGGUAAUGGAUUUAAGUCUGUUAUCUUUUGGUGAGGAGCAGAUUAUUUUUCACUAUACAAGAGGUUUACAUUCAUAGAUGAGUUUCUGGUUGCAGAAGUCAAUACACUGAAGUGAACUGCUAUACAUAGUUCUGGUUUUUUAUAUCUGCAUGUUAAUGACGGAAUUAUGAGAGGAACUGAAAAGCAAAGAUCCUCAAGUUAACUUAUCAAUCAUUUUCAGAGAAGCUUCAAAUCGGUUUUAGGCUUUACUGUCUAGGACAUCACUCUGCUGUGUGUCUGUGUUUUAAGGAAGGUAUUUAUCUAGCUGAUUUUCAGCCUAAGGGUAUGUUGAUGAACUCCUUGUGGCUUUUCUUUCUUUUUCCUCUUCUUUUUGUACAAGGCUACAAGCAUAAUGUUAUUGUUGUAGGUUUUUUACUUUUUCCUUCUUCAAAUACAGUCAGUUUCUUGCAUUGGAAAUGCAGUGUGAGCUCCUGCUUCUCUACUAUAUAAUUUCCUCAGAAUUCUGUGGACUUGGCGAAAUCCUCUACCCCCGUCUGAGUGGAUACCUUAUGGUAGUGAGCCAUAUAUGCCAUCAUCUGAUUGGGUGUGGUUCUUCUCCUUUUCAAACCUCUCCACCUAACAGUUUAUCAUGGUCAUUUAAUAAAAUGUUGGUCUUUGUCAACAUAAAGGUAUUAACUCAAGUGUAAUCCCAUCUUUCAAUCAUAUAAACCUAUAUCAUUUGAUGCCAAUAUAUGAGAGCAAUGAGAUUCUCUUGCUCCAUGAAUGCAUAUACCUUUGUGUAACCGUCAAAUUAGUAGGUCCUGGCUCAGUUGGCUUGUUGUCUUUGUACAUGAUAGAAUUAGAGAUGGGACAACUUCUUGCCGUCCUAACUUGGGUUUGUAUAUUAAACCAAUCUGAUGCUUAUCAAUGACUAAGACAACAGGAAUUAAUAAAAAUGUGAAAGCUUGACAACAGGAAUUAUUCUUGUCGGCUUAUGUAAGGCAUUACAUGUAACCACACGAGUAUAAACUUCAAACACGAGAUAUCAUAUGAUAUGAUGUCUACAGUAGGGAGAUGCAAACUAGGAGAAUCAUUCAAAUCAAAGCUUGAGAUGGUGACCUCUGGAUUUUACUAAAUACAAGGAUUUAUUUUAUUGAGAUUGAAAGCUACAACCUUACAAUGCUCCUCAGCCUUUUUAUCAGAAGUGUACUCCUAGCUAUCUUUCAUAUAUUGUUGGGCUUUGUGGAGCCUAGUUUUAUUUGAUCCGGUUUGACGACCCGACCCGAAUAAUAUUACGUGGUUUUUUAAUGGGAGAUUGACAUCAAAGCUUUCGCUGGCAUAACAUAUAUGCCAUAGUUGCUUCAGAGGCUUAUUAUCCAGAGCUUAUAGCAAUGACUGUCUCUCUCCUCUCCUUUGUCUUGCUUCUCUUCAUUUCUUCAACCAACCAUAUCACAGCUCAAUCACCAGCCACCCCAGUUACAAACUUCUCGUGCACCACAGACUCACCUGCCUCAUGCCAAACAUAUGUCAUCUACCGUGCUCAGGCACCUGGAUUUUUGGACGUGGGAAAUAUAUCUGAUCUGUUUGGGAUCAGUCGCUUAUCAAUUGCAGAAGCAAGCAAUCUGGCUUCUGAGGAAGCUCGGUUGAGUCCAGACCAGCUUUUACUGGUACCUAUCUUGUGUAGCUGCACUGGAAACCAUUAUUUUGCAAACAUUACUUAUAAGAUCAAGACAGAUGAUAGCUUCUACUUCGUUUCAGUCACUGUGUUUGAAAAUCUCACCAAUUAUAAUGCAGUGGAAGCUUUGAACCCUGGUCUGGAACCGACCACCUUGCAGGUUGGUGUUGAAGUAGUCUUCCCUUUGUUCUGUAAGUGUCCAUCGAAGUCACAUUCGGAUAAAGGCAUCAACUAUCUUAUUACUUAUGUGUGGCAACCUGGUGAUGAUGUAUUGCUUGUGGGUACUAACUUGAAAGCAUCCCCAGUUGAUAUCAGAGAUGAAAAUAACAAUCUGAACUUUAGUGCUUCGGUGGACCAGCCAGUGUUGAUCCCUGUUUCACAACCUCCACUUCUCACUCAGCCUGAAAGAAGGGCAUCCAAAGGCAGGUGGAUCCUUGCUUUGGUUUUGAGCACAGGAGCUCUUUUAAUUUUCCUUUUGGUGAGCCUGCUGGUCUACACUGGUUUGAUCAGGAAAAAGAAGACUCUGGAUCAUUCAGAGUCCUCUUUGGAGACCACUGAUCUCAUUAAAGUGAAGAAAGCUCCAGAGGAUGAAAAUUUUGAGCUUAAGAUCAUACAGGAUAAGCUACUUCCUGGGGUUUCAGGCUACCUUGGCAAGCCAAUCAUGUACGAGACUAAAGUCAUUAUGGAGGCAACAAUGAACCUCAAUGAACACUACAGGAUUGGAGGAUCAGUAUACAGGGCCACAAUCAAUGGUCAGGUUGUUGCUGUAAAGAAAACCAAAGAAGAUAUCACAGAGGAAUUAAGGAUACUGCAGAAAGUAAAUCAUGGGAAUCUGGUCAAAUUGAUGGGCGUCUCAUCCGAUGCUGAUGGGAAUCGCUUCUUGGUUUAUGAAUUUGCUGAAAAUGGUUCACUGGAUAAGUGGUUGCACCCAAAGCCUUCUUCCCCUUCAAGCUCUGUAGCUUUCCUCACAUGGAGCCAGAGGAUACAGGUAGCCCUAGAUGUGGCCAAUGGCCUGCAAUAUAUGCAUGAGCAUACUCAACCAAGCGUUGUUCACAGGGAUAUCAGAGCAAAUAAUAUACUUCUAGACUCCAGGUUUAAGGCCAAGAUCGCAAACUUCUCUAUGGCUACACCUGCUAUGAACUCUAUGAUGCCAAAAGUUGACGUUUUUGCUUUUGGGGUUGUUCUAUUGGAGUUGCUUUCAGGGAAGAAAGCCAUGCAAAUGAGAGCCAAUGGUGAGAUUGUUAUGCUGUGGAAGGAUAUAAGGGAGAUCUUAGAAGUCGAAGACAAGAGAGAAGACAGGAUAAGGAGGUGGAUGGAUCCAACAUUGGAGAACUUUUAUCCCUUUGAUGGUGCUCUCAACUUGGCAGGGUUGGCAAGGUCAUGCACACAGGAGAAGUCUUCAGCAAGGCCAAGCAUGGCAGAAAUCGCCUUUAAUCUCUCUGUCCUCAGUCAGACAUCUUCUGAAACCUUGGAAAGGUCCUGGACUCAGGGGUUUGAACCAGAAGAAACAAUACAAAUAAUCAAUCCGGUCAUAGCUCGUUGAUUUGGCUAAUGAAUGAUGGGUUAUAUAUGUCCAAAUAGAUUGAUUUCCUUGUAUCUUAUAUUUCCUGAGUAGUGAAAUCCAUGUAUAUUUUGUUCUGCAAACCAAGGUAACAGAAACCACAGACUGAAUUAUAUGUAUACACAUUUGCAGGAAAUUAUUGCAUUUGAAAUACGCAUUAUUGCAAGUUGAAACUACUUGCUAAAAUUUAGUUUUCGCUUUUAAUCAUCUUUGCAGACGAGGUGCAUAUUGAAUUGAUUCGUCAACAUACUGUUGAAAUUAUCUCAACCAUGCCUGAUUUGCUGGUCAGCUCCAAUGCCAUACAGGACCCACUAAAUUUAUGUAGGCACAGUGAUUGUUGGAUUGGUGCUUUCCUAGAAGACUAGGAUCUGUAUGAUAACUGAGCUCUGUUUCUGUAUUUCCUCCAUCCAUGCUUGAGAUUUCUGAAGGAGUACUUAUUUGUCUUGAUUGAAAAUAGCUGCUUGUUUAAUAACCAAGUCCAAAAGCACCACAAAAGCAUAAUUAUCAAACUCAGAUGUAUCCUUUUGUUCCCAGAGACAACUUGUAGUUUGCUCCCCUGAUAUGGAAAAUUAAAUCUCGCAACUUGUAGUUAGCCCUUAAAUCUCUAUCUACUGCUACUGUCCUUGUGCAUUAGUGCAGGAAUGAAGUUAUGAAGAUAGUGAAGACCAUUAACAACAUCCAAAGCAAAAUGAAUCCUGUAAUUCCAAUUCUCAACCUAAGAGACAUUUUGUGGUGCCAAUCCUGAAAGAACCUUCUUCAUAUACUCAUUAGCAAGGUAGAAGAUACCCAUGAUGGUUACAUACUCCACAAAGGCUGAUCAGACUGAAGUGGUUGACCUUUUUAAGUAUAUUCACCUCCUCACUUGCAUCUUUACUCCAACCAUUUUAAUGGAUACUUCCUCCCCACCAAGAUCCCCCAGAUGGAGAGAACAAAUUACCCUGCUCUUGGGUUAAUUUUCAAUACACCUUUAGUCCUUUGAAUUUAUAAAUUUCAAAAUCAGAUUGGCACCGGGAGAUUAGUGAAGAUUUUUUUUUAUUCUCUCUCUCCUAACAACCAUAAUAAUUUCUCUUGUUCCUCUUCAUACUCAAUAUCUAUUCUAAUCUCAAUGUGAAGUCCUUCCUUCGACCUUCUAUUUCUUUGGUUAGGGGUAAAUGGAGGACAAAUAACUGGUGGAUAGACAAGCAUGGUUGGUGAGCUUGAAUUUCAGUUUCCAGUGGAAUUAGGAUAGUUGUACAAGGACAGAGAAUUGGAUUUCUCCAGCGAUUUCACCGGACACACCCUCUAAAUGCUUGUUGUACUUGUACAAACAUAUCUAAGUUGUACACUACUUGGAAAGAUGCAAUGUGUGCAAGCCUGAUAAUACUAAUCUGAGCAGAAACAGUUUACAGGACGGUCACUCUUUUCCUAAUGCGUAUCCAUUUAUAUACUUACUUAUUCUGAAACAUAGGAAUAUCUGGAGUAGCUUCUCUACACAGAUCUUUAAUAGCAAACUCUUUAAAGGGGUAGACCAUCUUUUACUAAUAAACCUAGAGAACAAUUGUCAUACUAGACAAUCCAUAGCACUUUAAGACGACAGGCCUUCACGAUUCUAGACUCCCAAAUAUCUGUGAGAAACUAGCAAAAAAAAGGGAGAGAGAGAGAUUGAAUUGCAUCUGAAUUGAAUUAUGCAUCAUACCAAGGAAAACUGAAAGAAAUACACGAAAUAUUACAAAAUUAAGACUUUGAAAUCAAACCGACCCUACCAUACUGUAAAUGCCAUCAAAAGCUUUCACUAUAAUUUUGUUAUCCUGCACCAUUAUUAGACGAUUCCCAGGCUUGUGAAGAGGCCAAGAUUCUUGAUAGGGAUUGCACUAUCUCAUCCAUGUCUGGGCGACCUGCUGGAGCUUUCGUUAAGCAGCUAUCUAUCAAUCUGAUCAUAAAAAUGGCAAGUUCUGGAGGAUAAUUCCCAUCUAAAGACGGAUCUAUGAAGUCCCCCAAUUUCUCCUUUCCGUCAUCCUCAUGAAGCACAGCAGCCAAGACCUCUGAUAAGUGUAUGCUUUCCCCUCCAUAUAGAGCGGCAACUUCUUUCCCAGUAAAUAUCUCCAGCAUGAGAACCCCAAACGCAUAGACAUCGAGCUUUGUGGAGAUCAAACCAUUCUCCAGAUACUCUGGAGCCAUGUAACCCUUUGUCCCAACGAUGUGCCUCGUCAAGGCAAACUGACCUUCCUGCCCCUCUGCUGACCUUGCCUGAUCAAAGUUAGCAAUCUUAGCCCUGAAAUCCCCAUCGAGAAGCACAUUAUUACUUUUCAUAUCCUUGUGGAUAUAAGAAGGGCUGACAUGUAUAUGGAGAUAGUUAAGCCCUGUGGCCACAUCCAAAGCAAUCUGAAUUCUCUGCGUCCAAACCAAGAAUCUCCUAUCAUUGUUGUUGUAAUAGAUCCAAUCACUCAAGGAUCCAUUAACAGCAUACUCAUGAACUAGAUACCAAUGCCCAUCAUUAAAACAAAUGCCAGAGAGGCGGAUGACAUUAAAAUGGUUGAUCUUGCUUAGUAAAGCUAUUUCGUUUGACACAUUUCCAUCCAUUUUCUUAAUGGCAGCCAAAUCCCCUUUAAUUGUGCCACGAUAAACAGAUCCCUUAAUCAGACAACUUGGGCUGAAAUUGUCAGUUGCAGAUUGUAGUUCCUCAAAUUUGUAAACUUUGACGGAUUGUGCCAUGCUGGAUAUACUUUCGAAGAACUCAUGUUCUUCCACCUUGAGGGGUUUUUCAAGUGGUUUAAAGCUCUCUGAGACAGCAAUUUGAUCAUUUUUCUUCUUGGUUUUUCUGAAGAAUUUUACGAAAAUGACAUAGCCAAAGAACAAAAGAAGAACAACUCCUGCAGCAACUCCAACAAUAACAUACACCCAUGUCUUCUUUGAACUUCCACUGGGGGAAGAUACAGCAGAUGGAGGUGGAGGUGGCGGUGGCGGUGGUGGUGGCACUAUGGUUUGGGAGCUUGAAGGUGGAUUUUGCAGAGGAAUUAGAAGGGUAGUAAAAGGAUUAAUGGUGUCUUGCUCAGAAAGCUCAUUAGCUUCAAGAGUCCUUUCAGUAUCGACACCAAACCUCCCACUUAUAGCUGAAACAGUAUCACCAUAAGCGACCAGGUAACUCAUUAGAUACUUGACACCCGCAUCGCUUUGGGCCUUUGUUGGACAAGCACACCUGAGAGGAACAGUAAUUGAAGUACCAGGAUUUAGAUUUGUAGCACUUACAGAAGGGUUUUGGUUUAGGAGAGCCUGACAGGUUGAGAGGCCUUGGAAAGUAUUGUUUGCAAUCCAUAAGGGAUAGUCUCCAUUUUUAACAACAUAAGAUGUGUUUGUCUGAGAGUAGUUACCUGAACAAGAGCAGUUGACAGGAACAAUCACCUCCUUGUUUGUGUCAAAAGUAGCAGUCUCAGUUACUGAAUUGAUUUGAGCGAGCUGAGAUGGGUCAGAAGCCAAGAGAUCAGAGAUGGAAGAAACAUUGUUAUAUGGGGAUUCUGAUCUGAAGAUGAGGUAAGUUUGGCAGGUGGUGUUUACACCAUUACAGGUGUAACCAAGAACAGUAGUAUAAUUAUUAUUGUAACAGUCUGCUGUGCCCAGGCCGAGGUAAGACUGCUGAGCAAGAAUCAAGGAAAAGCAACAAAUCAGGGAGAGAGUGAAGACGGAGAAGAAAGAUGGAGAGGCCAUUUUGGUUGAAUUGGAAGAUCUCAUGGGGAUGAGGCGGUUAUAAACUAUGCUCUCUGUCUCUGUCAAACAGGUUGGCUUAACUUUUGGGUGUUGUGCUUUGAACUGACUUUUCUAAUAACUUUUCUAAUAACGUGCCAAUGUAUCUCUGUGACGAAAUUUCUUGGAAUAGAGAAGAUUGGUCGAUAGUUCGCUGGUCAUCUUCCGUAUAUGGUUUGGCUUGGUUUACCAUUUCAGCCUGUCUCAGGGUUGAACUUCAGAAGGUAGCGAGGUUGUGGGCGCUCGCUGCCUGCCACCAUAUGAACUCUGAGAAGAGCAUAGAAACAUUCUGCCUUUAUAUGUAGUUAGCAACCAUUAUGUCCGUUUUAAAUGGUAAAAUAGCUAUUGACAAGACUUGGAUGCAAGAGGUCCUUGCCAGGUAAUACUGCCUUGAGCAGGGAUAAUUUACAGGAAGGUUUCAAAGGCAAUAAUGUAAAACUUGAGAUGAUGUUCAUGUGGGGCAGCUCCAAUGGAUCUGAAAGAUGCAAGUUCAUGUGUGUCUAUAAUGCUGAUACACUUAUUCUGAAACAUAGGUGUAACCUCAGUCCCUCCUCUAUCAGUGAACUAAUAUUUUAGAGCACUCUUUAAAGGACCAGGCAUUUUUUUACCUGCAGAAUAAAGAAAUAGUGACCAUGCUAAGCAACCCAAAGCACCUAAAGAUGACAGAGGCCUUUAGGAAUCUAAACUUCAGACUGAUCAUAGAUGCAAGAAACUAGCAACAACAUAACAAGGAAAAUGGGAAGGAAUGUAAGAAAUAUUACAGAAAUUCAGAUAUCGACCUCCCCAUAAGGAGAUUGCCAGAAAAAAACUCUAACUGGAAUUUUGGUAUCCUGAGACAUUAUUAGACAAUUCCCAGGCCACUGAAGUGGUCAAGGUUCUUGACAGGGCUUGCACUAUCUCAACCAUAUCUGGGCGACUUGCUGGAGAUUUCUUUAAGCAGCUAUCUAUCAAUCUGAUCAUAACAAUGGCAAGUUCCAAAGGAUAAUUCCCACUCAGGGAAGGAUCAAUGAAGUUCCUCAACUUCUCCUUUCCAUCUCCCUCAUGGAGCACAGCAACUAAGACAUCUGGUAGGUGCAUGUUCUCACCUUCAUAUAAUGCAGCAACUUCUUUCCCUGUAAGCAUCUCCAGCAUGAGAACCCCAAAUGCAUAAACAUCAAGCUUUGUGGAGACCAAACCAUUCUCCAGAUACUCUGGUGCCAUGUAACCUCUUGUCCCAAUGAUAUGCCUGGUUAAGGCAAACUGACCCUCCUGCCCCUCUGCUGACCUUGCUAAACCGAAGUUAGCAAUCUUAGCCCUGAAGUCACUAUCAAGAAGCACAUUACCGCUUUUUAUGUCCUUGUGGACAUAGGGAGGGCUGGUAUAGCUAUGGAGAUAGUUAAGCCCUGUGGCCACAUCCAAAGCAAUUUGAAUUCUCUGCAUCCAAACUAAAAACCUGCUGUCAUCAUUGUUGUUAUAGAUCCAAUCAGUCAAGGGUCCAUUAACAGCAUACUCAUGGACGAGGUACCAAUGCCCAUCAUUAAAACAAAUGCCAGAGAGGCGGAUGACAUUGAAAUGGUUGAUCUUGUUUAGUAAAGCUAUUUCAUUUGACACCUCUCCAUCCAUUUUCUUUAUGGCAGCCAAAUCCCCUUUAAUCGUGCCACGGUAAACAGACCCCUUUAUCCUACAAUUGGGGCUGAAAUUAUCAGUUGCAGAUUGUAGUUCUUCAAAUUUGUAAACUUUGAGGGAUUGUGCUAUGCUAGAUAUACUCUCCAAGAACUCAUGCUGUUCCUCCUUAAGUGGUUUCUCACAUGCCUCAAAGCUCUCUGAGAUAGCAAUUGGAUCAGUUUUCUUCCUAGUUUUCCUAAAGAAUUUGAAGAAAAUAACAGAGCCAAACAGCAAUACAAGAGCACUUCCGGCAACAACUCCAACAACGACAUAAACCCAUGUUUUCUUCAAGCUUUUACUUGGGGACGAUACAGCAGUUGGAGGUGGAGGUGAUGGUGGCGGCGGCGGCGGCGGCACUAUAGUUUGGGAACUUGAGGGCAGAUUUUGCAGGGGAAUUAGAAGGGUAGUAAAGGGAUAAAUGUUGGGGUUUUGCUCAGAAAGCUCAUUAGCUUCAAGAGUCAUUCCAGUAUCCACACCAAAUCUCACACUAAUGCUUGAAACAUAAUCACCAGAAGCGACCAAGUAACUCAUGAGAUACUUGACACCCACAUCACUUUGGUUCUUGGUAGGACAAGCACACCUAAGAGGAACAGUAAGCUUUGUACCAGUAUAUAUAUUAGUAGUUAGAGAAGUUCUUUGACUCCGGAGAGCUUGACAUGUAGAGAGGCCUUCGAAGGUGUUAUUUGCUAUCAAUAAGUAGGUAUCUCCAUGCUGAACAACAUAAGAGGUGUUUGCCUGAGAGAACUCACCUGAACAGGAGCAAUUGACUGGAACAAUGACCUCUUUCUUUGUUUCAAAUGUAGCAGUCUCAUCAACUGAAUUGAUUUGGGCAAGCUGAGAUGGGUCAGACCCCAGAAGAUCAGAUAUGGAAGAAACAUCGUUAUAUGGGGGUUCAGAUCUGAAGAUAAGGAAAGCUUGGCAACUAGCGUUGACACCAUUGCAGGCGUAACCAAGAACAGAAGUUAAAUUAUUGUUGUCGCAGUCUGUUGUACCCUUUCCCACAUAUGAUUGCUGAGCAAGAAUGGAGGAAGAGAAAGAAAUCAGAGAAAGAGUAAAGACAGAGAUGAAGGAUAGCCAAGCCAUUUUGAUUGAACUGGGAAGACUUCACGAGGAUUGAGGUCUUCUGAUUACAACAUGGGGUCGUUGGUGUGGUAGUUUACGUUUCUAUUAGGGAAAGUUCAGAGAACAUGUCCCAUUAUCUCCAAGAAGAUUUUUUCUUGAAACAGGGUGGAAUGAAAUGCAGUAGUUGUUAAUUGGUUGACCAUCUCCAUUUCUAUAAUUUAUAUGCUUCGAUUGGUGCAUCUCUCCUUUGAAGUGGUAUCCAGCUUUGUUUAACUAAGCGCAUCAAACAUUUGUCUAAAAAAAUAAAAAAUAAAAAAUAAAAAAUUAGAAGUUACAAGUACUGAAAGUGAAAUGGACUCUUAAUGGCGAAAAGCAGGCGAGAAGUUUGACUAUGGGGCUUCUGGACCCAAUCUCCCCCAGUGGGCGGUAGCAUCCCACAUAUAAUGGUUCAACGGGCCUAACCCAUAAUCUGGAAAACUAAACGUGUAUUGGAUCCCGAGAGGAAAGGAAAUAGCGAAUUUCAACCCUUUCAUACUUGGGGCCAAGAAAAAAACUGUCCAAUGUUUUUCUACAUCCGUGGGGUGAUUGAACCUUUCUCCUUACACAGCGACAGUAAUCUGAGAAAGAAAAAAAAAAUCUAAGAUGGGCCCUAUUAGGAGAAGCUGUAACCACUGACCACAUCUCUACAAUGGAAUAGUUCUUGGCCUUUUGUGUUUGUACAUUUUGAACUAAAUUACUCGUUUACAAUAAUAAAUGCAAUUGCAGCAUGAGCAGGUGAAAUGAUUCCAACCACCAAUAUCUCACAUCAUCCUGGGAUUAUUUCCCUUUUAUCCCUACAGAAGUGACCUUCCACCUGUUGAAUUGCUGGCCUGAUGGUAAAGGGGUGGGACACAUCAAGAAUUCCCAGUUCCCAAUGUUGCUUUUGUAUUUUUAUUAGCAAAGGGAUGAACGGUAAAGAAAAAAUGGAGAUAGCUGAAGAUAGGACUCGAAGUGAUAUCCUGGAAGAUUUAUUCUAAAGGAAUAAUCAGCUGGUCUCUAUCUCAAUUAUGCGUACUAAAAUUCCUGCAAAGGUUAGUGUCCCAGGCUCAUUUUACCAAAGACAUAAGUUUGCAGAGAAACUGAUGGAUGGAAUUAAAAUUCUCAAUAUAGAAGUAUAGAACCCAAUAAAGAGCUGGAAGUUGGAAGCCCAAAGCAUCACCCUAGAGAAACUCCAUCCCUACCAAGAUCCCAAACAUAAAUACAAUAUUGUAAAGAAGAAGAGGAAAGAGAUACAAACAGAAAAACCAAAGCAGAGUAAAUUACAUUCACAUCUGCUGCAUCCUCCAAUUCCUCGAAUCUCUGUUAUCACAAGACACACUCCCAGUAGGAGACAAAACACACCACCCACAAUACUAUCACGCAGUCCAUUAGCCAGCCAGUCAGGAGUGGCCACCAAUAGGAUAAAACCAGCAACUGCAGAUAUUCAUAUCAGCACCAUGGCAAUGAUAAUUUGAUUAGAUGAGUUGCUGUGGUCUAAGAGAAAUUCGAACCUGGAAACUUCCGAGGGAAGAAGAGAUUUGCUGCAACGGCAAGAAAUGCAAACCAACGUCCAAUUUGCCCCCUGCAACAUGGGAUUGGUAGUUUCAGUAUAUGUAAUGGCAGAAUAUAUAUAUGAUAUAUCAGAGACCAAAUAACAUCGAAAUUUUUAAGGAAAUCGGAAAGCACCUAACAAUGUUAAACAGCACUGCAGGGAAACUCGUUAGAAGAAAGAGGACCAAAAGGGAACUUUGGAUGGAUGAUCUCCGCCCUACUUGAUUCAAGAUUAACAAAAAUCUACAACACAAAACCAAAUAAAAAUGCAAAUAUUUCCAAACCCAGAUCCCAAUGUUAAUGGAAAGUGGAAAAUAUUAACAAACACCUAUAAAACAACAUAAAUAAUAAAAAUAAUAAUAAAAUAAAAAAAGAGGAGGAAGAAGAAGAAGAAAAUACUUGAAGGGUGAGAAGUGAAAGAGACUAAAUUGUGGUUCCAAUGGAUUAAAGGGAAAAAAAACGUAGAAGAAAAAAAGAGCAGGAUGGCGACUGACGUGGCAGAUAUGGUUCCACCCCACUGAAAAGCGGCGCGACCCCCAGUCGUGGAGGAUGAGAAUGUUUGCUGGGAAGAAGAUUGGGAAGCAGAAGCGGCAUCAGCGUAAGCAGCAAGUGCGAGAGCAUGGGCUAUGGCCACUGUAUCCACAAUUUUCAUUUCUAAUUACAGUCAACGGAUGCAGAUGAAUCUGCCACCGUAGACGGCUUUUGAUCCCUAGGUUUGGCUUCUUCCCUGCCCAUCCGAUGCUCUCUUUCUAGGUUACUUUCAUCACACGUGGCCCUCAUGCAACCCUUGGAUGUGAUUUAACUACUUUUUCGAUUUCCUGACGUAUCAAAGAGUUUAAAACCAAAAUAAUCUAAAAAAAAAUGGUAAGAAUAGUACCCAUCUUAAAAUAUUUGUCAAAAAUAAUCUUUUAUAUCCAUAUAAGCAUUCACAUGGAUUUUUUUUUUUUUUUUAAGUGUAAAAAACCACAAUUGGUAACUAUGGUUUUAAAAGUUUCAAAAAUAUUUUCUUAAAACAUUUACUAACUGUGAUUUCAAUAUUAUUUUUAAUUCACCUCUAUUUUAAUGGUAAAAUAUUUUUUUAUCAUAAUAAUCAUUAAACCAUAAUUAGUAAGGAAUAACCUAAAAUCAUAAUCAUUGACAUUAUUUUUUAUAUGAAAAUAUAAAAUUUUAAAUAAUAUAAACAAUUUGUUUAAUUAUUUUAAAAUUUAAAAAUAACAUGAAAAAAUAAUUUUCUUUAAUUAAUAUGUGAUAAAAUUCAUAAAACAAAUAAAUAUUUUAUUUACUAUAAAUAUAUAAAUUUUUAUGGGAAUGCAUGUAGGCGAAAUUAUUUUCUCAAAAUUUCAAUGAAAAUAUGAAUAUAUAUAUAUAUAUAUAUAUAUAUAUAAUUUUAAAACAGUCGUAAAGAAAAAAAUUAUUAAGGAUAAUUUGUAAAAAAAAUAGUUUUAAACUGACAAUGGAAAAUUGUAAAAAAUUUUCUCCACUUCGAAACGAACUUUAAGGAAAUUUGGUACAUUGUUAAGAAAUUUUGGUACAUCUAUAAUUUACACUAAAAUUAAAAAAAAAAAAAAAAAAAAAUUCUAAAAUCUCAUAUUUUUUUAGUUGAUGUAUGAUUAUAUGAGUUCACUUAAAGAUAAGUGUGAAACCACAAUCUAUAACUGUGGUUUUUAGGAUAUUUUUAAACCACAGUUACUAAUUGUGGUUUUAUGAUUAUGAUAAAGAAUAUUUUAAAAAUAAUAUUAAAAUAAUAAUAUCAUUCAAACGAGGGUGGAUUAAAAAUAAUUUUGAUACAAAAGAUUACUUUGACAAAUAUUUUGAGAUGGGUACUAUUUUUACCAUUUUUUCUUACAAAUAGAUUAUUUUGGUCUUAAAAUCCGUAUCAAACUUUCUGUUUUCAAAUCCAGUUUUCUCAUGGCAUAAAGAGUCUAGCUCCUAAAAUUUUGAUUAGAGAGAGAGCGCGAAAAAUAAUGGUACUUAAAAAAAUGGAUUUUAUUAUAAUUAAUUUUAAAAAUGAAAAAUAUUAAAUAAAACCAAAUAGUUUAUUCAUUUUAAAUCUAAUUUUAAUUUUUUUUAUUUUUUAUUUUCUUCUUCUUUUCCUUUUAUUCUUUCCUCAGGUGUAGACCCCAAGGAGACAAAAAAAAAUGACUUUUUUAUUCUUCUGACCACAUUGGAAGCGGGCUGCUUUAGGUGGCCAUGAGAUGAGACUGGAUGAGCUAGUUGUGGCGACCAGACAGGACGACUUGAAAGGAAAACUAGUUAGGAGUUUUUGGGUUGGGAAGGAAGGGGCGUGAGGAGAAACAUCAAGAGAAGGGGAGCUUGAGGGGCAAACCAGAGUGAGAGAUAACCAAAGAGGGAGCUAGAUGUUUGCUGGGAGUCGGUUUUGGGUGAUAGCUUGAAAAGAAACAGGGGAGCAGCAACGGAGUGGGAUUUUUCUGGGAGGAAAAUAUGGAGAGUGGGUGCAGGUUUUUUAUGAUAGCUAAACGAAAAGGAAAAAGAUGAGCAAGGGAAGUUGAGAGGGGAGAACAAGGGAACUCUGUGGGGAUUUUUUUGAGAAAAAUGAGACAGCUCACUUGAAGCAAAGAUAGUAUGGAUUGGGAGGAGGCUCUACAGGUGAGGUUUAUGUAAUCUCCAUAUCCUUAAUUUCUUUUACACUGUUUUACUCUCAUUUUUAGUCGAUUCUCUCAGCAUUAUUUGUUGUUUGGGUAUGAUUACAAGAGAUUCUAUGAGUUCUUGCUGAUUUGGGAUUGAUUGUAAAUUUCAAACUGUUUUGUUCUCCUAUGUCUUUCAGUUUCAAUCUGAUUCAGAUGUACAUUUCUCUCUCAAAUUUCUGCAAUUUUUUUCGUCGAAUUACCGAUUAAAUCUCACCCAUCUUUCUCUUAUUUUCUUUUCACUUUUUUUUUUUUUUUUCUGAUUCUCUGUUCCAACAAGUGAUAAACCAUUCCCUACUUCCAUGAAGAUCUAGGGUUUCUUCCACUUCAUCAAUUUCAAAUUUGAACAUUUUUGCCUCAAAUUUCUGAUUUUCGAUGCUCUUGAUUCAAUGCGUUGAGCAAUGGUAUUGUGGUUCAUCUAGGUCACUUUGAGUGAUCGACGCUUGUUUGUUGUCCUUUUUGUGAUCUAAGAUUAUUCUGAUUUCGUUUUGUGGAUGAGAGAUUCAAUUUGGCUACGAUAAUAUGGAGAUAGUUGGUGAUGUGGUGUCUUUGGACACCGAAUUGUUGCAGCUGUCAGAGAUGUCGCCUUUUGCUCUCAAGUCGAACCCUAGGUUCUCCGAGGAGUUUUUUGAUCAAUGGCUUUUGCUUCCUGAGAUUAACCUUCUGGGUUGGAUGUACACUAGGAUUGCAUCUUGGCUACCUAGUAGCCAAAGUCAGCCUUACCGAUAAAGAUGGAGUUGCUUUCUUAUGAUUCAAUCCUAAGUUGAACUUAAUGAGGCUGCAUUUGAUUUCUCUUUUGAAUUUAAUCAAUUGCAAUUGUUGAAUUUGGAAAUGUGUAGCUAAUUCUCGAAGAAACUAAAAUUGGUAUUGAUGGAAGUUAGAUGUUUGGUAGUCACUAGUAGUGACUAAUUCAUAGGGUUUGCAUUUGAUGGUGAUAGUGAUUCUAGUGGAGGUGGUAGAAAAUUGGUGACAAUUGACUUAUGCUGGUGGUAACAAAUUGAUGGUGGGCCAGUCAUAAAGUUUAUGUGCCUUUUUCCCCAUCCAUCUCCAUGUCUGCUUUUAAAAAAUUGGUUUUCAAAAAAAUCUUGUUUUGACUCCACAAUUUUUCAUCUUUUAGGUUUUUUUUUUAGGUCCCAAAUUUCAUUUUUCAAUAAUUUUCCAAAGUUCCAAAUUUAUUUAUUUAUUUUUAAAUUCCACUUCCGAAAUAAUCUUCUAAAAUCUAAUUUUAAAUUUAGUUUAUAAAACUUUAAUUCUCGAAAUUCAAUUCUCCAAAACUCCAAUUUUUAACUUUAAUUCUUCAAGAUUCAAUUCUCAAAAUAAUUUUCUAAAAUUCUAAUUUUAAAUUUAAUUUUCCAAGAUUCAAAAUUUUAAAAAUAAAUUUUCCAAAAAUUCCACAAUUCCGAAUUUAAUUUUUAAAAUGCCACAUUCAAAUAAAUUUUCGAAACUCCAAUUCCUUUCAAAUCAAAUUUUCAAAAAUUACAUUCUCAAAUAAUUCUUCAAAAUUCCCUUUUCUCAAAUUUAAUUUUCAAAUUUCAAUUUUCAAAUAAUUUUUCAAAAUUCCGAUCCUCAAAUUUAUUUUAUUUUAUUUAUAAAAAAAACUCCAAUUUUAAAAUAAUUUUGCAAAAUUUCGGUUUCCAAAUUUACUUUCCAAUUUCCAAAAUUCCAAUUUUCACAUUUAUUUCAUCAUUAUUAUUUUCAUUAUUAUUUUAUUUAUUUAUUUUUAAAAUUCUACCUUUAAAUAAUUCUUCAAAAUUCUGAUUUCCCAAUUUAAUUUCCAAUUUCCAAAAUUCUAUUUUUCACAUUUAUUUGUUUAAUCAUUAUUAUUUUUGUUAUUAUUAUUAUUAUUUUUAUUUAUUUUUAAAAAUUCCAUCUUUAAAUAAUUCUUCAAAAUUUCGAUUUCCAAAUUUAAUUCCCAAUUUUCGAAAUUCCAAUUUUUCAAUUUCUGAAUUUAAUUUCCAAUUUCCAGAAUUCCAAUUUUCACAUUUAUUUAUUGAAUUAUUAUUAUUAUUUUAUUUAUUUAUUUUUUAAAUUUCAUCUUUAAAUAAUUCUUCAAAAUUCUGAUUUCCAAAUUCCAAAAUUCCAAUUUUCACAUUUAUUUAAUCAUUAUUAUUUUAUUUUUAAAAAAUUCUAUCUUUAAAUAAUUCUUCAAAAUUCCAAUUUCCAAUUUUAAUUCCCAAUUUCCGAAAUUCUAAUUUUCGAAUUUAAUUUCCAAUUUCUAGAAUUCCAAUUUUCACAUUUAUUUAUUUAAUCAUUGUUAUUGUCAUUAUUAUUAUUAUUAUUAUUAUAUUUAUUCAUUUAUAUAUUUUUAAAUAAUCCUUCAAAAUUCCGAUUUCCAAAUUUAAUUCUCAAUUUCCGAAAUUCCAAUUUUCCAAUUUCCGAAUUUAAUUUCCAAUUUCCAGAAUUCCAAUUUUCACAUUUAUUUAUUUAAUCAUUAUUAUUAUUAUUCUAUUUAUUAAUUCAUUUAUGUAUUUUUAAAAUUUUCAUCUUUAAAUAAUCCUUCAAAAUUCCGAUUUCCUUUCCAAUUUCCAAAAUUGCAACUUUCACAUGUAUUUAUUUAAUCAUUAUUAUUUUGUUUAUUUAUUUAUUUACUUAUUUUUAAAUUUCCAUCUUUAAAUAAUUCUUUAAAAUUCCGAUUUCCAAAUUUAAUUUACAAUUUUCAAAAUUCUAUUUUUCACAUUUAUUUGUUUUAUCAUUAUUAUUUUAUUUAUUUUUCAAAUUUCAUAUUUAAAUAAUUCUUCAAAAUUCCAAUUUUUAAAUUUAAUUUUCAAAACUUCCAUUUUCAAAUAAUUUUCAAAAUUCCAAUUUUCAAAACUUCCAUUUUUAAAUAAUUUUCAAGUUUCCAAUUUUCAUAAUUUAAUUUUCAGAACUCCAAUUCUCAAAUAAUUUUCAAAAUUCUAAUUUCUUUCAAAUUUAAUUUUCGAAAUUCUAAUUCUUAAAUUUAAUUGUCGAAAGUCUGAUUUUCAAAUAAUUUUCAAGACUUCAAUUUCCAAAUAAAUUUUUGAAAACUCUAGUUUUGUUUUUGAAUAGUUUUAAUUACACUCAUUUUUUCAAAUAUUUUUAAUUCACAAGUUUUCUUUGAUUUUCAAAUAAUAUCUUAUUUUCCCUGAUUUUUUUUUAAUAGGCAUGAAUAUGAUUUUUCAUAAUUCUAAAACAAUGGAAUUUGUGAAACUAAUUCAUGAAAGAUAAAUUGGACUUUGGUGGGGGCCUUACAUGUGAUCUCUUUUGAUUGUCAAUUGCUAUGCUUAAUGUAUAUUGUUUGAUCUUUGCCUUACUCUUUGAUAUGCAUGUGAUAAUUUUAUACUUGAACUAACUUUGUUUCUAUGAUAGUGCAAUAUUACUUGCUGUCAAGGUACGCUUUCACUUCCACUUUGCUUAUUCUCAUACAUGAUUCAUUUUAUUAUUUGAUCAUUUCAUUGGUAUCUAUUGAUUUCUUAGUUAAUUGUCAUGUUUGCCUCACCUUGCUUAGUAAAGACCCGUUUUUAGGAGCUUAGAGGGGUGCUUUCGAUUUUUUUACCGUACCUUUCUAAUAAGUAACCUGACCUCCAGAUCCGACUCAAUUUUUUACAAACUCAUUUUUCCAAAUAAGGAGUCGCACUUAGGUUUUUUUCUUUCUUAUUUUGUUUUCUCUUUAAAAAUAAAACAAAAAUAAGUGGCGACUCCAAGUCAUUUUCUUAAUAAAUAAACAUUUUUCGAAUAAAAAUCAAGCUCGUCAUCGAGUGGAAUCGCAUGAGCAAAAAUGCAAAGUCCACAUCAGGUUUUUUAAAAACCGAAUUCAACUUAAAAUUUUUAAGUAUGGAUCGAAUUUUAAAAUCAUUUUAACAUGUAUUUUGAAUGAAUCCCUUAGGAUUCAAUUUUGAAUUUCAUAAAUAUUUAUUGCAUAUUGUGUAUAAAUGGAAAAUAGAUAUGUGAAAAUAAAAAUCAUAAAGGCUUUUAACGGUUUUAGAAAAAAGUAAUGUUUGAAAAAAAUAUAUAAAUUGUAGGAAUAAAGAUGACUUUCAAAAUAAUUAUCGAUUUAUUGUAAAUUGGUUUGAAAUUAAUUUUUAAAACUAACAUUUGACAAUGUUGUCUAGACCCCCAUUUGGGGAGCCAAGGGAUCUUAGUUUUUUUUAUAUAUAGCAUUAGAGGAGCCGGGCAGCACCGGGGAUAAGUGGGGGCCCCCUUUCCCUACGCCCGGGAAAUCAGCUGCAUGGGCAUGCCACAGGCCAUGCUGAUGGUCAGAGGCUCCAUCCUUGCUGACUAGAGGAGCAAUGGAGCCGAGGAUGGCUUGCUGAGGAAGACACAAACAGAGGAAAAGAAAAGGAGAUAUCUGGGGUUUUUCUUCAGGCGGGGUGAUCCAGAGCAGAGGGUUGCGGAGAGCAUCCGGGUGAGAGGGUACUCCAUAGCUAAAUAAGCAAGAAAAGGAUCAAGGAGAAAAAGAUAGCACCUGCUGCCACAAGGAGGAGGGUUACAAUGAGGUCUUGAGGGUAGUGCUGGUGAGGGAAAGAGAACAGGGAAAGAGAGUUGGCUGCAGGUGAGCCUAAGGUGAGUUCCUUGUUUACUUUGUUUUUUCUUCUUUAUACUCCCCAUCUCCUUCCGUUUUGUUUGCUUCGUAUUCGUUUGUUGAUUUAGGCAUGGAUGACGAAGGUUAUACCCUGAACUCCAUUGAUUUCUAUAUCAUGUUCUUACUUCGUUGUUGUUGGUUUUAUUUCCAUUCUUGUGGUUUAAGUUUGGGGCUCAUAUGACUCCGCUUUGCAUGCACUGUACUAACCCGGUUUCAGGAAUCCCUCCUGUUUUGAGCCUCCUGAAAUGAGGCCCUAUACAAUCGUGUGUUACAUGUUAUCUUACCGAUUCUAACCUCAGCAUUCACUCUAACUUAUGUUCUUGCUUUCAUCACUAUGUCCUCACUGUGAUGGGUGGAUUAUUUGAUCUGGGGUUAGAAUAAAAUGAAUCGAGCCGAGUCAUACCUGUGGUUUCGGGCUUACCUUGCUGAUAGUUUGUGGCUCAAAAGUCCAGAGAAGAGCUAGAUGUAAGCGGAGAGGGACCUUUGGAGCAUUAGCUACAUUGCCGUAAUUGCAAAAGUGGAGAAUAUUGGCUCAUUACAGAAAGCUUGCUGACAAUCGCAUUGGGGUUCUAAGGUUUCUUUGUUUUUCAUGAUUGUCGAUGAAAGGGUUGGCCCAGUUCUUAGAUCUUUGCUGUCGGAGUGUCUUUCUAUUAUGGACAGAAUUUGAGACUAGGUUUCACUGUUUUUCCCAUUCCACCACCCCGUCCAUUAAACCCAUUUCUCCAACCCUCUUCCAGCAUCUCCCCUUGAGGUCCAUUUUCCAUCAAGGUCACUCUCCGUUACCACCGGCCAUCCACGCUGCCAAUGGCACCCCAACUCCCCCACUCAUCCUCAUAUCCAUCCCUCACAUUCCUGGAUUCCCAUGCAAAUGACGUCCCAUGCAUAAGGCCACCUCCAUCACCACCACCUGGCGCCAUGUAGCUUUCCUGAAAGUGGUGGCAAGGUCAGGGUAGCCACUUCAAAGAUCCAUUCUGCUCAGGUUCAUCAGAAGUUCAAAAACAUCUCUUUCAAUAGGAGGACCUAGGCGUUGCCAAAGGGGAAUCACCUAAUAUGGUGCAGCCAACCUGCAAUGCCAUGGGCAAGCACUCGUUUCCUGUGCCCAGAUGCUGAUCCAAGGGCCAUGAACCCUAAGCUUUUUUGCCACGCGGAUCAUUAUCCACCUCCGGACCAUCCAUCAAACUCCUCAACGGCCCAAUCUCACCCACAACAGCCACUUCGUCCAUCAAACAAUCGCUGCCGAAGAUGGAGCCUGCCACUCCUCUCGCCACCUCCCUCUUCAUCAAGAUUUUCGUUCAGCGGCGGAUGAUUACUACUCAAAAAGUGCUAUUUGAUAGCCUAUAAUUAAUCCUUUUAAACACUUUUGAGUAGUAGUUUAGGCCUUUUAACUCAAUUGGCAUGUUAAGGAUCCUUUAAAGCAAUUUUGAUCACUUUGUGUAAGUUUUGGUGUUUUUGUUAGUAUUUUGAUCACCAAAGCAAGUCAAGACUGAGGAGAGCUAUGAGGAAUCUUGGGCAAAGUUGAGAAGUCAUUUGCCAAGAGUAAAUCCGGAUUGCAAGGAGAAAAAGCAAAGAGAAUCUGUCAUAAAGCAUAUUCUUGAUGAUAGUCGUAGCAGCCACUUUUGGAGCACUUUCUGAAGUCCAAAUGAUGCAUUCUAUAUAUUUUCAAAGAUCAGGAAGUCAACAAUCCAAUGCUUCAAACGGUGUGCAAUUCAGAGUUGAAAUGAAGAAGUUGCAGCCAUUACAAGCCAAUCACUCCGAGCUGAAGGAAGCAUUUUGCAAAGUGUUGCGAAAUCACCCUUUUGUUGCGAAGUGAUUUCGCAACCUUUUUGAACAGUGUGAUGUUUCUCCUUCUGACGAUACCCAAUUUAUGCCGCAAGAAGGAAGCUGGGAACCUCAAGGUGGAAGCCAACUUCGCAGCCCUAUGAAGAUAGCUUGGUGUUGCGAAAUUAUUUCGCAGCUCUCUUGAGUGUCUGCGAAAUCUCGCAGACACCAUUUUUCUCAUGCGAAAUGGUUCCUAAAGCCUCCCGAUAUUUGCUACCGACAUUGGGAGAUAUUUUCCAUUAGAUUUUUGUUGUCUAAAUCCCAAAAUACUCCUUGUAAACCACCAAUUACAUGAUUCCUUAGUUUUUAAGUUAGUAAAAAGACUAAAUAUCUAUGUAAUAAUUAGUUUUAUAUUAUGUUCAUAUAUAUACCUCUCGGGAGCCUGUUCUCAGAGAGGAGUUCCUUCUGUAAAAGUUUGGGUAAGCAAGUAAAGUCUAUUUUCUUUCUACUGCCUUACCUUCUCACUUUGUAUUUUCAUUUUAUUUCUAAGUUAUGAAUUCUCUGAGGAGUUUUCCCUAGAGAAUGAGUAACUAAACCUCUAAUUCCUUGGAGCUAAGGUUGCCGGGGAAGGUUCCAAGUGCAAGAAUGCAAAGCUCUGUGGUUUUAGCUAUUAAUGAAGAGGAAGUGAAAUCCUUUAGUGAUUUCUAUGUUUUUAGUUAACUUAAAACACCUUGGAGUCACCUGGGCCAACACUUGGUAAGGCAAGUGAUUUCCAACCAUGGAAAUGCACUAGUUUACCCCGUGCGAGCCUCUGGGAGGUGACUUCAAGGUAGGAUUUUCUAGAAUAGCCAACACUUGGUAAGCUUUUGGACUCCUAGGAGACAUCCAUUAGUUAUCUCUUGCGAGCUUUUGACGGGUAAUCCAAGGUUAAAGAUCACCUUGAAUGGUUAAGGCUUAGUGAGAGGCUUAAACCAUUGCAAAGUGCAUCAGUGAGAGAAUUAAAGUGAAAUCUAAUUGAAGGAGUCUCUGUAUAACACCGGUUAGAGAAUUGACUAUAGGUUGAAUCUCUAAUACGAGGAAAUGAACCAACUGACCGGAGCUAUGUCUUUUGCAUGAGGAACCACCCCAGUGAACCUAAAUCUCUAGGGAAUGCUUUUCUUCCUAAAUUAUUCCAAACUUCUAUUAUGUUAGUUAGUUUAAGUCUAAACCUUUACCAAUCAAAGUUUGUGUUUUACUUCUUAAGCUAACCUUGAAAUGAAACAAGACCAAUUCACUUGGAAUUGGUAUCAUUGAUUGCUUGUUAAUCAUUCCUAGUGAACGACCCUAAAGCCACUAUACUAUAGUAGUUUUUUCUUUGCUACCCUAGUGUAUGGUGUUAUAGGUAAUAAAUUUUGUUGAUUACUCCCUCAAUCAAAGAGCACCAGCUGAACACAAAUAAGCUGAGACACCAAUUGGGCACGAAUCAAAUGGCGCCGCUGCCGGGGAAUGAGUGUCAAGUUUAUAUUGAUACCAUUUUUGAGCACUUGUGAUUUUCAUCACAAGUUGGUAAAGUUUCUUUCACUUUACUAAUUUUCAUUCUUUCUUUAUUUAUUCAUAAUCUAAGUUUAUCUUUUUAAAUUUAGUCUAGUUUAAUUUUAUUGUUGUAGCCCUGUUUCUCUUGUUGUCCUCUGUUUUUUAUUUAAGUUGUAGAUAGAUACUAGUUGUGUAUGCCCAAGUGGAUACGAUACAGUGGAGGAAGGCUUGUUAAGUGUGAUACACCUCAGAGAAGAGAAUUCGAAGCGAUCUUGAAUAUCAUGGAAGCUACACCUGAAGAUCAACAUAGUCACCAAGGUUGUCAAGACAAUCUCAAUGAAUUCAGAUCAAUGAGGGACCGUAUGCAUCCACCCCGCAUGAGUGCACCAUCAUGUAUAGUGCCCCCUACAGAGCAGCUAGUGAUCAGACCAUAUCUUGUUCCACUUCUACCAACUUUCCAUGGGAUGGAAAGUGAGAAUCCGUAUGCACACAUCAAGGAAUUUGAAGAUGUUUGUAAUACAUUUCAAGAGGGAGGAGCUUCAAUUGAUUUGAUGAGGCUUAAGUUAUUUCCUUUUACUUUAAAGGAUAAGGCCAAAAUUUGGCUUAAUUCUUUAAGGCCAAGGAGUAUCCGCUCUUGGACUGAUUUACAAGCUGAAUUCCUCAAGAAAUUUUUUCCCACUCAUAGAACAAAUGGCUUGAAAAGGCAAAUUUCAAAUUUCUCAGCUAAAGAGAAUGAGAAAUUCUAUGAGUGUUGGGAGAGAUACAUGGAAGCUAUAAAUGCUUGCCCUCACCAUGGCUUUGAUACUUGGCUAUUGGUGAGCUAUUUUUAUGAUGGUAUGUCAUCCUCAAUGAAGCAACUCCUCGAGACAAUGUGUGGAGGAGAUUUCAUGAGCAAAAAUCCAGAGGAAGCUAUGGAUUUCUUGAGCUAUGUAGCUGAUGUUUCAAGGGGAUGGGAUGAACCAACUAAAGGAGAAGUGGGAAAGAUGAAGUCUCAGUUGAAUGCUUACAAUGCAAAGGCUGGGAUGUAUACUUUAAAAGAAGAUGAUGACAUGAAGGCAAAGUUGGCAGCUAUGACAAGAAGAUUGGAGGAGCUUGAGCUGAAAAGAAUACAUGAAGUGCAAGCUGUUGCUGAAGCACCAGUGCAAGUGAAGCUGUGUCCCAAUUGUCAAUCAUAUGAACAUUUGGUGGAGGAAUGCCCUGCAAUUUCAGCUGAAAGGGAAAUGUAUAGAGAUCAAGCAAAUGUUGUUGGACAAUUUAGGCCCAAUAACAAUGCGCCAUAUGGAAAUACCUACAACUCAAGUUGGAGGAAUCAUCCAAAUUUCUCAUGGAAGGCCAGAGCAACUCAAUACCAACAGCCGGAUCCACCAUCUCAACAAUCUUCAAGUAUUGAACAAGUAAUGGCUAAUCUCAGCAAGGUAAUGGGAGAUUUUAUUGAAAAGCAAGAAGCCACUAAUGCUCGAGUCGAUCAAAGAAUUGAUAGAGUGGAGAGUAUGUUGAAUAAAAGGAUGGAUGAAAUGCAAAAUGAUAUGAACCAAAAGUUUGAUAACAUCCAAUAUUCAAUUUCAAGGCUUACAAAUUUGAAUACACUGCAAGAAAAGGGAAGAUUUCCUUCUCAACCUCACCAAAAUCCCAAAGGUGUCCAUGAAGUGGAAAGCCAAGAGGGAGAAUCAUCACAGGUGAAAAAUGUCAAGGCCUUGAUCACUCUAAGGAGUGGUAAGAAAAUUGAGCAGCCAACACCCAAGCCACAUGUUGAGAAAGAAGAAGAGAUAAAGAAAGGGAAGGAAAUAGAAGAUAAAGACAGUGAAAUCAGUGAAGAAAAGAAGGACUCUGAUUCAACAAGGAAAGUAAUUCCAGAGAAGGAGCUUCUGAAGGAAGAAAUGCUAAAGAAAUCAACUUCUCCACCUUUUCCUCAAGCAUUACAUGGGAAAAAGGGGAUUAGAAAUGCAGUUGAAAUCCUUGAAGUCUUGAGGCAAGUGAAAGUUAAUAUUCCACUGCUGGAUAUGAUUAAACAAGUUCCAACAUAUGCGGAAUUCCUAAAGGACUUGUGUACUAUCAAAAGAGGGUUAACUGUAAACAAGAAAGCCUUCUUGACUGAGCAAGUAAGUGCAAUCUUACAAUGUAAGUCUCCUUUGAAGUACAAAGACCCUGGAAGUCCUACCAUUUCAGUCAUGAUUGGAGGAAAGGUAGUGGAGAAAGCCUUGCUAGAUUUGGGAGCAAGUGUGAAUUUGCUUCCUUAUUCUGUUUACAAGCAAUUGGGCCUUGGAGAGUUGAAGCCAACAGCAAUCACUCUAUCUCUGGCAGAUAGAUCAGUGAAAAUUCCAAGAGGGGUAAUUGAAGAUGUAUUGGUUCAAGUGGAUAAUUUCUACUAUCCAGUAGAUUUUAUUGUUCUUGAUACAGAUUCUACCGUAAAGGAAGCUAAUUUAAUUCCUAUCAUCCUUGGAAGGCCAUUUCUUGCAACUUCAAAUGCAAUCAUCAACUGUAGGAAUGGGCUGAUGCAACUCACUUUUGGUAACAUGACACUGGAUCUCAAUAUUUUCUAUAUGUCUAAAAAGCAAAUCACUCCAGAAAAAGAAGAAGGUCCAGAAGAGUUAUGUAUUAUUGAUACUUUGGUGGAGGAGCACUGUAAUCAAAAUAUGCAAGACAAGUUGAAUAAAAGUCUUGUGAAUUUUGAGGAAGGUUUGUCUGAAUCUCCUAUUGGGCUUGCUACUCUACAAAGUUGGAGAAAGAUAGAAGAUAUUCUACCUUUGUUCAAUAAAGAAGAUGAGGCAGUUGUUGAAAAAGAAAUUCCAAAACUCAAUCUGAAGCCUUUACCUGUGGAGCUGAAAUAUACAUAUCUUGAAGCAAAUAAUCAAUGUCCUGUUGUAAUAUCUUCAUCUCUGACCAAUCAUCAAGAGAAUUGUUUAAUGGAAGUUCUCAAGAAGUGUAAGAAGGCAAUAGGAUGACAAAUAUCUGACUUAAAAGGCAUUAGUCCUUUAGUUUGUACUCAUCAUAUAUAUAUGGAGGAGGAAGCAAAGCCAAUUCGUCAAUUUCAAAGAAGGUUGAAUCCUCAUCUACAAGAGGUGGUGCGAGCUGAGGUACUGAAACUACUUCAAGCAGGAAUCAUUUACCCUAUAUCUGAUAGCCCUUGGGUGAGUCCUACUCAAGUGGUACCUAAGAAGUCAGGGAUCACAGUGGUUAAAAAUGAAAAAGGGGAAGAAAUUACUACACGCCUCACUUCAAGAUGGAGGGUGUGUAUUGAUUAUAGAAAGCUGAAUGUUGUCACCAGGAAGGAUCAUUUUCCAUUGCCAUUUAUUGAUCAAGUGCUGGAGAAAGUCUCUAGACAUCCAUUCUAUUGUUUCUUGGAUGGGUAUUCAGGGUAUUUUCAGAUUGAAAUUGAUUUGGCAGAUCAAGAAAAGACCACUUUUACAUGUCCAUUUGGAACAUAUGCUUAUAGAAGAAUGCCUUUUGGUUUAUGCAAUGCACCUGCUACAUUUCAAAGAUGUAUGUUGAGUAUUUUCAGUGAUAUGGUGGAGCGAAUUAUGGAGGUUUUCAUGGAUGACAUCACCGUAUAUGGAGGUACAUUUGAGGAAUGCUUGGUUAAUUUGGAAGCAGUUCUUCAUAGAUGCAUUGAAAAAGACCUGGUGCUCAACUGGGAGAAAUGCCAUUUUAUGGUACGUCAAGGAAUUGUCCUUGGCCAUAUCAUCUCUGAAAAAGGCAUUGAAGUUGAUAAAGCAAAGGUGGAGCUUAUUGUCAAAUUACCAUCUCCAACAACUGUAAAAGGAGUAAGGCAGUUCAUUGGCCAUGCAGGGUUCUAUAGGAGGUUUAUAAAAGGUUUUUCAAGUCUUUCAAAACCUCUUUGUGAGCUGUUAGCUAAGGAUGCUAAGUUUAUAUGGGAUGAAAAGUGUCAGAAUAGCUUUGAUCAACUGAAGAAAUUCUUAACAACAACUCCAAUAGUGAGAGCCCCUAACUGGCAAUUACCUUUUGAACUGAUGUGUGAUGCCAGUGACUUUGCUAUAGGAGCUGUGCUUGGCCAAAGAGAAGAUGGGAAGCCCUAUGUGAUUUACUAUGCAAGUAAAACACUAAAUGAAGCUCAAAGGAACUACACAACUACAGAGAAAGAAUUGUUAGCUGUGGUAUUUGCUUUGGACAAAUUUCGAGCUUAUUUAGUGGGGUCUUUCAUUAUUGUGUUUACUGACCAUUCAACCUUGAAGUAUUUAUUGACAAAGCAAGAUGCAAAAGCAAGGUUGAUUAGAUGGAUUCUUUUAUUACAAGAGUUCGAUCUUCAAAUCAAAGAUAAGAAAUGAGUGAAGAAUGUAGUAGAUGACCACUUGUCAAGGUUAGUUAUAGCACAUAACUCCCAUCCCUUGCCUAUUAAUGAUGAUUUUCCUGAAGAAUCACUCAUGUUCCUAGUGAAAACUCCUUGGUAUGCUCAUAUUGCUAAUUAUUUAGUAACUGGUGAAAUUCCAAGUGAGUGGAAUGCACAGGACAGGAAGCACUUCUUUGCCAAAAUUUAUUCUUAUUAUUGGGAAGAGCCCUUUCUCUUUAAGUAUUGUGCAGAUCAGAUCAUAAGGAAGUGUGUCCCUGAAGAGGAGCAGCAAGGAAUUCUAUCUCAUUGUCAUGAGAAUGCAUGUGGAGGCCACUUUGCCUCUCAGAAAACAGCCAUGAAGGUGUUGCAAUCAGGGUUUACUUGGCCAUCUCUUUUCAAGGAUGCCCACAUCAUGUGUAGGAAUUGUGAUAGAUGCCAAAGGCUUGGAAAGCUAACAAAAAGAAAUCAAAUGCCUAUGAACCCCAUUCUGAUAGUUGAGUUAUUUGAUGUUUGGGGCAUUGACUUCAUGGGACCUUUCCCAAUGUCUUUUGGUAAUUCUUACAUCUUGGUGGGGGUGGAUUAUGUUUCUAAGUGGGUUGAGGCAAUCCCCUGUAAACAAAAUGAUCACAGGGUGGUUCUCAAGUUUCUUAAAGAGAACAUUUUCUCAAGAUUUGGGGUGCCCAAAACCAUAAUCAGUGAUGGAGGUGCUCAUUUUUGCAACAAACCUUUUGAAGCUCUGUUAUCCAAGUAUGGAGUGAAGCAUAAGGUGGCCACACCUUAUCAUCCUCAGACUUCCGGGCAAGUUGAGCUAGCUAACAGGGAAAUAAAGAACAUCUUGAUGAAAGUGGUGAAUUCCAACAGAAAAGAUUGGUCUAUUAGGCUUCAUGAUUCAUUGUGGGCAUAUAGAACAGCUUAUAAGACUAUUCUAGGGAUGUCUCCCUAUCGUCUUGUCUAUGGUAAAGCAUGUCAUCUCCCUGUGGAAGUUGAAUACAAAGCUUGGUGGGCAAUAAAGAAGCUGAACAUGGACUUGAUCAAGGUAGGAGAAAAGAGAUUUCUAGACCUUAAUGAGAUGGAGGAAUUAAGAAAUAAUGCUUAUAUCAAUUCCAAAGUUGCAAAACAGAGGAUGAAGAAGUGGCAUGACCAACUCAUCUCUAACAAGGAAUUUCAGGAAGGGCAAAGAGUUUUGCUGUAUGACACAAGACUCUAUAUCUUUCUUGGGAAGCUCAAGUCAAGGUGGAUUGGCCCGUUCAUUAUUCAUCGAGUAUAUUCCAAUGGAGUGGUGGAAUUAUUGAAUUCCAAUGGCAAGGACAGCUUUAAGGUCAAUGGAUAUCGUCUUAAGCCAUUCAUGGAGCCAUUCAAACCAGAAAAGGAGGAGAUCAACCUCCUUGAGCCUCAAAAAGCCUAAGUGAAAAAGGGUUUGCUGGACGUGGUUUUACCACAGUCCAAAAUUUUUUGUAAAUAUUGUAAAUUUUCAAGUGGUUUCCAUACUUUUGAUCUUAGUUUUUGAUCUUAAAUCAUGUUCUUGUAUGUGUUUUAAUCUUUUUGAAUGAUUCAAGGUGGAAGAAAUUUCAAGGAGAUUGAAAGAAAAAAAAUUGGGUCGAAAUCGGAGCCAAAACAGAGCAAAAACAGGGGAAAAACAGAGCUCUGCGAAAUUUCGCACAGUGAAUGAAACUUCUGCGAAAUGAGCAUUUUGUUGCCAAACCAUUCCGCAACGCUGUAGAAGUAUCUGCGAGGGUAUUUUGCAGCUGCGAAAGCAAAUUUGGCACACGAGUGUCACUUCGCAGUACAGUAGCAUCCAUUUCGCAGCUGCGAAACGCAUUGCGAAAUGGAAAAUCGUGAUUUCGCACCAAAAGUCUAAUUCCGCAGGGUAUUUCGCAAUUGCGAAAGUGGUUUUGGCACACGAGUGCCACUUCGCAGCACAGUAACUGUGGACCCGCAUUUUUCACGUGCGUCCCCACUCGAUCGGCGAGACUCGCUUUUUAUUUGUGAAAAAUUGAUUUUUGAAAAAAAGUUGGAGCCGCCACUUAUUUUAUCUUUAUUUUUGAAGGGAAAAUAAAACAAGAAAUAAAACCCUAAAAAAAAUGACUCCAUAAUUUUUGGAAAAGCGUGUCUUUGAAAACCCAAGUCUUGGUCCGGGGAUCAGGUUACUUAUUGGGAAGGUACCUCUAGGAGGUAGCACCCCUCUAAGCCCUAAAGAGGUCUCUACUAAUUAAGUUAAGGGGAAUAUGGCAAUUAAUCGGUUAAUUAUGGAUACCUAAGUAGGCUAGGUGAUUUCAAAAGAUUUGCAUGCUAAACAAGAUCAAAUUGCCAUAAAAGAAAGGUUAGGAUGCGUACCCGGACCACUUCUCAAGCGCUAUCAUAAAACAUCAGAGUUAGUAUAGAAGUAUAACACACAACAUGUAUUUAAUCAUAGUGAAUCAAGCAUACAUCUAAACACCUAGGGAUUAUCAAACAUAUGCAUACUUCACAGUGACAUGAUUGUUUACAAAAUUUAGAAGGUAGGUGAUAGGGGGGCGUACCUGGAUAGCAUAAAUAACUUACAAUGCGCUUCCAUAAGACAUGAUGGAUUAAAUAAUAAUAAAAUAAAGAAACCCUAGCAUGCUUGUUAUCUAAUUAGCAUAACAAAAAUUAUCAAAGUAUAUGAAAACAUUAAUUAUCACACACAUCUUGUAUACAAUUCCUAAAAAUAAAAAAAAAUAAAAUUAAAAAAUUAAAAAAAAAGGCAUAAUUCCAACAAGUGACGAAAAUGGCAACAAAAAUAAUUUUUGAAAAGAUUUUCUUAUGUAGGGGUUUCACCAAUUCCCCAAAUUAAUAUACACAAAUUUAGCCCAGUAUUAUCCCAUUAUGUGGGACCACAAGCUUUGAUUCGUGUUUUUGUUCAAAACCAAACUUUUUGUUAAAAACCGAGAAGGAUGCAAACCGAACAAGAUAUGGUUGCAUAUUAUUUUUAAAUAAAAAAAAAAAGGAGAUUUUGAUCCUGAGGACUCUAAUGAGUUUUUGAAAUAGAUUUUUAAAAUUAUUUUUUUGAGAAAAGUAUUUUAUUUUAAAAUAAAAGGAAUUAAUUUAGGAAAAAAUAAAAUAUAAGAAAUAAAAUACCAAACAAAACAAAAAAUGAGAACUCAAAGUAAAAUUUUUUUAGUAAUUAAUAAAAAUGAUAAUGGUGAUGGUAGAGGCCAAGCUUCAUGAUUUUCCAAUGGCUUCUAAAAAUCAAAUUUAAUAAAUAUUCACCAAAGCAACAAACCAAACGACUUUUAGAUCAAAUAAAACUAACGAAAUAUUAAUCGGGAAUUUAUAAGGAUCAAUCAAACACAUAAAUUGAGAUAAACAAUCUAGAACUAAUUUAAAAUCAACCAAACACCUAAACAUGUAAUUAUAAUAAUGUGAAUAUAGUAACACAAGCACAUAGAAUUCUAAAACAUAUUAACUAAUCAAAAACUAGAAUCAUCAACUUUAGAACGUGAGCAAAAUAACAUAAGAUUAGUACCUAAACUAAAUAAGAUGAACCAAAACAUGAUCAAAAUAAACUUAAAAACAUAAACUUUAUUACAUAGGAUCAAUUAGAAUAAUAGACUAAAAAUUAUAAAAUACUUGAACUAAAUAAAAAGCUGACUCCUAAAAAAAACUGACUUUUAAAAUUAAAUCUAUUAACACCGAUCUAAGCAAAAUUCUAACUUUUCGAACUAAGCAAGGAAUCAAGUCCAAACUACACAAAGAUUUUAAUUUUUCAAUGUAAUAUAAUGAAUCAAAAUUAAAAUAAAACAAAAAAUUCUCACCUUUUAAACCAAAGUAAUGAAUCAAAACUAAGCAAACAAAAAUUUACUUUUCAAUCUAAUAAAAAUAAAAAAUAAAAAAAUCAAAACUAGAUUAAACAAAAUUCAAACAUUUCAAAAUAACGCAAGGAAUAAAAAAUAAAUUAAAUAAAAAUUUAACCUUUCAAUCUAAAGUAAUCAAUCAAAAUUAAAUAGGGAUCAAAUCAAAAUAAUCGAAAUCGAAAAAAACAAUAUGCAAUCUUUCUAAAGGUUUAAUCAGACAAUUGAAUUAAAAUUAUGAAUAGAAUAAAUUAAUAAACCAAAUCAAAACCUAAACCCUACCUAAGAAAAUUAAUUAAUUAAACUAAUAAGUCAAAAUCAACAAUGAAACUAAACUAAGGAAUUAACAUCACAAACACGCUUAAAUUAAGAAAACAAAUGGUAACUAAAUUAGAUUGAAAUUAAACUCUAUCUAAAAAGAAAAAGAAUGAAUUAAUCUAAUAAAUCCCAAUCAGCAAUCAAAAUUAAACUAAAAAAAUAAAUAAAUUAAGACAAAACGAAUUAGAUUAAAAUCACAAACACAUUUAAACUAUCAUAUGGAUCAAAAUAAACUAGCAUGGGAUUAAAAAAAACUACUAUCACAAAGAAAAGAUAUCUAAUCCGGGAGAAAUAAAAAAAAUUGAGCGAGUUAAAGUUUAAAAGAAUUUAUCACAAAGAAUUAAUUAAACUAAUAUGCAAAAUCUAAACCAAAAAAAAGUGUUCUGUUGAAAGCAAAGAAAAACUAACCUGUUUUGUUUCAGAAAAGAAAAAUGCUUUCUUGAUGGUCAAAGUGGCAGCCCCUUAAUGUUUGAAGUCCUUUACCACUCCCCAAAGAUUCUGGGCGUGUCUUCUCUUGAAAAUAAGUUUGCUCGUCUGUGGAUCUCUACCCAAAAACAAUUUCCCCCCGUGCCUAGAUCUCUCUUUCUCCUUUUCAAGCCAAAAAAUCUCUCCUUUGCUCCAGAAAAAAAUAUCUCCUCGUCUGUCGAUCUCUCUACCCCCAGAAAAUAAAAUAUUCUCUCUGUGUCUCCAUAUCUAAAAAAAAUCCUUCCUAUUUAUAUGGCAGCACCUCCCUUCUAUUGGAUAUUCUCUUUCCCUUUUUUGAAUGCGUGUGGAUAUGGGAAGUGAUGUAUGCGUGACUUACCUAGCAAUUUCUUCAAGGAUGCAGCCCAUGUCUUGUUUGGUAAGUAAAUCAGAUCCUCAGCGGCCCCAAAGUGGUAAGUUCCUUCAGAUCCCAAAAUUCAGAAUUCCAAAGUCUACCAGAAAAUCCGCGGAGAUAAGAAGACGAUAGUGUAGCAACCCAUCUCGGAAAUAUGUAUAAAUAUAUUUAACUUGUGGGUAAAGUCAAUAAUGAAGGAAGCAUGUGAUGUAGUGUGGGUAUCAUCCUGUUGCAUAGCUGUAGAGAUGAAGAGAUUAAAUGAGUUGCAGAAACAGUGGAUAAUGAAGUCAAUUCAAUGCGCGGUGUGGUGGAAAGCGAGCCUUCAGUGAUAUAUGGAGAUCGACAGGAGAAUUAGCCGUUGGGCAUUAUUUACAUUAUAAUCUUUGCUGGGUUUGUUUGGUUCCCUCCUCAACUUGGCUGUGGUCAAGUCCUAGAAUAUGACCUAUUUCAUGCGUAGCAACACUUUCCAUAUCGUAAGAACCAGGAACUGCACCGACCGUCCAUGAGGCUGUGUCAUCUAAAGUGAUGGUUGUGUCCGUAUAUGAUGUGCUGGCGGAACCCAGGGCUCCUCCAGGGCCAUCAAUGGGGCCAAACUUAACUUGGAGUACAGCACGUGAUUCGUCUCGAAUCCUUUCGAAGGUGAAGUUCGAAACAGCAGCUCAUGUGUCGAAACCGUUUGUAAUUGGUUGCUCAGGUUGGGAGCCAGGGUACACUAUGUAGUGGAUAUCCAUCUGAUCACGGGGCCAUUUUAUGCGCGAUGUAUAAGAAUAAUUAGGGUUGAUAGUACUGUUUGAGCUUGGGGGGUGGUCCUAGAACCCACAUCUUGGCGCACAAAAUAUAAUAUUUUCAAGGACAGCCUUUGGGAGCCCCAUUAAAGUAGUAUUUUUUUUAUCCAUGUCAGCACAUCUAGCUAAGGCAAACUUUCUCCCCAGUGUCAUUGUCAAAGCUCAAUCAAUGCAGCAAAUAAAACACCAGAAUUAUCUGGAGCAUUACGAAGCCCAGAUACUUGUUUUGAUGCCUUAGGAAUUUCUUGCCAAAGCUCAUUCGAUGCAACAAAGAAAUCACUAGAACUAUCCUGACCAUUAUGAGACCCGCUUACGUGUUUGGCUCCCUUGUCUUGUAUCAUUCCCCUUCGGUGACUUAGAUUUCUCUCCGAUCAGCAUCAAACUCUUCUAUAUCAGAAACUUCAUCAUCGAAGAACCAAUCUUCAUCCUCAUUUCAAUGGUCUGCUCCAAAAUCAAGGCUUUAGGAUUUAAUAUCUUCUGGUACUUCAAACCGGACAACUCCAUCUUUAACAGUAGCAAGCUUUCUCAAUAAUUUCCUCAUGAAAAACAAAAUUAAAUUAAAUUAAAAAUAAAAAAAUAAAAGAUAGAAGAAAAAAAGAAGAAACUAAUGGAAAUCAUGAGAUUGGUAAUAAAAUAAUGAUUUAAAAGAAAAGAAAGAGAACCAAGAGACUAGAUUAUAUAUCCCCUCAUUAAAUAAUGGGGCGCAUGUCUAUUUAAAGUCUAAACAAUUCAAGCAAUUUCCUAUUAGAUAAGUAAAUAAAUAAAAUAAAAAAAUAAAAAAUAAAAGUAAAAAAUAAAAAUAGUAAUAAUAAUAAUAAUGACAAUGACAAUGACGAACAAAUAAAAGGUGAAAAAUGAAAAAUGAAUAAACAAAAUAAAUAUAAUUAUCGAAUGCAUGCCAUAGUAAUAAUAAUAUUAUAUAAAUAAGUAAAUAAAUAAAUAAUAAAAAUGUUGAGCCUCAAUGGAAUGUCUAAAUGGACCUAUUCUGAAAAAGGUGUCUAAGUGACCUAAGUGAGACUAAGUAGGCCAAGUGUAUCUAAAUAGGCUUAGGGUGCCUAAAUGGGUCAAGGGUGCCUAAUGAACUAAGUGUCCUAAAAGCUAUCCUAAAAAAAAAACAAGAAAAGCCUAAGUCUAAGUUAGGGCUGCCAAGGGUCACAAUAAGGGGUCGGAUAAAUCUCUCAACCAAAGUCUCCGAGGUGACUCAGAAAAAGGUAAAUUAUACGAGUACUAAUGGGCCACCAAGGAACUACUAUGGAACACUGAAAACAAAAUUAAAGACAUGUGCUAAAGGGACAAAAUUGAGGGUCUACAGUAACAUCAAUUUCGCAGCUGCGAAACGCACUGCGAAGUUGCUGCGAAAAUGGCAUUUUGCUGCGAAAUUGGCGUUUUGUUGCGAAACUCAAACUGACCCUUAGGCUUCCGUUUUUCCUAUUUAUACCGGUCAUUUGAGCUGCGAAAAGGGUUUCAAAAAUCAGAGCACCAUUCUCGCAGCCUGUUCGCCUUCUUCACCAAGCUUCGCCGUCCAAGCCUCCGGUCAUCCUCUCAGAUCAGCAAAGUCGGCCAAAGUUCGGUAGCCCGAAAUGGCGCGAACUUGAGGAGCUAAGUCUUCAUCUCCUUCGAACCGCAAGAAGAGUCUGCGAAAGGAGUCAGUUCCAGAACCUGCUCCAAAGCCUUCGCCGUUGAGACCAAUUCCACCUCCGGUGAAACUCGCGCCGCCAAAGUCGCCGGCAAGACGAUAUCUAACCGGGUCAGGAGGUAGGCCAUUGCAAAAGAGACCCAGGGUGGAGAGCUCAGAACCCAUCGAUUUGACUGAGCAAUCUCCAGAGCCUUCCCCAAUUCCAUCAUCGGUUCAAACUCCAGUGCCGUCUCCAGUUCCCUCGCUGAGUCCCCUGCCAGUUCCAUCGCCGGUACCAUCUCCGGCGCCGCAAUAAAAAUCUCAGGAGCCUCAAGCGCCACUUCCUGAGCCCCAAAUUCAAGCUGAAACAACUCUGGAAGAAGUAAUCCGGAGGCCAAUGCUACCUCAGCCUCCAAUUGAGGGAAACUUGGAUUGUCGAACUCGGGCAUUCCAUUCCGAGCUUUGCUUCGACUUAGCAGCAUUCAGAGUGAGGCCGGAGCUUGCCCAAUCAUUCCAGCUGCUGAGGAGGUAUCAUAUGGAGCAUCUGCUAGCUCCAAGAGAUUUUUUUUACCCCCGGAUAGCCACGGAUUUCUAUCAAUCCAUGACAACCAACGAGGUCAGGAAUCCAACCUUGAUUCAUUUCACUAUCGAUGGGAGACAUGACAUAUUGGGAGCACGACAUAUUGCUGAAGCUCUGCAAAUUCCCUUUGAGCCAACCCAAUUUGAUAAUUUUAGAGCUUGGGCAAAUCCUACUGAGCUAGAGAUGGUGCGCACCCUUUCCAGAGGAGUUGCAAAUCGAUCACAUCUGCUGAGGGGGGAACUUCCUCCAGUUAUGUUUUUUAUUGAUGCCUUUUUGCGUCAUAAUAUCUAUCCAUUGCAGCAUUGGACCCAAAGAAGGGGAGUUCUCCUGGAAGCUCUUUACAAGAUGUCAGAAGGAUUUUUCUUUGGGCCUCAUCAUCUGAUCAUGGCAGCCCUUCUCUAUUUUGAAGAGAAGGUUCACAAAAAGAAGCUUCAGAGAGUAGAUUGCAUUCCCUUCCUCUUCCCAAGGCUGCUAUGCCAAAUUUUGGAGUAUCUGGGAUUCCCUUCUGAGCCUCAGCUGGAGAGAAAGCGAAUAUGUCGUGAGCCAUUCACUCUUGAUAAAUGGAAUAAUAUGACGGCCUACAAAGUUGAUCAGCCUAGGCAGCCUCAGCCAGCUGCAAGGAGAUCUUCCCCAAGACAUAUACCUGAGGGUAUAACAGUUGCUACUCCUGCCAUUCCUAAAGCUCCACCAGCUGCACUUGCUUCAUCUCAGCCAUCCACAUCAGCUGAGUCGAGGAUGACCAUUCCUAUAUCUGAAUAUCGAGAGUUGUGCCGUGUAUUGAAGACUCUUACAGCUUCUCAGAGCAAUCUUGCUCAGGAGAUGGCAACCAUCAGAGCAUGCCAAGAGCAGAUGUUGGCCACUCAGGCUCAACAAGCUGCCAUCUUAAGGCAGCUCCAAGUCCAUUUCGAUCUGCCACAAGCUAUAGAGCCCUCCACUGAUACACCAGCAGAGCCACACCCUCAUCCUUCAGAGUCUCAUCCUCCAGAGCCCCAAGCCCCAGCUGAUGCACCUACUGAAGAGGCAGAUCCAUCUGCCUAGCACCACCACCCCACUCAUCAGACUAUAUUAUAUAUCUAAUAUUUCUAUGUAUUUCGUUUUUUUUAGUUGAAAAGAAAUCCCAGUAUUUUGGUACUAUAUUUGGGAUUCCUUGUGUUACUUGUCUUUUGCAUUGUACUCGAAUGAAUUGAAAGUAAUACAAGUUGAAUAUUUCUUGUUAACAGUUAGCAUUAAGUUAUUCUUAUUUCCUUUUCUCACAUAUUCUAUUCUUUUUGAAACAUGUGGUUUUCCCCAAUCAAUAUUCGAAUUUGAUAUCAGCAAGGAGGUACCACUUCCUCCUUUUUAAUUACAGUCACUCAUAUCACAUUGAGGACAAUGCUCAAUUCGGUUGGGGGGAAUGAGGAAGGAAGUAUGCUAAAUCUUUUUGGUAUUGCAAUUAUAUUGGUUAAUUAGUUGUAGUUUUUACUUUUUACUCUUUUUACUCUAUUCUCCAUGAAUUUUGAGGAAAAAUUUUCAAAUUAAAUCAAGAGAAAUUGAACUGUUGUUUUUUCACUUGACUUAGAGUAUGGAUUAUGCUUACUAAAGUGGUUCAAUUGUUGAAGCUUCUAUUGAAAUUGAAGUUAGUUCUUCCACUUUAAGCUAUCCACACACUGUGCACAUUAGAUUCCGAUUAUAAGAUGAAAAGCUAUUUCCCUCUUGACUUAAGAUAAUUUUGGGACUUGGUAUAUUUGACCUCAUUUGAUAAAAUUGAAACACCCUGCAAAAGGCCAAUGAGCCUUUGAAAUAAAGAAAGUUGUUUGCUUGCCUUGAAACCCGAGCAAGGUCUGAGGGGUAUAUGGUGAAAAUCUUUUAAGCUUGGUGCCCUAAGCCUUAAUUGGUUGGGAGUCACCGACCUCAAUGCUCGUUAUAAGGGUGAAUAGGUAGAGCUAGCAUAUGGUAGAUGCUUGGGUAUUAGAAACUCAUUCUUAAAAGUCCGGGGAAAAAUCCGAGGAGUUAGUGGUUGAAAGAUCCUUAAAGCUUGGUGCCCUAAACCUUAAUUGGUUGGGAGUCAUCGAUGGACCCCUAUUACAUGGACAAGUCAGAAAGAGUACCCCAUAAAGCCUCAUAAAAAAUAAAAAAAAAAUGAUGAAAAUGUGUUCUUUUCUUAUUGAUUUUGGUCAGAUUGCUAAAGUAUUGAAAAGAGAUAGGUUGGGGAGAGAGACUAGUUUAGCAUAUUAUUCUUGGAAGCUAAGGAACCAAUACACAUAGAUUUUUGUGGAAGAUUAAAGUUUGGUUCUUAGAAAGUGGAAAUGAUUUUAAAACUUCAAUUUGCAUAAUGCACUCCCUUGAUUGACAGUGUUUAGCAUAGUUUGUUAUGACUCUUGUUGAGAUUUGGGUUUGUAUUUCUUUAAUGCUUCAUGUGAGAAUUAGAUCAUCAUGCCACUUGAGAAUUAUUUUCUAUCAGCAUGAUGUUGUAAAUUUUAGUAUAAUUUGCUAUUUAUUUUCAUUUUUCUCUCCUUUAUUGCUAAGGGACUAGCAAUAUGUCGGUUGGGGGGAGUGAUUACUACUCAAAAAGUGCUAUUUGAUAGCCUAUAAUUAAUCCUUUUAAACACUUUUGAGUAGUAGUUUAGGUCUUUUAACUCAAUUGGCAUGUUAAGGAUCCUUUAAAGCAAUUUUGAUCACUUUGUGUAAGUUUUGGUGUUUUUGUUAGUAUUUUGAUCACCAAAGCAAGUCAAGACUGAGGAGAGCUAUGAGGAAUCUUGGGCAAAGUUGAGAAGUCAUUUGCCAAGAGUAAAUCCGGAUUGCAAGGAGAAAAAGCAAAGAUAAUCUGCCAUAAAGCAUAUUCUUGAUGACAGUCGUAGCAGCCACUUUUGGAGCACUUUCUAAAGUCCAAAUGAUGCAUGUUAUAUAUCAUUUCAAAGAUCAGGAAGUCAACAAUCCAAUGCUUCAAACGGUGUGCAAUUCGGAGUUGAAAUGAAGAAGUUGCAGCCAUUACAAGCCAAUCACUCCGAGCUGAAGGAAGCAUUUUGCAAAGUGUUGCGAAAUCACCCUUUUGUUGCGAAAUGAUUUCGCAGCCUUUUUGAACAAUGUGAUGUUUCUCCUUCUGACGAUACCCGAUUUAUGCCGCGAGAAGGAAGCUGAGAACCUCAAGGUGGAAGCCAACUUCGCAGCCCUAUGAAGAUAGCUUGGUGUUGCGAAAUUAUUUUGCAGCUCUCUUGAGUGUCUGCGAAAUCUCGCAGACACCAUUUUUCUCAUGCGAAAUGGUUCCUAAAGCCUCCCGAUAUUUGCUACCGACAUUGGGAGAUAUUUUCCAUUAGAUUUUUGUUGUCUAAAUCCCAAAAUACUCCUUGUAAACCACCAAUUACAUGAUUCCUUAGUUUUUAAGUUAGUAAAAAGACUAAAUAUCUAUGUAAUAAUUAGUUUUAUAUUAUGUUCAUAUAUAUACCUCUCGGGAGCCUGUUCUCAGAGAGGAGUUCCUUUUGUAAAAGUUUGGGUAAGCAAGUAAAGUCUAUUUUCUUUCUAUUGUCUUACCUUCUCACUUUGUAUUUUCAUUUUAUUUCUAAGUUAUGAAUUCUCUGAGGAGUUUUCCCCAGAGAAUGAGUAACUAAACCUCUAAUUCCUUGGAGCUAAGGUUGCCGGGGAAGGUUCCAAGUGCAAGAAUGCAAAGCUCUGUGGUUUUAGCUAUUAAUGAAGAGGAAGUGAAAUCCUUUAGUGAUUUCUAUGUUUUUAGUUAACUUAAAACACCUUGGAGUCACCUGGGCCAACACUUGGUAAGGCAAGUGAUUUCCAACCAUGGAAAUGCACUAGUUUACCCCAUGCGAGCCUCUGGGAGGUGACUUCAAGGUAGGAUUUUCUAGAAUAGCCAACACUUGGUAAGCUUUUGGACUCCUAGGAGACAUCCAUUAGUUAUCUCUUACGAGCUUUUGACGGGUAAUCCAAGGUUAAAGAUCACCUUGAAUGGUUAAGGCUUAGUGAGAGGCUUAAACCAUUGCAAAGUGCAUCAGUGAGAGAAUUAAAGUGAAAUCUAAUUGAAGGAGUCUCUGUAUAACACCGGUUAGAGAAUUGACUAUAUGUUGAAUCUCUAAUACGAGGAAAUGAACCAACUGACCGGAGCUAUGUCUUUUGCAUGAGGAACCACCCCAGUGAACCUAAAUCUCCGGGGAAUGUUUUUCUUCCUAAAUUAUUCCAAACUUCUGUUAUGUUAGUUAGUUUAAGUCUAAACCUUUACCAAUCAAAGUUUGUGUUUUACUUCUUAAGCUAACCUUGAAAUGAAACAAGACCAAUUCACUUGGAAUUGGUAUCAUUGAUUGCUUGUUAAUCAUUCCCAGUGAACGACCCUAGAGUCACUAUACUAUAGUAGUUUUUUCUUUGCUACCCUAGUGUAUGGUGUUAUAGGUAAUAAAUUUUGUUGAUUACUCCCUCAAUCAAGGAGCACCAGCUGAACACAAAUCAGCUGAGACACCAAUUGGGCACGAAUCAGCGGAGACGGCGGUGCGACCAGCGGCGCCGGCCAUGGUUGCGGCGGUGCAAGCGCCAGCAGAAGCAGCAGCCCCCCACCUCUAUUCCUUCAUACCGUCAUGGCCAUCAUCGACAUGAAGACCCAAUCCCCCUGUCGGCUUGCUAUCCGUGGGCCACCCUGUUGCUUUGUUUAAAAGAAACAAGGUGGCAGCACUUCUAGAUCUUCAUGAUGGAUGUUCUGACUGGUGGGCUUUGUUGGUGGGCUCCCAAAGCCCAAGUUGCAUGUUUAGAUUAGUUCACAUGGGCCUUAAGCCCCAUCCUCCAUGUUCGGGCCAAGUAUACGGCCCUCUCGAGUCUUUUUUUCCAAUGUUAUAAAUAUGUUUUUCCUAUGAAGAUUUUUAAAUCAGCUAUACAAAAUAUCAUUUUCGAAAUAACUUCCUAAAAUUAAAUUUUAAAUUCGAUUUGCAAAAUUUUGAUUCUUGAAAAUUCAAUCCCGAAAAUUCCCCUAUGCAAUUAUACUCGUUUAAAUAUUAUGAUUGUUAAUUAUUAUUAUUUCAUAUGUAUCGAUUUAUCAUCUUUUAAAAAUCUCAUUCAUUAGAGUCUAAUCCUUCCAAAAAUUCCAUGUCUUAAUUUAAAUUUUCAAUUCUAAAAAUUCCACAAUUAAUUUAAACCUUAUUUUCAUCAAUUAGAACUAUCCUCUCAUAUUUACUUAGUUAUUUAAGGUCUAAUCUUUCAAAAAUCCCAUGUUUUAAUUUAAUUCUUCAAAUAUUCGUUUAAAUCUCAUUUUUAUUAAAUAGAGUCAAUAUCUCUUAUUUAUCUAAUCUAAUCUUUCAAAAAUCCCUUGCCUUAAUUUAAUUAUUCAAAUAUUCGUUUAAAUCUUAUUUUCAUCAAUUAGAAUCAUUAUCCAGUAAUUAUCUAGCUAUUCAAAGUCUAAAAAUCUCAUAUCUUAAUUUAAUUUUUUCAGUAAUUCGUUUAAAUCUUAUUUUCAUCAAUCAGGAUUAUUAUUCCAUAUUCACCUAUUUAUUUAAAACCUAAUUCUUCGAAAAUCCCAUGUCUUAAUUUAAUUUUUCAAUCCCAAAAAUUCUACAGUUCGUCUAAAUUUUAUCCUCAUCCAUUAGAAUCAUUAUUCCAUAUCUAUUCAAAGCCCAAUCUUUCGAAAACCCCCUAUCUUAAUUCAACUUUCGAUCCUAGAAAUUCCAUUAUUCGUCUAAAUUUUAUUUUUGUUAAUUAGGAUUCUUGUUCCACAUCCAUUUAUUUAUAUAAGAUCCAAUUCUUCAAAAAUCCAAUUUCUGAAUUAAAACUUCGAUCCCAAAAAUUCUACUAUCCAUCUUUAUUCGCCUAAAUAUUAUUCUCGUUAAUUAGUAUUAUAAUCUCAUACCUACCUAUUUAUUCAAAACCUAAUCCUUUAAAAAUCCAAUGCCUUAAUUCAAAUUUUCAAUUAGAAAAAUUCCACUAUUUUAUUCGUUCAAACAUUAUUUUUGUUAAUAAAUAUUAUUAUUCCAUAUUUGUUUAUUUAUUUAUUUCAAUCAUUAAAAUUCAAUUCUUCAAAACCGGAUUUCCAAAUUUAACCUUUAGACUAAAAAAAUUCCACCAUUCACUUUUAUUCAUUUAAAUAUCAUCUUUGUUAUCGUUAUCAUAAAUUCCACGUUUACUUAUUUCUUUCUUCUAAAAAUUCCAAUAAUUAGAGUUCAAUUAUUCAGAGGUCCGACUUUCAAACCUAAUUCUCAAAAUCCCACUAUUCACUAUUCAUCCGUCCAAAUAUCGUUUUGAUUAAUUAGUAACAUUACUCCAUACUUACCCAUUUAUUUCUCUUAAAAAUCUCAAUCAUUAAAGUCUAAUCCUGCAAAAUUCCGAUUUCUAGAUUUAGUUAUUUGAAAUUCCAAUUGUCCUAUCUCCGAACUUAAUUUUCAGUUUCCCAUGCUCCAAUUCCCGUAUUUAUCCCGCUACUUAUUAUUAUCAUUAUCACUAUCAUCUUAUUCAUUAUUUCUAUAAAUUCUACUUUCGAAUGAUUUCCAAGACCUCCAAUUUUUAUACAUCGACUUUCAUAAUUUCUACUUCUCAAAUAACUUACGAUUCUGAUCCCUUUCAAAAUUUAACUCCCACAAUCCCAAUUUUUGUAACUUAGGUGGUGUUUGUUUUUUUGGCUUUUUGCUAAAAACCAUUUAGUUUUAGAAUUUAGGUUGUUUGUUUUUUUACUUUUUCAUGACUUAUUAUAAACUUUUUACUAAAUAGAAAAAGCCAGAAUAUGUGGCUUUUUCUAAAUAGAAAAAAUAACAUAAUGGUUUUCUUUACUUUUUAAUACUUAAUAGAAAUAAAAUACUACAAAAACAAACAACCUAAUAUUUAAUACUAUUAAGUAUUAAGGUUCUAUUUAGAAUUAAGUAAAAAAACAAACACCACCUUAGUUUUUCUUAAAAAUCCCGAACUUUCAAAUAAUUAUUCAAAAUCCCAAUUUUCUUUCAAAUUUAAUUUCUAAAAGUUCUUAUUCUUACAUCUAAUUCCUAAGAAUCCAAUUUUCAAAUAAACUCUAGGAUUCUGAUUCUCAAAUGAAUUUCAAAAACCCAGUUUUCCUUCGAACAAUUUUAAUCCCUGUUUAGUGAUGCAUAUGAUAUGUUUUGUGCUCUAUAUGGUGCACUAACCCUCUCUAUUGAUAGCGCAUUGUCACAAGCUGACCCAAAUGAGCCUCCCAAUGGCCUUAUAUAGGGCCAGGAAGCUUCUGGAGACUCCUAGAAUGGGAAGAGUGUGGAAGGUUCUAGAGAAGUCUGGAGGAGUCCACACAAUUCUACACUAUGGUGGAAGGCACAAGAGGAGUCCGGGGCUUUCUAGAGAAGUCUAGAAGACUCUUGUAUAUACUUGUAUAUAGGCUUGUAACUAGAAUGAUGUAGGACAUUCUAGAAUAGUCUUGAGAUGUAAGGAACCCUCCAAGGUUCCAGAGAGUUCCAUUGGUGCCUAUAAAUAGGUGAGGGCCUCAUUUGGCCAAGGCACCAAGCAAGUGAGCAUCCAAGCACUUGUAAAGGUUUCCUUGAGUUAGUGAAAGCUUCCAUUCUUUCAAGAGUUGCCUACCAAGCUUCUUAAGCUUUUAAGUCGCGAGUGUCUUAGCCGAGCAAGCUAAGCAUUAGGGAGCAAGGCUGACUUAGCAAGAUCAAGCGUCUUGGCUUGUCUAAGUGCUGCACGAGCUUAGUGAACGACUAAGUCCGUGACAAGUGGUAUCAGAGCGCGGUUACGAGGUGGGCAUAGCAAAGGAAGCAUGUCGGGCUCUAACGUGGAGGAGACUAGCGAGCAAACCCGUGGACGGGAGAUGGAGCAUACUACACGGGGCCGAGGCAGGAAGGAUAAGUCUCGUGACACCUUAGCCAACAUGGAGGCAAGGCUAGCCAAGGUGGAGCUAGCCAUGGCAGACACCCGGGAAGGGGUGGACUUGAUAGAGCAAGGCAUGGAGAAGGGCUUAGAGGAUCUAAGGGAGCAGAUCCAAGACCUUCGCGAGGGCGUGCUAUGUUCACAAGUUCAGCCGGUGUCACACGAGGAGUUCAUGUCCUUCCAAGACAAGGUCAUGACCAUGUUCGCUAGUGUGGAGUCAAGGAUGGAGGCCUUGGCUGCUCGCAUGGAUGCCCGAGACCAAGAGAUCCGACAAGAGCUGGCCAUCUAUAAGACUGCGGUGUCAGCACGAGUCAUGGCCACUCAUGAGGCACCAAGGGUGGAGGUGCCCAAGCCACACACGUUCAAUGGCAAGAGGGAUGCCAAGGAGCUAGAUAAUUUCUUGUGGCACAUGGAGCGCUACUUUGAGGCAAUUGCAUUGACGGAUGAAGCCACUAAGGUACGCACCGCGACCCUUUACCUCACUGAUAAUGCUACUCUAUGGUGGCGUCGACGAUUUGCCGACAUAGAGAGAGGGACGUGCACCAUAGACACAUGGGAUGCCUUUAAGAGAGAAAUCAAGAGGCAAUUCUACCCCGAAGACGUGGCUUACCUAGCAAGGAAGAGUUUGAAGCGUCUCAAGCACACGGGCUCAAUCCGUGAGUAUGUCAAGGAAUUCUCUACUCUUAUGCUUGAGAUACCUAACAUGGCUGAGGAGGAGCUGUUGUUCAACUUCAUGGACAACUUGCAAAGCUGGGCCGAGCAAGAGUUGAGGAGACGUGGUGUCCAGGACCUAGCCACGGCCAUGGCAGUAGCCGAGUCCUUGGUGGAUUAUAGAAGGGGAGACUCCUCCAAGCCCAAGCCACCAUCCAAGGGUAACCAGGCCAAAGGUGGGGGAGACAAGAGGUCGCAAGGCCAAACUUCUAAGGAAGGAUCAAGCAAAGGCCCUAGUGGCAAGGACGGCAAAGGCAAGGAUAAGCGAAAGGAGUUCACGCCUAGGACCAAUUGCUUCCUGUGCGAUGGUCCGCACUGGGCACGGGACUGCCCUAAGAGGAAGGCUUUAAAUGUUAUGAUCGAGGAGAAGGAGCAGGAAGGCGAUGCUAAGAUGGGAUCGUUGCAGCUCCUAAAUGCCCUUAAGGCCAAGCCGAUGCCUAAGAUGCCUCAAAGCAAAGGACUGAUGUAUGUGGAGGCCCUGGUGAAUGGGAAAGCCACCAAGGCCUUGGUGGACACAGGUGCCACUCACAACUUUGUCUCGGAGGAUGAGGCAAGAAGGUUGGAGCUCCAAGCAUCCAAAGAAGGAGGAUGGCUCAAGGCGGUCAAUUCAGCCGCCAAGCCAUCACAUGGAGUAGCUCGCGGGGUGACUAUGCACAUCGGCUCGUGGGAAGGAAGGGUCGACUUCACAGUGGCACCCAUGGACGACUUCAAGAUGGUGCUAGGAAUGGACUUCCUACAGAAGGUCAAAGCCGUGCCACUACCUUUCCUACGUUCAAUGGCUAUCCUAGAGGAGGAGAAGCCGUGCAUGGUCCCUACGGUCACUGAAGGGACGCUCAAGACCCCUAUGCUAUCUGCUAUGCAAGUAAAGAAGGGGUUAAAGAGGGAAGAGGUGACCUACCUCGCCACCUUAAAGGAAGAGAAGGAUGAUAGGUCGGGAGAACCCAUUCCUAAGGAAAUCGAGGGGGUCCUUGAUGAGUUCAAGGACGUGAUGCCGCCCGAGUUGCCUAAGAGACUUCCUCCUAGGAGAGAGGAAGAUCACAAGAUUGAGUUGGAGCCAAGAGCCAAGCCCCCUGCUAUGGGGCCAUAUAGGAUGGCACCACCUGAGUUGGAGGAGCUAAGGAGACAACUCAAGGAGUUGCUAGAUGCGGGGUUCAUCCAACCAUCCAAGGCUCCCUAUGGCGCGCCGGUUCUAUUUCAAAAGAAGCAUGAUGGGUCCCUACGAAUGUGCAUAGACUACCGGGCACUCAACAAGGUGACGGUGAAGAACAAGUAUCCCAUCCCGCUCAUUGCUGAUUUGUUCGAUCAACUUGGAAGGGCAAGAUACUUCACGAAGCUGGACUUAAGGUCAGGCUACUACCAAGUCAGGAUUGCGGAGGGAGAUGAGCCGAAGACUACAUGUGUGACCAGGUAUGGCUCAUAUGAGUUCUUAGUGAUGCCUUUCGGACUCACCAAUGCCCCAGCAACGUUCUGCACCCUCAUGAACAAGAUCUUCCACCCAUACUUGGACAAGUUCGUGGUGGUGUACUUGGAUGACAUAGUCAUCUAUAGUAACACUCUAAAGGAGCACAAAGAACACUUGAGGAAGGUCUUUAAGAUCUUGAGGUAGAACGAGCUAUACGUAAAGAAGGAGAAAUGUUCGUUUGCUAAGGAGGAAGUGAGCUUCCUUGGGCAUCGCAUCAGAGAUGGCAAGCUGAUGAUGGAUAAUAGCAAGGUGAAGGCCAUCCAAGAAUGGGAUCCACCAACCAAGGUACCUCAACUCAGAUCUUUCCUUGGUUUAGUUAAUUAUUACCGGCGGUUCAUAAAGGGUUAUUCGGCAAGGGCUGCCCCACUCACUGAUCUUCUUAAGAAGAAUAAGGCAUGGGAAUGGGAUGAAAGGUGCCAACAAGCCUUUGAGGACUUGAAGAAGGCUGUGACUGAGGAGCCAGUGUUGGCACUACCCGACCACACCAAGGUCUUUGAGGUACACACAGAUGCUUCCGACUUCGCUAUUGGGGGAGUCCUUAUGCAAGAGAGGCACCCAAUCGCAUUUGAGAGUCGUAAGCUAAACGACGCAGAGAGGCGUUACACGGUGCAAGAAAAGGAGAUGACCGCUAUCGUCCACUGCUUGCGCACCUGGAGGCACUAUCUGCUAGGGUCUCACUUCAUAGUGAAGACCGACAAUGUGGCCACUAGCUACUUCCAAACACAGAAGAAGCUGAGUCCUAAACAAGCUAGGUGGCAAGACUUCCUGGCCGAGUUCGAUUAUACGCUGGAGUAUAAGCCAGGAAGUGCUAACCAUGUGGCCGACGCCCUAAGUCGCAAAGCCGAGCUAGCGUCCAUGACGAGUCAGCCCCAAGGAGAUAUAGUGGAUCUUCUAAGGGAGGGAUUGCAACAUGAUCCAGUGGCUAAAAGCCUUAUUGCCCUGGCUCAUGAAGGAAAGACUAAGCGAUUUUGGGUGGAGGACGGCCUACUCUAUACCAAAGGGAGACGACUCUACGUGCCUAAGUGGGGGAACAUAAGAAGGAACCUGAUUAAGGAGUGCCACGACACCAAGUGGGCUGGGCACCCUGGGCAACGACGCACUAGGGCACUACUCGAGUCGGCGUACUAUUGGCCUCAGAUACGGGACGAGGUUGAGGCCUAUGUGAGGACUUGUCUUGUGUGCCAACAAGACAAGGUGGAGCAGCGACAACCUAGAGGCCUGUUAGAGCCACUACCUAUAGCAGAACGCCCAUGGGACAGCGUCACCAUGGACUUCAUCAUCGGGCUACCCAAGUCAGAGGAUAAUGGGUCUAUCAUAAUGGUGGUGGACAGGUUCUCUAAGUAUGCAACCUUCAUAGCAGCCCCGACUGACUGCACGGCGGAAGAGACGGCAAGGCUAUUCCUAAAGCACGUAGUCAAGUAUUGGGGGUUGCCUAAGUUCAUCAUCAGUGAUCGCGACCCGCGCUUCACUGGGAAGUUUUGGACGGAACUCUUCAAGCUUAUGGGUUCGGAGCUUCACUUCUCCACAAGCUUUCACCCACAGACAGAUGGACAGACUGAGAGGGUAAACGCCUUAUUGGAGCUCUACCUAAGGCACUUCGUGAGUGCCAACCAGAAGGAUUGGGCUAAGUUGCUAGAUGUAGCCCAGUUCUCAUACAACCUACAAAGGAGUGAGGCGACCAACAAGAGUCCGUUCGAGCUAGCUACGGGACAGCAACCGUUAACUCCUCACACCCUAACAAUUGGCUACAUGGGGAGAAGUCCAGCGGCUUUCAAGUUCGCAAAAGGGUGGCACGAGCAAGCUGAUAUAGCACGCUCAUACUUGGACAAGGCCGCUAAGAAAAUGAAGAAGUGGGCUGACAAGAAGCGACGACACACGGAGUAUAAGGUCGGAGACAUGGUGCUUGUCAAGCUCCUUCCUCAACAAUUCAAGUCCCUAAGGCCGGUGCACAAGGGCCUUGUGAGAAGGUAUGAAGGACCCUUCCCCAUACUUGGGAAGGUCGGCAAGGUGUCCUAUAAAGUCGAGCUGCCCCCGAGGUUGAAGAUUCAUCCUGUCUUCCAUGCCAGCUACUUGAAGCCCUAUCAUGAAGACAAGGAUAAUCCAAGCCGAGGGUUGUCCAAGAGGGCACCUACAGCGGUCGUGACCUCCUAUGAUAAGGAGGUAGAACUCAUCCUCGCAGACCGGGUCAUCAGGAGACGAGGGGUACCUCCUGCUACGGAAUACUUAGUGAAAUGGAAAGGACUACCAGAAAGUGAGGCUAGCUGGGAGCCAGCAGAGGCACUAUGGCAGUUCCAGGAACAGAUCGAGCGGUUCCGGGCAGAAGGCGCGACGAGGACGUCUGCGGCAUAGGUGGGGGAGAGUGUCACAAGCUGACCCAAAUGAGCCUCCCCAUGGCCUUAUAUAGGGCCAAGAAGCUUCUGGAGACUCCUAAAAUGGGAAGAGUGUGGAAGGUUCUAGAGAAGUCUGGAGGAGUCCACACAAUUCUACACUAUGGUGGAAGGCACAAGAGGAGUCCGGGGCUUUCUAGAGAAGUCUAGAAGACUCUUGUAUAUACUUGUAUAUAGGCUUGUAACUAGAAUGAUGUAGGACAUUCUAGAAUAGUCUUGAGAUGUAAGGAACCCUCCAAGGUUCCAGAGAGUUCCAUUGGUGCCUAUAAAUAGGUGAGGGCCUCAUUUGGCCAAGGCACCAAGCAAGUGAGCAUCCAAGCACUUGUAAAGGUUUCCUUGAGUUAGUGAAAGCUUCCAUUCUUUCAAGAGUUGCCUACCAAGCUUCUUAAGCUUUUAAGUCGCGAGUGUCUUAGCCGAGCAAGCUAAGCAUUAGGGAGCAAGGCUGACUUAGCAAGAUCAAGCGUCUUGGCUUGUCUAAGUGCCGCACGAGCUUAGUGAACGACUAAGUCCGUGACAGCAUGGUGACUUGUUGCCCAGGUAUGUAGCCAUUUUCCCUCUAAUCGUUGUCUAUGCAUGUCUCGCUUUUUAUGUGUGCAUGAUCGUUCAGGAUAUUCAUCAAUUGUCACGUCAGCUUCAUUUUAUUAGUAGAGACCUGACUUUAGGGGCUUAGAGGGGUGCUACGGUUUUUACCGUACCUUCCCGAUAAGUAACCUGACCCCCGAACCCGAUUCGGUUUUUCACAGAACACCUUUUCCAAAACAAGGAGUCACACUUAGGGUUUUUCUUUCUUAUUUUGUUUACCCUUUAAAAAUAAAACAGAAAUAAGUGGCGACUCCAAGUCAUUUUCUUAAUCAAUAAAAAUCAUUUUUCAAAUCAAAAUCGAGCUCGCCAUCGAGUGGGAAACGCAUGAGCCGAAAUGCGGGGUCCACAUGUUGAUUUUAAGAUAACUUCAAAUUUACUCCACAUCCAAUACCGACAAUAUUGUUUUAAGAAAACUUAAGAAAAUAAAAAUAAAAUAAAAUAGUAAUGCUAGUUUUAAGACUUUUGCAAAAUUAUUCAAAACCAACCAUGUUAAAGUUGGAGUAAUGUUGGUUUUAAGUCUUUUACAAAAUUGUUUUUGUGAGUUAUUUAGUUAAGUUGGUAAUUUCAAACAAAAUUUCUAAGUAUCUCUUAACUUACUUUUUUCAAAUUAGAACUACUUACCUAAUGAAGAUCAAGUUAUUGAAUUUGUUAAGAGACCAAGGUACGUAGUUGGAGUUAUAUAAAAUUGAACCAAUCACAUCUUUGAAAUUGUUGUUUUUUUGUAAAUAUUUUUUUAAAGAGUUGGGAAGUUUGAGAGGUAUUUUUUUUUUUUUACUAAGUAUUCAAAAUAUUAUGUUCCACGAUUGAUUCAACUUUAUGUCGGAUCAAUCCAAGUAGCUCUUUCUUAUCAUUAUUUCAAUUUUUGGAUUAAGGGUUUCGUUCAAUUUAAAUAGCAAAAAUUGUUUCUUGAAAUGUAGAGAAACCAACAACUGUUCUCCUUAUGCUCUCUUGUAUUACCAAAUUGAGGGUGUUAGGUUAUUGAGAAAAUCUUAUUUUCUUCUAAUUUUUCAAGUUGUUUUUAAUGAAUUUUCUUGAGCAAAAAAAAGAAAAAAACGGGUUUAUUCCUAUUCAUUCAUCUCUUAUUUUUCGAUUUAAUUGGGUUUGGGUGAAAACUUAUUUUCUUUUCAUGUAGAUUCAAGAAGGGGUUGAGAUUGAACUUAGUGUGAGCUCCAAGUAUGCUCUAGAAGAAGAUGUAAAGUCGAAAAUGGAAAUGUACUAAUCAAGUGGUCCGAGAAUGAUUGAUAAGUUUAAGUUAUGUAAAAUCUUGUAUUCCUUUUUUAUUUUUCAUAAUAGACAUUUUCAAUUGAUAGUAGACUUAUGGUUUUUUAUCUUUUUGAAGGUUUUCCACAUAAAUUUUAGUGUCACUGUCUUUUUUUUCUCUUAUUCCGCUCUUUGAUUUAUUUUUAGUUUUAGUUUUCAUUUAUUACUUAUGGAUAUAAGUUGAAUGGAUGAACAAUAAGCUGAAAUAGGUAUGGUCUUCUUUGAUAUCUUGAAUAUUUUUUCUAUUAAUUUAUUGUAAUAUAGAUAUUUAGUAGAAAUUGAAAUUUGUGUUAUUGAGAAAUUGUUCUUAUGAACCGUGUUGGUAAGUGUUGAAGCAUGUACAUGUGACUUACUUUUGAAAAUGAUUGGGAGAGUCUUGUUGCAUUUAAACUUGCACGUGAUUUUUAUUGAAGAAAAAUUGUGAAAAAUUUUACGGCUGGAUAAUAUGCGUUGAAGAUCUUUUUGAAUUGGUUGAAGUCCAACAACAGAGAGACUAGAACCAACAUUACCCAUUGAGGUUUUAGACCAAUUUCAAUUUUUUUUCCUAAAACCAAUAUUGGUAAGCAAGGUUUUAAUAAUAUAACCAACAUUAAUAACUACUGAUUUUAAUUCACACUAAAACCAAAGUUCAUAUUGGAGUGUUGUAAUAUGUGGCUCACAUUGAGUAAAAGACAUAUAGAAAAAAAUGGGCAAAUAUCGUCGUUCCGUUCCGUUUCACUCAAAGAGUGUAUUCCUGCAGUACGGUUUAAUGGUAUUUUUAGAAUUUCAAUACAUAAAAUUAGUAUAAAUACCCUUUUUGAGUAACCCUAAUUUUGAAUAUAGUAAAAGUCUUCUUCCCUGUUUUGACGUAGUCAUUCUGUCGAAUCAUGUUAAAUCAUUGUGUUUUCUUUUAUUUUUUCUCAAAUUUCUUUAUUUGGAAUUGUUGCAGUAAUCUCAACAUGGAGUCUAUAAAUAAAAUAUUAUUAAAAAAAAAAAAAAAAGACCAUUUCUUUUUCAAAAAACUAAAACUCGGCUUUUAACCAUUCUUUUCCAUUUAUUUCUCACCAUUUUCAAGUUUUACAACAGCAAACAAUUCCAAGAAUCAUUCCAGAGAGGACUGGUUUGAGCAUCAAUUGGAAGUGAAAAAGUAGUAUACAGUUUGUCUCCAAUCUUAUGUCAAUCUGCAGAUCCCAAUCUGCUGAAUCUCGGCCCAAACUUCCAAUGAUGAGUUUUGCCUCCACUAGAUGAUCAGGUCAUCAGGUCCAAACUUGAAUCAACAUGGAUUUUCCUUAAGGUUUGAUGUAACUAUCUAUAGCGAAUCAUAAUCUGUCCGUGAUUCCACAGAUCCAUUCAAUAUAUAUGACAAAGAUCGGCGAACUCGUGAAACUUGUUUUACAGGCAAAGCCAAAUCGACACUGCUGCUUUAACUCAGCUUCACUUUCUUCUUUUACAGCUAAAGCCAAAUUGACACUUCUUUACCUUUGCUUCAGUUUUGAGACUCCGGACAGAUGGGCCUCCUCUCAUCAUAUGACUUUGUUGCUCCACCCAUGAGUGCAACCAUGCAACAACCUGAUCACCCCCAUUUUUUUCUUUCUUUUUUUUUUGGGAAGAAACCAAUACACAUAAACCAUGAUUAAUUACAAACAUAUCAAGCAAAGCAACAGUCGUAUUCUAUUUACAAACUACACUUCUUAAUCAACAAAAAACAGCAAGCCUAUUUUCUUCAAUUCUAUACCGAAUAAGGACAGGUACGAUGAUGAGGUGUCUUUUUAUGUUUUGAUUUAUUUAAUAUGAUGUUAAGCCAUCAUUUGAUGAAACUCCUGGAAAUCCAGCACUCCGUUGCCAUCUAUAUCGAACACUUGAAUCAUGGCGACGCACUCGUCGUAGGAUUUCUCAUCUCCCAGGCGAUUGAACAUCCUUUGCAAGCCUUUGGGGGUUAUGCACCCAGACCCCUUCUCCAAUUCGAACAUCUCAAAGGCCCUUUUAAGAUCCUCCUGAUUCCCGUCUUCCCUUUGCAUCAGCUUCACAAAAUCCUGAAAGUCCAACAGGUUGUCACCGUCCGUGUCCAGAUCAUUGAUCGCUGCUUGAGCCUCUUCGUGUGACAUGUAUUCUUGAAUGGAUCCAAAAUAGGCUCUAAGCUCUAGUGCUGAGAUCUUUCCAUCCCCGUCGCUGUCAAAAUGUCGGAAAACUUGUUUCAGCUCAUCCUCCUUUGCGUUACCUUUCGGCUGAAGGGAACACGAAGGGGAGGGAGGAGAGCUUGACGCCGAGCUGGACUUGGGUGAACGCCUAUGGAGACUUAACCUGAGACUCCUGUUAGAGAACCACCUUGCUGGUUUGAGAACUAUUUCCGCCCCCAUUGGAAAACAAGAAUAGAUUGUUUCAUGGAAAUAAAUAGCAUGUACCUGCUUAUAUAGAGUGCAAGGCUAUGAAAUUAGUCUGAAAAGAAAACUUAAUUCAGAAUAAAACCAAGAUGGGACUUGCAAUGAAGCUGCGAGGAGAAGAGGACUCGUGAUUACGUGAAGCUUUUGCGUGGGAGGAAAUUGCAUGGUAGUUUCCUCGGGGUCCCAAUUGACAGCACCACCAAAUCUAGGAAUAUCCUUUCACUCUCCUCGCAAGUGUCGUACAGAACACCCUCCAAACUCCCAAAUCUAGUUGCCAGAUUUUCCCAAUUCAUGUGCCUCAACUACUAAUUUAUUACCCUUCGGCUUCAAAUGCCACCCCUACAUCAUAUACUUGACCGUCGUAGUCCAAUAUAGGGUGAGGGUGUCCGUCAAGCGCCUAAAAGGCCAGUAUAACAGCGGCCCAUACUCCUGCAGAAGGAGAGAGGACAUUUUGACCUGAUAAAUAUUCGUAUGUGGAUGUUAAUGAUUUUUAUAUACAACAAAGUAGGUUGUGAUGUUGCAAACACGGGUUCUCUAGUCUUUAUGAUCUAUCAUGACUUCUGGCCCAACGCGCUUCUACAUGCAUCUCCUCUUCUUUUCAUGUGCUGCCCUCCCUGCAAAACUUUGAAUAUUUUCAGCUUUCUCAAAGACCAAGACCACACAACAAUAUUUCUCUUUCCAUCCCAUGACUAAAAAAGUCUUAAUAAAUUUAGUGUUUGUAAUUUAUUCUUAAAACAAUAUUUCAUAAAAUAAUCUCAAGUGCAUGGUUUGUAAAGAGCAAUUUUGCAGAAUUUCUAAGCUGUGGGAAAGAUAAAAAAUCUAUGAGUUGUGACAACGUAGUGCUUCUAUUUUUAAUGGUGGGAGGGAUUGUCGAUUCUGAUCAAAGUAUGAUGUGACAAAUAUUAAAUUUAUAUAUCAUUAUAAUUAUAAUUAUAGUUAAUUACAAAACAUAAUGAAUUAAAAAUUAUUAAAAGAUCUCGAUUUUUUACUUUUAACAUCAAAUGAUCAAAUCAUAACAAGUGCAAAUUUAUUAGAUUAUUAAUAUUUUUAAUUUUACUACAUGGUGCAAAUAUGAUAGAUUUGAAAUAUCAUUUUCCAAGGCUUUGCUCUCUUAAUAUAUUCUUUGUCACAUUUUUUGUGAUCAAAAUACUUAGAUAGAUAAAUAAGUAAUUAAAUGGAGGAUAAAAUCUCUUUAAUUAAUAUCACUUUCAAACAAGUUUUAACAUUGUGAAAUUUAAGUUAUUAAAAAAUACUUCAAAUAUAUAAAAUAAAUAUACAAAUAAAUGAGAUUAAAGUAUAAAAAAAUAAACUAUGGUAUCAAUGAAUGGAUCGUUAGGUUAGGUUGAAUACAAAUAAAUGAAAUCAAAUUACAUAUGUAGUUUGUUGUGAUUGGGUGGUGUUUGUUUCUUCUUGAUUAAAUAAAAAAAUGUAAAAUAUUUGAUUUUUUUAUACUGAUAUUAAUUAACAUAAUUAAAAUAAAUUUAUUAUUAAUAUGUUCAAUUUAAUUAUAUUGGUAUAUGAACGAAUUAGUUUCAAUUGAAUAGAAAAAAUAAAACAUCACUUGGUGUUAAUUUUUUUUAUUUAUUAAUAUACCAAUUGGGUAUUAUAUUGAGAUCUUAUAAAAUAUUUUCAUAUUAGUUGUCCAAUAACCCAACAUAAAAAAAUGUUUUCUAAUUUUGAAAAUACUUUUAAUAAAAAACAUUUAAAAAAAAUUAUCAAAAUAAGUUUUUUUAGAAUAAUUUUAAGAUAUUUACAAUUAUUUUUUGUAUAGACUUUGUAAUUAAUAAUUGAAAAAAGAAAUACUUUGAAAUUUUUUUAUAUUAUACAAUACCUUGUAUUUAUGAGAAGCUUUCUUAUAGCCUACGGGCCCCACCGCAGCUUGGCUUUUUCUACAGGUCUUCGUCCAAUUGUCUUGGUCCAGCCCAACCUUAAAAAAUUAAAAGAUAAAAAUAAAAAUAAAAAGAUGGGAUGCCCUUUUUCCAACCAACCGCCAAAAGUAUAAAAAGGUAAACUUUUUUUGUCUGAAUGAAUAAAAGAAGGAAGUGACAGAAACCACUCGUAUUUUUUAGAUUAGCUUUGCAUUGACUUUUGAGCCCAUGGGAAUCUAAGUGCGGUCUUCGUGCACUCAUCUCUAUGGUCAUCAUAUAAAUAAAAUUUAUUUUUAUUUUUAUUUUUUAUUUUUUAUUUUUAUUUUAUUUUAAGAAAGAAAAUUCACACACAAAACAACAACCAAUCAUGUCAUCAAAAAGUGAUUAGGAAAAAUCACAAAUAGAAGAACAUUUCGCUUCAAUGAAUACCCGAUUUGAAUUAUACACCAUACAAAAAUCAUUUGAGAUUAAUUGUUCUUACUAUAUCAUACAUGGUUGAGAGUUAUUAAUCUCAAUUGGUGUCGGGAGGCAAAGAUCAAACUUCCCACAAGAUUUCCCAUCUUUUGCAACUAGGGCAUAGAACAAUUAGACCAUCCCACUAAUACAUACUUAAGAAAAAUUAAUACAUCUUGAAGAAAAUAUGGUACAUUUGUAUAAAAGUUAUGUACAUGAGUUAUUUGACAUUAAUUAAUGACAAUAAUUUAUAUUUCUGAUCCCAUAAUGCACAGCUGAAAGUUACUAAUGUCAAUUAAUAUAAAAAAGAAUUAGAUACAUGCUUCUUAAAUUCUUAUGCAUUUUUAAAAGAAUUGGUAUAUCUUGAAACAAAUGUGGUACAUUUUAUAGGAAGAUUUGGUACAUUCUAAGAUUUAUCCAUUUUCUCUUGGGAAUGUACUAGAAUUUAUGAAUAAGGUACCUAAUUCCUUUUGAUAUUAGUCAAGGAUACAAACCUUCAACCAUACAUAAUGGGUAGAGAGUAUAGAUGAUUGUCAUUAAUUAAUGACAAAUGACACUUUUAUAUACUCUUCAUACAAUAUAUAUAUAUAUAUUUUUUUUUUGUCAACAUAAUAUGCGAGAUUUUCUUUAGAAAGAUCUGGUACAAUUCAAAAUAUACCUAUUUUUCUUAUAGAUAUAUCAAAAUUUAUGAAUGGUAUAUCUAAUUCAUUCUAAUAUCAUUUAAGGAUGAUAACCCUCAAUCAUGCAUGAUAGGAUAAGGAACACGAAUGAUUGUAAUUAAUUAAGAACAAAUGAUGUUUCUACUAGCAUUUAUAUAAUGUAUCUCUUUUUCAAAAUAAUUUAUUAGAUUUUCUUCAAGAUGCAUAUGUUUUUUUUUUUUUUUGUUAACAUUGUACCUAUGAAGGAUAUACCUAUUUCAUUCUAACAAUAUUUGAGGUUAUUAAUUGUCAUACAUGCGUGACUAGGUGAUGAAAAAUAGAUGAUUGACAAAAAAAAAAAAAGGUUGUUAGCCACCCAAUACAACUAGAACCAAUGUUUGUAGAACCAGACCGAUCAUUGAAUCGAAAAAGUUAUCGGUUCACUGGUUGGAUCGAUAGUCGAAUUGGUGAUGUCAUAAAUAUAUAACUCAUAUUUCAUUAAAAUUAAGAAUAAUUUUAAGUUAUCGGUUCAUAAUUUUAUAUAUAUAUAGUAUUAAAAUUAUAGUAUUUCAUUUUUUUGUAUUUAAUGUGUCCAUUAAUUGAUAAACAUAAAUAUAAAUGUAUUAAUAUAUCAAAUUUGAUUAAAUAGAAUAUGUAUAAUAUUUACAUAUGAGAAGAAAAUUAUAACAUUUAAUUUUAUCUACAUAUCUAUGCAUUUUAUUAUUUUAAAAAUAUUAUAUUAAUUAAUUUAUAUUAUUUUUAUAUUUAUUGUUAAUAAUUAUUAUAAAAAAUUGCAAAGAGCAUUAAUAUAAAAUAUUGUUACCCAUAUUUAAUAACGGGAUUCUACAGCAUGAUGAUUAUUUCCUCUUUUUGUAAACCUUAGAUCUGAAAGAAGAGGAAAGCUGCCCAAUGGGUUGCAUGACGAGUGGGCUGCUGGAGGGAGGGGCCCCUAAUGUUGUAAAGCAUGCCUGGUGGGUGGAAGACUAGGAAGAUUUUGGGCCCAAUGCGGCCAAGGCCCAAUGGCGUUUUGGUUGACCCACACGUUGACCGGUUCAUAGAAAACCAGACUAUUUGUCUGGUUCGAUGGUUCAACUAGUCGGUUUGGUCCAGUUUUUAAAUCAUUGACUAGAACUGUGUUAAUUGAGAUAUUAACUCCACUCAUUUUUUGACAUGGGCUUCUUCUUCUGAAAAUGAUGAAUCUAGUGGGAGGAGCUCCCAAUGCUGCAAGGCCUGCCUGGUGGGUGGAAGACUAGGAAGAUUUUGGGCCCAAUGCGGCCAAGGUCCAAUGGCGUUUUGGUUGAUCCACAUAUUGACCGGUUCAUAGAAAAUUGGACUGUUCAUCUGGUUCGACGGUUCAACUGGCCGGUUCAGUCCGGUUUUUAAAUCAUUGACUAGAACUGUGUUAAUUGAGAUAUUAACUCCACUCAUUUUUUGACAUGGGCUUCGUCUUCUGAAAAUGAUGAAUUUGGUAUUUGAUUGAAUAGUGGAUAUCUUUUCUAUAAACAUGCCUUAUAGGGGUAAAUUCUUCAAUAAAUAUGCAACCUACUAUUAGCUAUAUACCAAGUAGAAAUUGACCACAGGUCAAGGAAAUGGAGUAUUCUAAUUGAAGAGAAGAAAUUACAAUAAGUGAAAAUUUAAUAGUAAAUUAUAAAAUAUUUUAAUUCCUAAUAAAAUUAAGAAAAAAUUAAUAGUAAAUCUUAAAUACAAUUUUUUUAUUUUAUAAAAACAUAUUGUGAACUCGUGUUUUUCACAUGCGUUCCCACUCGAAUAGCGAGACUCGUUUUCAUUUAUUUGUGAAAAUUUGAUUUUUAGAAAAAAAAAAUUUUGAGUCGUCACUUAUUUUUGUUUUAUUUUUUUAAAGGGAAAACAAAAUAAAAAAAGAAAACUUUGUGUGACUCUUUAUUUGGAAAAGAUAUGUCUGCAAAAAUAGAAUCUGGAUCCGGUGGUCAGGUUACCUAUUGGGAAGGUUUGGUGGUGAGUUGUAAUACCCCUCUAAGUUCGUAUGUGUAUGACCUCUACUAAACAAAUUAAAAGAAUUGUGACAAUUAAUUAAUUAAUUAUGAACAUAAAGAAAAAUAAUAAUGCAAAUGAGUAUGUACAAGUCAUGGUGAAAAUCAAUAUACACAAAAAAUAAUGAUGAAAUCUAAUUAUAAAAAUACAUAAAAUAAAUAACAAGAGAAUUAUGCAAAAUGAUUUAUUGAACUAAAUAAAAAAUGAUAUUAAAAAAAAUAGCUUUCAAGAAAUUUGAAAGAAUUUUAUUAAAAAUGAUUUUUGAAUUAAUAAUUUAAAUUUAUUUAUUUACAAAAAAAAAAGUUUCAUUUUAUUUUUAAUUAAUGAUUUGAUUCAAUUUCAUUUGUAUUUAAUUUUCAAAAAAAAAGUUAUUUACACUUAUUGUAUAAAAAGAAUUUAUUGCAAAAUUUUAAUUUGGCAAAAAAAAUAUAUAUAUUUUACUUGCUUUUACAAAAAAAAUGAAUGAAUUUUUACAAUUUUAUUUAUAAAAGUAUUUCAAUUUGUUUUCAUUUAAGAAAAGCAAUUUAUAUAAAUUAUUUUAAAAAAACAUAACUUUAUUUGCAAAAAGAAUUUUAAUUAAAAAGAGAAAAAAAAAUUAAAUCCUCUAUUUCUAAAAAAAAAAACUACUUGUAAUCCCAUUUUAAUUAAGAGAAAAUAAUUCAUUUAAAAAAAACAUUUUCUGGACAAUUUUAUUAAAAAUUAAUUUAUGGAACAACUUUAUUCAUAAAACAAUUUUUGGACAAUUUUUAUUAAACAAAUAAAUGUUUGGACAAUUAUUAUUAAAAACAUUUUUUUUAUUUUUCUAAAUUUUUAUUAAUAAAAAAAAUUUCAUUUAUUAAGAAGAAUAUUAUAAAAUUAUUAUUUUAUUAAAACAUAUUUAUUGAAUUAUUAUUCUUAUUUAAAUAAAAUUUCUGAUUUGUUCGAUAGUCAAUUCUAUAUACACUAAAUAAAUAUAUACAAACAAAUAUUUAUAAGAACUAAUAAAAUUAAAACCAAAUAAAAGUGGAAAAUAAAACAUGAACUCAAACAAGCUUAUAACAAACUCAAUGUUUUCCUACAACUUUUUGAGUCUCACUUUUUUCCAUGAAAUUUCAUGUACCAUGUAUCAUAAAUUCAUACUCAGCCAAAAAAUUUUCAGAAUAGAUCCAUGCAAAAACAAAAAUAACCCAGAGUGUAAAUAUCAAAAAAUAUGUAGAGUCCAAAAUAAUUAUUCAAGCCCAAAUUCAAACUUCAAAUUAGUCCAAUAAAUUUUCACCAAUUAAAAAUGGGUCUAAAUUAACAAAUAUAAUCCAACAAAAAUAUUUCACAUGUCAUAAACAAUAAUAUAAAAUUUCUAAAUUAAUAGCUAAAAUAUAAGUUCAAUUAAUCAAACUCAAAACAUGAUAAAUUAAAAUAAAUCAUAUUAUGUCUAAAUUUAAUAUCUCAUAAUUCAAGCUUAAUUUAAUAGGCAAACCUAAAUCCAUAACCAAAAUCAACCCAAUUUAAUAUGUAAACCUACAUUCAAAAUAUACCACAAUAUUAUAUCAUAUCCAAAUUAAAUAAUUCAAAUAAGCACAAUCAUAUAAAUUAUCAACUAAUUUUAUCCAAAUUAACAAAUUUCAAAUUAAUUCACCAACAAUAAAUUAGCUCAAAUUUCACAUUAAUUUACCAUUAACAAUUAACCCAAAUUUUAUACUAAUUAACAAAACUCAAAUUUUAUAUUAAUUCAACCAUCCAAAUUUCACAAACAACCGUUGCUAUUAAAAUCAAAACAAGAAAAAAUAAAAUAAAGCAAAAUGAAUUUACACUUUUUUUUUUUGAGACCAUGAGGGAAAAUUGGAGCUGGUGGUUAGGAGACGGAAAAUGUAUUAAAAAUAAAGGUAAAAUACUAAAAAUCAACAAAUAAAUAAAUAAAGAGAGUGAGAGAGGGGGGGGGGGGGGGGGGGGGGGGGAAAAAGGGGGUAAAAAAUGGGAAGGGGGCCCCGGGGGGGGCCCCCCCAAAAAAAACGGGCCCCUUUUGGUAAAAAAAAGGGGUUUUUGGGAAACCCAAAAAAAAAAAAAAAAAAAAAAAAAAAUGGGGAAGAAAAAAAAAAAAAAAGAAACCGGGGGGGGGGAUGGGAAAAAAAUUUUUUAAAUGGGAUUGCCCGGGGGGGGUUUUGGGGGGGGGGGAAAAAAUUGAAAAAAAAAAAGGGGGCCUUUCCUUUUUGGUUUUUUUCUCCUGGGAGGGGGUAAGGGGUAAAAAAUUUCAGAGGGGGGGUGGAAAAAAAUAAAAUAAAAAAAAAAANNNNNNNNNNNNNNNNNNNNNNNNNNNNNNNNNNNNNNNNNNNNNNNNNNNNNNNNNNNNNNNNNNNNNNNNNNNNNNNNNNNNNNNNNNNNNNNNNNNNGGGGGGGGGGGGGAUGAAGGGUGUCAGACAUGGAGAUGGCGUCGCCGGUGGCAGCUCGUCGACGAUGACUGGCCGACUACGGGUAUGAAGAUGGGUUUCAUGGAAAACCAAAAGAAAUAGAAAAAGAAAAAAGAAAUGGGGAAGGAAAGAAGAAGAAAUGGAAGCAGGGUGGGCGUAUGGCAAUGAACUUUUUCAAUGGGUAUGGCCGUGGAGGGUUUGUGGGGAGGAGGGAAAAAUUGGAAGAGAAAAUGGGGGCCGUUCGUGUCUGGUUGUUGUGCUGCUGGAAGGGAUGAAGGAUGAAAAAGUCAAGAGAGGAGAGUAGAAAAAGAUAAUAUAAAAAAAAAGAAGCUUGGUGUAAGGGGAGUGGCUUAGACGUAGAGAAGGGAAUGGGUAAGGAGAGUAGGCACUACGAGGAGAAAGAGGAAGACAGAGGAGAAAGGAGAGAGAAAAAAUAAAUGAAUAAAAAUAUAAUAUAAUACUAUAAUAACAAAUAAAAAUAAAAUAAUUUAUAAAAUAAUAAAAAUUAAGAAUUAAAUGAUAUAAGUGAAUCAAACAAUUCAGAUGUGAUCAAAAUUUAAAUCUAAGGGUAAAAUUGAGCUCAAUAUUAAUAUAAAAAUAAAAUUAGGACAAAUUUUGAGAUCUAUACAUUUUUUUUUUAUAUAAAUUAAAAAUUUUAAUCAAAUAAAAAGUUAGAAUCAAAGUCAAGUUAAAAGUAUAAGUAAGAUGUUAAAAUCAUGAUUAUUCACUAUGAUUUUGACAUGAAAAAUUAAAAUUUAAAAUAACAUAAAUAAUAAAAUAAUAUGAUAAAGAUAUUUUAUUUUAUUUCAAUACGAUAAGAUUUACAAAAUCAAUAAAUAUUUUAUAAAAUUAACAUAAAAAAUGUUAUAUUCUAAAUCUCAAAAAAGUAAAACAUAAUUUUUAAAUCUAAAUCCUUAAUUAUCAAACUAUUAUUAUAAUUAAUGUUUGAAAUUAUCCAGUGUUUUAUUUAUAGGUUAAUAUUUUCAAAUUUUUGUCCUAUGUUUAUAUUAUAUUUGUUUUUAUUAAUUAUUUAUUAUAUAUUGUUAUUUUGUGUUUAAUAUGUUUAAAAAAUGAUAUAAAAAAAUUAAAAAUUAAAAAGGUUUUUAUAAGUGUCAAAGGGUAAGUAAGAGAAAGUGACGUGAAAGAAGAUGGAAACAAAAAGAGAGAAGAUAACAAGCAUGUGAGGUGUACUUGUCUUUAUCAUAUCAAAAAUAUUAUUUUAAAAAAAAAAUCAAGUGACACUAGGUUAGGUGAUUAGUGGCAAUAGAAAGGGUUAGGAUUAUUUAUGACAUAUUGGAGUACAUGUGAGAAGAAAUAUUUCUUUCAUUAUGUGCUUCUGAUGAAAUGGGACACUUUGGGCUUCCAAAAAUUUUAUUUUAUUUUUCCAACAUUUGGUUACAUGAUUUUUCUAAAAUAUUAUAGGUAAAAGAUUAUAUCAUUACGAUAAAAAAUGAUUUUAAAUUUAUAAAAUUAAAAUUUUUUAUUUUAAAAAAAGGAAAAAAAAAAGGUUAAACUAAAAACAAAUUGAGUUUUAAAAAUGAUUUACUGAUAUUAGAAAAAUGAAAAUUAACAUUCAAAUAAUGGUUUUACUAUAAAUGAACAAAAAACAUAAGAUAUGACAAAAUAAAUAUAAUUGAGCUAUAAAUUUUUAAUAAGGAGACUACAACUUUAAAAAAAAUAGACUUUGUUUUUGUUUUUAAUAUUGAAUGUAUUUUAGCUUAAUUUUAUUUUUAUUUAACAAUAGUUGAUAGAGAGCUUGUGAUGAAUUUUAAUGCCAUAAGGUAAAGGAUGAAAUGAUUUAAUUAGAGACAUUUGAUCCCUAGAAGAGCAAGUGUCAAGUUAUGACUAAGGAUUUUGAGGAUUAUGAAAGAUUUUUUCAAUCAUACCAUCUUACCAUAGACCUAUGUGAUUAGUCAAAUGUAAAGACUUUCACCCAUGGGCAUAUGUUUACGUCUCUUCUUACAUCACAAUAGGGAUCUUCUCGAAAUAUGUUUUGGAUUUUUCAUCCUAAAGCACUUUUCAUUUUUUGUUUGUCUUUUCGUUUUUUUUUUUUUUUUUGGGGUUUUUGGGACUCUCACUCAAAGAUCUUCCUUUCCAUUAAUUUCACAAGGCUACCCUUCAUGUUGCCUUUUAUCGUGUUUUUUUAGCUCUUCAAGCAUCAUUACCAUACUGUUUUUGUUGUAAUUUGGUGUUAGUCACAAACAUAAUAGCUCACAAUUCAAUAGUUUCAACACUUCAAACCAUUCCAAUGAGCAAUAGAUAUCAACAAAGAACUCAUGAUUUACCAUGCUUGAAUCUUUUGGGUUCAAAUUUUCAUUGUCAUUCUUCUAUUUUAGUUCAACAUAUUGUAUUAGUAUAUUUUUCAUAAUAACACCAAUAGUACCAUAAGAGUUUAUGUAAGAGGCAUUUAUGUUACAAUGAGGUUUAGUUCAUCUCAGUUUUAAUAAUUAUAAAAUAAGGUUUGAACUUGUAAUUACUUUUCAAGUGUGAUUAGAGAGGAAGAUUUUCAAAAAUUCAAUCAAGAAAAUAUAUCAAUCCUAAAAAAGAAAUUAAGAAAGUGAAGACUUUAAAGAGAGGAUAUUUCAAAGUUCAACUUUUAGGAUACCUUUGUGUGAUUGUUAAUGCACUAGGAUCAUAAUGCAUUGCAUUUUUUAUACACCUAGCUCCUUUAAGUUCAUCCAACUAUUAAAUUGUUGUUAAUUCCUUUAUAAAUCAAAUAAAACAAUAAUGUUAAGGAAAAACCUAGGUUUUAAUUUGUUUAAAAUAUUUUUUAAAAGUUAAAAAGUCGAUAGCUAUUUGUUAGAAAAAUUAGGCUAAUCCAACCUAUGAUAAUCACCCUAAAGGGGGGGUGAAUAGGGUGAUGGUCUCUUUUUGUAAAUUUAAACUAUGUGAAUGUAAGAGACAAUUAUAUGCAAGUAUAUAAUAAGCAAUAUAAAUACAAUUGCAUAUAAAUUAAAAGAGUAGGGAAGAGAGAAUGCAAACACAAGAUUUUAUAGUGGUUCGGCGUAACCCGGCUUACAUCCACUCUCCUCUAGCUUCAAUCCCAAGCUUGAGAUUCCACUAAUUCAAGGCUUCCAAACCAAGCCUUCAAACAAUACAAUUGGAUUAUGGUUCCAAAUCACCCUCUUGGACUUUUGGCUCUAAGCACCCUUUACACUUCUCAAGAGAUAUCUUAGUCUUAAACAACCCCUCAAGUGAUACCCCACACUUAAGAAACUUCCUCUCAAAGAUUUACAAAUAAAUGAUCUCACAACAUCCUAGUACAAAAACUUUAAGCUCAAAUGAUACAAGAAAACUAGGAUUGAAAGGUGCACUAAGGAUAUGCAAGUUUUAGAACAAUGGUGCACUCAAAAACACUCUUCCAAUGCUCAAAUAUAUUCAAGAAAUGUUUGGGAAGGUUAAGCUCAUUAAACAAUGAAGAUUGAAGCCUUUUUAUAGAAGAAAAAAGUCAAACUAGUCGUUGGGGGUUUGACCAGUCGAGCUAGGGGUCGACUGGUUGACUAGCCGUUAUAAUUUAAUGCUUGAUAGGUGACCAUUAAACCUCAAUCGGACCUCAACCGGACCUCGACUGAACCUCAAUUGGUUGAGGUUCAACCUUGACCGGUUGAACAAUCAUCUGGAAGAAAGAGAAAGUUUUUUGCACCCUCGAUCGGUUGAGUUGGGAGGGGGUCUACCCGGGCCUUGACAGGUUGAGCUGGGGGUCGACUCAGACCUCGACCGGUUGAGCUGACAGUCGACCAGUUCCUCAUCCAGUUCAACUGGUUAAGCCGUUUUUGGCUCAACAACUAACUUUUUCAACUUAAAAACCUUUUUAAAUAAGUUUGAAAAACAUUUGACACAAGGUUUUAGUUGAAAACAUGAAAUCAUCCAAUUUUUAAAAUAUUUAAAACAAAAUAACUCUUGGAUGAUUUUGGUGCAUAAGUAAAGAAUGUAAUGCAUGAAAAUCCUAGUGUACCAACAACCUUACAAAGAGAUCUUAUGAAGCUUGGGUCUUGAAAAACACUUUUCUUUGAGGUGGUCUUCUUCUUCAUGAUUUCUCAUUGACUUGAUUUGUCUUUAUAAUUGCCACUUUGGAAAUCGUCUUGCCUAAUCACACUUGAAAUAUAAUCAUUAGUUCUAAACCUUGUUUGUUAUCAUCAAAAUCAAGAUUAACCAAACCUUGGUUUCACACUAUUGUUUCCUAAAUUUGAUCUAACCUUAAAAGGUGUGUUUUUGGUGCAAUUAGACAAAAUAUAGGAGAACCGAUUGAGCUAGUUAGGCUCGAUCAAUUGAUGAGGAUCAAAUAUCCUAACAAGGUCAAGAAGGAAGUUUCAACCAAUUGAGGUAAAAUCUCAUCCAGUUAAGGCCUAGUUUGAUAAUAGUCAAUUUAAUGGCUAGUAGCUAGUUUGAUCGAAAGAUUAGCCCUAAAUUGCGCCUAACAACUAGUUUAAGCUUUUAACUCUAAUUUAAAAGCUCAAAACCUCUUGUAUUUCAUGGGAAAGAGUCCUAAAUUAUUCUUGAAUAUCAUUUUAGCCUUAAAAUGAGUGUAUUUGAGUGUAUUUUACUUAAAAUUUUGCAUUUCAUUUUCAUGCAUAUAAAUCCUAAUUUGAGUUAUAUUAAUUGUUUAAGUCAAUUUGUAAACUAAGAUUGUAUUCUCAUUCAAUUAUAAACCUUAUGAGGAUUAACAAGUGCGGGAUCAUUUAAAGGGCUUAAUAAUAAGAUAUUUCUUGAGAUGGUGGAACCAAAAUCUAAAGAUGAUAACUUGGAAACUUUUUUCUUCAAAAGUUUUGUUGUUGUAAGGGCCCUUGAAACCAUAAUUCAAGUGUAAAGUUAAAAUGUCUAGGUUGGAAGUUUUGUUAGUGAAACCUUCAUUUAAUUGGAGUUCUGAAUGUAAGUCAAGUUACGUCAAACUACAAUAAAAAUUUGUCUUUGCAUUUGUCUACUUGUCCGUUAUCUAUUUUAUAUGUAAUUGCUCGUCCAUUUUAAUUGCCCUAUUAUUAUUUAUUCUUGUUUUUUGCAUUCAUCCUAGUUCAUAUUUGUUAAAAUUGUAAAAAGAGACUAACAUUCAAUUCAUUCCACCUCUUAGGUCUAUACUCAGGUUGGAUUAGCAUCAUAAUUCUAACCAUUUCCUAUUCAUUAAACUAUCGAGAUUUAAUCAUAGCACAUGAACUCAAGGUUUUCAUUCAACAAAAUGAUAAUGAAAUUUAAAUUUCAUGAUAAACCUACUCUACCUAUUAUGAUGUUCAAUAAAGUUCAACUAUUAACCCUUUUAUGUUGCUCUCUUUUAUUGGCAACUUAAGAGUGUCUGGUACAAGGAAGACAAUAGAGUAAAAGGUAGUGAAAAUUUAAAGUUUUUUGGGUUUAAGAACUACUUAAGCUAGUUGUUGGUUAACUUUAAGCAACUACCACAUGUCUUAUUGAUGCCAUCUUUAGGUGUCCUCUACAAUAGCCCUAUUAGAAAUUGAGAACACUUGGUCAAGCCCCUUUUAAAACUAACUUUAUGCAAAAAGGUGGCGUUUAUAAUUACUGCAUGGGGCUUUCAAUAGUUGGUCAUUCUCAACCACACAUUCAAUAGCUAAUGCAACUACUUUCUAAGAGAAAUAUGACUCUUAUUUAUUGUCGCAGUGAACCACUACUAGGGCAAAUUCUUAGUUAAGUCAUUCUAUUAAUUAACUAAUCAAGUCACUAUAAUUGACACAAAAUUUCUCAAUUAAUUAAGUCACUAAUCUACAAAACAUUAGUUCUGAUUUUCUUAGCACAUUGACUCUACAUUAUGCGAAUUAUGAAGUGAAAUCAUCACUAAGAAUUCAACCCACCAUCUAUGGACAAACACUUCUCACACUGAAAUCCAUUAACCAAGGUAUGCUCCAUUUGUCUACUUGUGAAGCUCAUUCCCACCAUUCAAUUGAGGUUCACCUCAUGAUAGUAAGAUUGCUACUUACAUUAAAUCCUAGUGUAAACCAUAUAUUACUAGCUCUAACCCAAUCAACAACAUUGAGGAGGAUAAGAUAAAUAGAUUAGUUAGAAAAGGCUUCUUAUAUAAAUUGACUUGCCCUAUCGUAAAAGUAUUCAAUAGGAAGGUCCAUAAAGAAACCUUUUGGAAACCUAUUAUGAAACGUCUUUCCUUUGUAGUUAGUAUAUCAUGACAAUAUAGCCUAAUGAAUAUGACUAUAAAGCAUGGUGUUAUUAUUUUAUGGAAUUUAUAGAUGAUUAUAUACAUUAAUACAAUUAUGUUUAUUUGAUCUGUUUUAGACUUUUCAUAUUGGGUUGAUGCAAAAAAAUAAAAAUAAAAAUAAAAAUAAAAAUCAUCAGGAUAUUAAGGAUAGAUUGUAACACAAGUAUCAAACUAAGAAAUUCAAGGAAUUAUACGGAUAAAAAAAAAAAUCCUAAGGCAAAUCACUAUUUCAUGAACUCUAACAAAAUAGUGUGUCAAAGGAAAGAGAUUAUACACUUUUAAAUAUGAUUAAACUUAUAAUAGCUUUACCCAAGUGCAUUUGACAACUACAUAUUUACACUCAAAAUUAAUUUCUCCAACCCAUAUGAGUUGUAAAUAGGCAACAUGCUAAAUCUUGCAUAUUUGUAGGCUUGUACACCUAAAGUUCGUAAAAAUGUUCACAUUGGUUCCAAUAAGCAUCCGAAACUAGGUCAUAGAGCAAAUAACUAAUCCUUAGAUACAUUGAAGAAUCAAAGGAAUAUGCUAGCUACAUAUGGUUUUUUGAGCUCUUGUCCUUACUUGACUUCUUAUUUAAGAUGAAUUAUUUUCUAACUUAGCUACCAAAGGAGCCAUCGAUAAGCCUCAUUGAAGGAUGGUCUGUCAUAACACAUAUUUCCUUUAUAGUUAGUACAUUAUGGCAAAUAUGCUUGCAACUAACGUAAAAUGUCCACACUAAUUCCAAUAAGCACUAGAAACUGAAUCAUAGAGCAAAUAACUACGUUUCAUUAGAUAAUCUUGAAAAAACAAGGAGAAAUGCUAGUUAAAUAUAUAGGGACCCCUCCUCCUGAGAACACGUGCCACACACCUCAUGGUGACACGUGGCACGCAUUAUCAUCCGGAUUUUUCCUAUAAGAUACACGGGGCGCGCUUCUCCUAUCCGGACUGUCUCAAGAAAGGGCAAACGACACUUAUAAGCAUAAACAUCCGGACGGCUUUCACAAUACAUCCGGAUGACCAACAUAGGUCAUCCAGAUAUGAUUGUCCGGGUCAUUGACUGAAGAAAAGCAAGUCUUACACGUUAUCACAAACAGCCUGCCAUGGCCCACGUUCCGCCACCUGCAGAGUGAAGGGACAAGAUGAAGUGACAACAAGUCACUUCCCACGAUCACUUCACAUGAUCACAUACCACGAUCUCUGUCAACCGCUCGUAGGGUGAUGAUGGCCCUACCACCACCUAGUGUCAUCAUGACAACACAAAAUAUCUCCCCACCAUUAAAGAGAGAAACAAAGCUUCUGAUGCUAUAUAUACGAACCUUCACACAAAGAGGAAGGUAAGCUUACGGUACCUAGAAAAAGGCCAACUGAUUUAUCUUCAUCUCCCUAACCAUGACUGACAAAACCAUCGGAGGGUGCAUCCGGAUACCCUGUCCGGAUGUCUUUUGCAGGUAUUACAACUGAAUCAAGAACCUAUAUUAGUUGAGAUCGUGCGUCCAUCCAUUUGACAACUACGUGGAUCACCAGGGACACGAGGCCUCAACAAUAUAUAUUUGGUAAAUAACCGGUGGGAAUGUAAUUGAAAUUGUAUUAUGAGAUGUUAAUUUCUUAUAUGACAAUUUUCUAAAUAGAUGAAAGGUGGAUAAAAAUCUGAAUAUAUUUGAGAUGGUUUCAUUAUACGAAUUUGUUGGGAAUCUUAUUGAGGAUAUUGAGAAUGACUUACCACUCAAUGAGAGUCUACAUUCAAUUGCACUCUUAAUUGAGUCCUAAAAUUGAGACAUAAAAGGAUGAGGGCGCUUUCUCACAAGAUGACAGGAACAUACUACUAGACAUGAGUCCCUAAGAUCCCCUAGUAAAAAGUAAAGAUGAAAUUAAAUAUCCAUAAUUAAGAAGGAAGCUUUCAUCUGCACUCUAUUAUAAAAGGAUAAAUCCUAAAAUUUUGAGAAAGCGGUCUUGUCAUCUUGUGAAAAAUGGAAAGCUAACCAUGGUUUAAUUAUGGUGGGUGACUUACCUUUUAAAAUGGAAAGCUAACCAUGGUUUAAUUAUGGUGGGUGACUUACCUUUUAAAAUGGAAAGCCAACCAUGGUUUAAUUAUUGUGGGUGGCUUUUUCAAAUUGAAAACAAAAAAGAACAUGGUUUAAUUUAGCAUAAAAAACGUGUAGUAAAAUCUAGCUUUUCAAGUUCCAAACCCUUAAACUUGGCAUAGCUUCAACAAAUCUCUUCAGAAGAAAAGCAUUAUGAUGGGUUUGCAAAACCUAGAAUUUGUUAAAUAAUGAUUUUAAGAAGUAUUUUUAAUACUUAAAAAAUUUUAUUUUUUAAAUAUUAAAAAAAUUAAAAAUACUAAAUAUUUUUUAAAACCACUAUCAAACACACUCUUAAAGUGUAUUUAAUAGUAAUUUUAGAAAAUAUUUCUAAUAUUUAUAAUACUUAAAUGAUAAAAAAAUUUAAGUAUUAAAAAUGUUAAAAUCAGUUUUUAAAAUCACUGUCAAACGAAUUUUUUAGAAUAAGUUUGGUAUUAAUUUUAAAAAAUGUUUUCACAUUUUUUUUCUUUUUUUAAAUAAUUAAAGAAUAAAAAAUUUAAGUGUUGAAAAAUAUUGCAUCGGUUUUCUAAAAUCAUUCUCAACCGUACUCUUAUUUUAAAUUAAAAAAUUUUGGAAUUUAUAAAAAGUCAAUUAUUUUGAUUUAUUACUUUAAAUUAUUUUUAAGUUUUAGGUUAUAAUAUUAAAUUAUUUUAAGAAAAAUAUUUAAUAUUAAGUUACCAAGUCAUAGAAAGGUUAUCCAAGUUUCUUUCCAUUACCAUUUCCUAAUCUUAUUUUGGGUAGGAGGAAAAGGAAAGGGGCUCAAGAUAACCUUAUAAUCUUAUCUUAUGCAGAGGAUGAUUUGACCGGGAGAAAAAAAUCAGGAAAUAAAGAAGUGGGAACGCCAAAAAGGUUUACUGUCAGGAUACUUCUGUGUUAAUAAUCCUAAACUCCUAGGGAUAAACAUGAAGUCGUACAUAUAUGAAACAACCGAGUCUCCCUCGCCAUAGCCCCAUCUCAUUUCAAGCGAUGAGUGGAGGUCACAGAUCACCUUUGCGUUCCAGUCUGAACCUCACCCAGAUAACUACAACAAACCGAGACUGAGUCUUUGGGAUGAUGAUGCCCUUAUUUAUUACACGACACUACGAAACUACAAAAAUUUAAAGAAGAUCUCACACCAAAUAAAGACAUUGUUAUCCAGAAGGAUAGACACGAAACAAUGGCCCAAUACCAAUCACACGUGUAUCUCAAUCUUUCUCCAGGUAACCUGGUUGCAGCGUACCGUCGCCGCUUUUGUCGUUUGGCCUCACCUUCAGGAUUUACUCUUCUUCCAAGCAUGUCAACUUGUUGUGACUUGUGUGAAGUGUUCAAACUUUUAAAAGUGCUGGUGGCGACACGUCACACCGAGGAUUUAGGUUUCAAAUAGGCCACGACUUCGAAAAUUGACAGUGAUGCCCUCCAUCAUUUCAUUUUAGGCUUCGAGUCUAGGCACAGACGCGACCCGUCACCGUGGUAAUACUUCAGGGAUGAACCUGGAUGACUAAGAGCACCAGGUUCAUUUGAUUAAAGCGAGAAGACCUAAUAAACAUACCUGCAUUCCAUGGUCUAAAUUUGUCGGUUUCAGCAAUGAACUUGGCCAGUAUCAUGGCUCUGGUUCAGGUACAGUGGUAUGUAUCUUCAUCCGCCUGCUGUCACACUGAUCUUUCUUUCUUUCUUUCUUUUUUUAUCCUUUUCUGGUGUGGGGUUUUGUUACUUGGGUUUGGGUUAGGAGCCUUAACUGGGCUGCAGGAGGGCAAGGUCUUGAGAAUGGGUAACCAUUGGUAAGUGAUAAUACCUAAAAAAUUCGUUUCAUAUAGAAUGAAAGGGGCAUUAAAUCGGCUACAGCCAUGCACCAUACCUCUUAGUCAAGCAAGCAUGUGAUAAAACAGUCUCUGGUCAUUGAAUUUGGCAAAACAUAUUUAAAAAAUUAUCCUGAUCACAUACAUCAUUUGCGGCAAGAUCCUAAUGCAAAUUUGCUGUCUUACCACUUAUGUGAGUUGAGUAAACAUUUUGAGUUUGAUGACUUCCACAUUUUUCUUACCUGCGCAUCAAGUAUGGCAUCGAUUUAGAUUCAGAAUUUCAGAUUAUAAAGACAAUAAACAUAUUCAGUAAUGCUAAACGUGUAAUUACAAGAUAGUAUUAGACAUCAAUGAUGCAGACGUUGAUUCAAAAGCAGUAAUUAUACGCGUGAUGUGGAGAACGGGUGACGUUCUUGUGGAAUUUACUAAUGUGCUUAACUCACAUGUAUGCUAAAAAAAAAAUGACGACGCACAACAAACAUGAUGAGUGACAGCGCACGCUCAUAUUUUCAUAGGAUUGAAAUCUGUCUUGCGCCUAAAUCAUAAGCAUCCAACCAGCAUGGCUUAGCCAGAAUGGUCUCUGCCUGUGACAUUAUUUUUCCUGAAAAAUGUCGUCAUGUUCUCGACAUUUUAUUUUAAAUGACCUUGGCAGCUAGUUCUUUUGUUUUUCUAUCAUUGUUUACUCUGAUCAAUCUGGACCGUCAACUGAGGGUGACCAUGUCAGUGUAAAGCAUCACCCAGGAGGAUAUGCCUACAACCCCUCAAAUAUUAAUUACUUCAAUACCCCUUACACAAAUGUAGCAGAAAUUUGGAGCAUCAAACAGAAGAAUAUGCGUACUACUACAAAUACAUAACCUGUCUUCUAAUUUUCACUCUGGAUAGCGAAAAGGAAAAGGGAUCUCUUCAAGUCUCUAUUGAGGAUCGGCUCCUCUUAUUUACCUCUUGAUAAUAAUUGAAGCCCUUCUCUGCCUUUAAAAUCGUCCUAGAAACUUGGUAACCAGCGUAGCGAGAGAGAGUGAGAGAGCGACUAUGUCACCAUCUUACUGUAUCAAGGAGAAGAAGCCCUGCGUCGGAUGGGUUGACAAGUACUUUGGGGACUGUCUGUGCAGUCUCAGAGACGAGUUCUCCUUUGGGUUUGGUCUUAUCAGUUUGGUUUGUUGGGGAGUUGCAGAAAUCCCUCAGAUAAUCACCAACUUCCGCACAAAAUCUAGCCAUGGAGUCUCUCUUGCAUUUCUGCUCACUUGGAUCGCCGGGUUUGUUCUCUUCUCCAUUGAACCUCGCACUUAAAAUACUCUCAAAAACUGAGCUGUUCCAUAAUAAUACACAGAUCUCCAACAAAAUAAACUCUUAAUGUAAAGUUUUUUGUCCUUCAAAUUAUUAAUGCAGCGACGUUUUCAAUUUGGUUGGUUGCCUUCUCGAACCAGCAACAGUGAGUGUUCUUGUCUGGGAUUCUUUAUUCCUGUCUUAGCAGAUAAUGUUCUAGAACGGCAGUUCAAUGACUGAGAGCCAUAGAGGUCUGGUGGUCCAGAGAACAGCCCCAGAUUGGGUGACUCUGUUAAGACCGCCAUCUGUAUUCUUCUUAUCAAAUGCUCCUGACCAGCUUAGCCACUAGUUUCUUCUUCCGCUCUUUUGUUUUCUUCUCAUUUUGUCUGAAUGCUAUUUAUCUUCUGAAUGCAGCUGCCCACCCAGUAUUACACAGCUCUGGUAAUUUCACUUCUCUGGCCUUGGUUUAGAUGGUUUCAAUCGAAGCACAAAACGACCAUUUCCUUUAUUUAUAAUUUUUACAUGACCAUUUAUUAAGCUCCUAUAUGUGCUACCUCGACAACUACACAUAUGGAUGCAUUGAUUAAUUGAAAUUGCAUUAUAAUUUCUGUUCAUAGCUAUACACCACGAGUACUGUAGUACUAGUGUUGCAGAGCGUCUACUAUGAUGACAUCUAUCCAUGGUGGAAGUACGGACAGAUCAACUCUAAUCAAGUGGUACACUACUACUUAUUUCAUAAUCUUGAGUUCGUUUUACUUUUAAUCACUCUGCUACAAACUAUGAUCUUGUACAGUACUAUUCCAAACAAAAACCAAGAGAAAAAAAGAUUGAUUAAGGUUAUUUUCUUAGGUUGAAGAAGAGAGAAAACCUCUGAAACCUAAAGCUGGUGGGUCAGGGAUUCCCAUACCCAAUACUCCAGUCAAAGCAGGAUCCACUCUUCGGGAUUAUUACUAUACGUGAGUCCAAAUUCAUUAAUCUCUGUUUUUAUUAUUAUUUAUACAUUUCAACAAAUUUUCUGUCCGAAAUUUUGGCAUUUGCAGGUCAGCGAGGUCACUGGCAGGAAGCACUACUCCACCAUUUCGAUCUUAUCUCAGGACGGCUCGAAGUGGUCCUUCGACUGUGGGGCUUGACAACGACUCAUCAUCUGAUGAUGACACAACCCACGUUGCAUCCCAUAAGACUGUUAGCAAGCCUAAGCCAAUCCCACGGUCGGUAAGUCUCCAUCUUCAGUUUUGCUCACUAUAUAUUCCACUUUAUGCGUACAACCUCAGACCGUUGAUCUUCUCUUGAUACUGUUUCUGUUGCCCCGUGAAUUAAAGUUAAUCAAUACAAACUACUUGGUUGUUUUCGGAUCAGCAGAACUUUCUUUCCCUAAUAUGGGUUGAACCAUAUUUGAGACCCUACAAGUCAAUGAUCAGAAGGAAAUCCUAAAAAGGAAAAGUAAUGAAAAAAGAAAAUUUGGUGUUAUAUCCAACUACAAGAGAAUCACACUAGUUGUUUAACCCUUAUGUACUAUUUAUGAUUGUUUUAUGACAUGACAUUUAUCGAAUUAGUGGCGCUACCUUUAUCAUAUCUUUUCAGGCAGGCUAUGGGGCAUAUUUAGCUACGUCCGUCAAUUUGCCUCGGCAAAGUAAAGCUAUGAUGGAAGUGUCUCUUGGAUUUACAGGGAGAAAACUCUUACACGUAUGAUUACUACUGGGAAAAAUUAAAAGCUACAUUUGAUAUUAAAUCUAUUGCUUUGUGUUUUCAAAGAGCUCACGGUAGAUGUAAUUAUACAUAGCAGGAAAGUGGGAUGGAGAACAGUGCCUUCGGGCAAUGGUUAGGAUGGUUGAUGGCUGCUAUAUACAUGGGCGGUCGACUCCCUCAGAUAUGGUUAAAUGUAAGUGAUGAUUGGUUCUCAAAAGUCGAUGCAUAAAUUUGCCUGUUCUCAGAUGAAUCAUUUUCUAUGAUUUGUUUUGUUUCUGAUAAAAGUCAUUACAUUUGACAACCAGAUUAAAAGGGGGAGUGUGGAGGUGAGAUGCUCUUAUAACAUUCUAGUAAUUCAUUUUGUACUUCAUGUUUGAGGCGACAUUUAAUAUUGUAGUUGUUGAAAUUAUACAGGGCUUGAACCCUCUCAUGUUCGUUUUUGCACUCAUUGCCAAUGUAACUUAUGUGGCAAGGUACUCUCUCUCUCUCUUUCUCUCUCUGUGAAAAAUUUCUUAACUCUCAACUUUAUUUGAAUUGAUGGAUGCAGUAUUCUUGUAAGAACCACCGAAUGGGAAAAAAUUAAAGCUAAUAUGCCCUGGUUGCUGGAUGCUGCAGUUUGUGUGAUGCUUGACUUAUUUGUAUCCUUUACCAAUCUUCUUCAGGAAAGCUCUUUUUUAUCCAAAUACUGUGCAGGUAACUCACAUAUGUUCAU
rnacentral:lncRNA from 1 species